rnacentral:lncRNA from 1 species
AGAUUUGGUUAUUCUAAGAACCGACAUAGAAGGGAAUCGGAAAUGACAACCAGUUGGAGCAAAACUCUUUAGGUCUGAUAGCUCAGAAAGAUCCACUAUUUCUAAUUGAGGGAGCACUAUUCCCUUUUGAUCAUCUUCAAUGUCUAGUUCACCUUGAUACCCAAAGACUUGCUCUAGUUUAGAAGCCCCUUCAAUUUGGAUUCUCUCGAGGUUGGCAAAAGAACGGGCGACACUAAUAGGAAACAAGCUUUUCAAAUUGCUGCACCCAGAAAUAGAUAUAAAUUGAAGACUAGGGAAGGAUAUAGGUUGGAGAUGACUCUGUGAUGAUGAUGCUAUUGAAGUUUGGUCCAUUUCAAUGAUUUCUUCCAACUCCUCACAACACUUUAUUUUCAAAACUUUCAAUUGCGGCAUAUUUGGAGCAAGCAUAGAAGAGAAGAGAGAUUUCAGCCUUUUACAACUUGACACUUUUAAGUCUUUAAGAUAAGGAAGGCUUGCAACUUGUAUGGGACCCUGCAACUGAUGUAUACCCUUUAGAUUUAAAAUCUCUAUCUUUGAGAACAAGUGUCCGCCUUGAAUUUGAAAUAUAUUCUCCCAAUUAAUAGUGUCACACACAUUGUCUUGUCCCAACUCAGAGAAUCGUAACUCCUGUAUAAAUAUAAAAAUAUCAUAAUUUCAUUAAAAUUUGAAUAAAUUACAAUGGUCAAAUAAUAUAUGACUUCAAAAGUACAAAAUCUAAUAUAUAUAUAAGUACGUUUAUGUGAGUAACUUCUAUUUAUGACAUGUAGGAUAAUGUUUAUAUUAUUAUAUUAUUUAUCAAAUAACUCUAUUUAAUAAAUUAUUUAAAUUUAAUAUUUUUGAAUAAUUAUUUAAAUUCAAAUCAAAAUCUAUAGAAAAAAUUUUUGCAUAAAUUUUAAAUUCAAAUAUAUUAAAUUAUAAUUUAUUUUUUCUUUUUAAAUUAAUCAUAGUUCCAAAAAUAUAUAUGUAUUUAUAUGGUUAAUAUAUUUUUAUCUACCAUCAAAUAAUUCUAUUUAAUAAAUUAUCUAAAUUUAAUAUUUUUGGAUAACUAUUUAAAUUCAAAUCAAACUCUAACAAAAGUUGAAAAUUUUGCAUAAGUUUUGCAUUUAAAUGUAUUAAAUCAUAAUUUUUUUUUAAAAUUUAAUCAUAAUAUAUAUAUAUAUAUAUAUACACACACUUAAUACAUUUUUAUUUGAUGAAAUCAGAAUCUAAAAUUGAAAAUAAAGAGUUUAUAAAGUGAGAGGUCACCUUCUAACCAAGCUUAUUUUAUUUAUUGUUAUUAGAAUUGGAAAUUGAAGAAUACAAGCCUUUUUUUUUUUACUUGACAGUUAUGAUUUAUUGGUUUUGAUGGGAAUGGACAAAAGUUGGAAAGAAGAGUAAACCACAUCAUACCGUGAACAAGUUCAUUUUUGCCUUUAUUAUUCUCUUUUUUCUUUUAUUUUCUUUUUUAUUUGCAAAAAUCAAUAUGUGAUGGUGUUGGAUUGUUUUUACUUUUGUAUAUUUUUUGCUUAAAUGACAUUGAUUUUUUUUAUGAAAUUUCAAUAAUGGAAAGAAAACAUACGUACAUUUGGAUUGAUUUCAACUUGGUAAUAGGUAUAGUUCAUUACUUUUUUUCGUAUUUUAUUUUUUUUUAUUUCCUCCAUUUGUUUGUUCCUUCAAAUUAUUUAUUUGGUCUUAUUUCUAUUAUAUGAUAUAUACAUUUGAUUUGAUUUAUUCUAAAAAAAUUUUUAUUUAUAUAUUUUUAUAUAUUUAGUUAAGUUGGAUAUUUGUUACACAUAAGUUCAAGAGAUUUCAAUUGUAUAUGCAUUCUCAAUUUGUAUAUUUGAUUUUUUAUUAUAAACGUAUCUUUGACUUAUGUUUUAAUAAAAGCAAAUAUAUGUGUUGAAGUAUGUAAAAAAUAAAAACUAAUAAAAAGCAAAUGGCUAUGAACAAAUUAAUAAUUAUAUAUGCUUUAUUGUUCAAUCAAAUAUAUAUAUAAAAGAAAUUAUUAUUAUUUGAUGUUUUAUUUUUGGUUCGGGUUUAUAAGAUUUAAUAGUUUAUGAAUAUUCUAUUAAUAUAAAUGUCUUUUACAAUUUAAUAAAAUGAUUUUUUUUAUAUCCAUAUUAAUAUUAUCAUAAAAAAAUUAUUAAUUUUGACUAUUAAAAGACUUACCCUUGCUUUUUUUAUCAAAAAAUAAAUAAUUAGUAACAAAAUUUUUGGUGUUUAGCAAAUAAAUAAAAAAAUUAAUAUUUUGAUAAAAAAGAAAGGAUUUUUGAAAUUUUGUAAAAAAUUAAACUUAAAACGACAAUAUGUGAAUGCUAUCAUUUAAUCGUAUCUUAAAAUUUAUGAAUGUAUGAUUAUAUAUAGUUGAUUAAUAAAAGUUUAAAUAUUCUUUUAUUAAGGAAAUAUAAAAAAUUAAAGUUAAUUAAAAAAUAAAUUUCAAUUAUGAAAAUAAUAACACGGUUAAAAAAGCUAGUAUAUAUGUAAAACAAAUACCAUUCUCAAGAUUUUAUUAUAAUGUACAAAUUAAAUAUGUUUAAUUGAUUUUCAAAUUCUAUUUAUUUUAUAAGCAAGUGAAAUGUUAUCUAAAAGUUCUCUAUGAGUGCCAUGUCAUCAAAGUUUGCCUAUAUGUAUGCAUGCCAGCAGUUUGAAUUCCCAUCCAAAUUGGAUUUCAUUAAAUUAAAAUAGUAGGAUGGCUAAAUUACACACAAUAAUAAUGUAAGGGCUUAAGUGAAAAUUUGAUUAUAAUAUGGUUAGAGAGCUUAUUUUAUUAUUUUGCCAUUACUUAACAAGGUUUUUUUUUUUUUUUAAAUAACAAACAAGUUAACUCAGUCUUGAAUGAGUUGAACAUAAAAUAUUGUUAAAGAUGAGAGUUCAACAUAAGUCUUGAAUGAUUUAUUUUAAUUUUUCUAAUAUAAAACUUACAUAAGAACCCCUUUUUGAAAAGAGAUUCAAAACAUUGAUUAUUUUAUGAGUAUAGAAAAGAUUUGGGCCAAAGGUAAAAUCUCAAACCAUAAUGUAAGGAAAGGAGUAUAAAGUUACCUUUAGUUGAAGCCGUUUGUGGACUACUUGUUGAAUAAUGAACUUUGCAAAUCGAGGACAAACCACUAUGGUUAACUUAUCCAAUGAUGGUGGCAGAAUGGCAUUAUCAACUCCAUUAUUUUCUUUUGCCACAUUGAAGACAUAUUGUAGUCUUGGACAACCAUGUAUUUCAAGAGAUGUCAAUUUUGGCAAGGGCGGAGGAUGGAGAAAGCCACUGUCUGAUUCUAUAUUAUCAUCAAUUUCCAACUCAGUGGCAAUAUGUUCCAGUUCAUCGCAGUACCCUAUCUGGAGUUGUUCUAGCAUCACCAAGCUUUGAACAAGUGAUUGUGAGAAGAGAUAUUUCAAUUUAUUGCAGCCACUAAUUACUGCAACCUUCAGACUUUGGAGGCAGACAGAAUGGUUGGGCCCUUUACAUAUCCACUUCAAUUCUGGUAAUAGCUCUAGCUCCAAACUUGUUAAAUUUGGCAGCAGCGGAACGGUUGAGACAUGGCCUUGGUCUGUUGUAUCAAUCAAGCAUUCCAGCUCUUUCUCAUCUCUAAGUGUAAGAAAAGUUAAUUCAUUUAGUCCCUGUGGAUCUACGCUUGGAAUGAGAUUUUUGUGAUACAUGAUUCCAUCCAUGGCAAGUUUUCUGACAUCCUGAUAAAUUCACAAUAUAAUGAAAAAUAGCAGCAACAUUAGAAACAUAUAAUUAGAUUUCUUUUAUUAGGAAAGAGAAAGAUUUGAGUUAAAAGAAUAUUUUUAUUCCUCGCUUUUCACUAAAAGUUUGUUAUUGUAGAAAUUUAAAUAAUUCAAAUUAAACUAAAUGUAACUACUGCUUAAAAAGCAAGGAUAGUGACAAAUAAUACAAGUACGAUACGACAUGGAUAUGACAAAUAAACAAUUUUAAAAAUAGAAAACACUGAUAUGGUAAAACAUGACAAUAAAAUACAUUUUUUAUCCAUAAAUUUUUUAUAAUAAUAUAAAUUGAACACAAUUAUAAAAUAAUUAAUGGUAUGUGUAAAAGUAAAAUAAAAUAAAUUUAUAAACAAGAUUAAAAUUAUAUAGGAAAAAAUAAUGAAUAUAAUUAUAAUUUUUUAAUUUAAUUUUUAAUACUAAUAAAUUAUAAAAUUUUAAACCUUUUAAAUAGUUUCAUUUUUCCUUUUUUUCUUUUCUUUUCUUUUUUUUCCUUCUUUUUCUUUUUCUUCGUACAUUUUCUUCUUUUUCUUUUCUCUCUUUUUCAUCCCAUUUCUUCUUUUUUUUUUCUUUCAUUUUUCCCUUUUUCCCUUCCCCAAAUCAUACGAUUUAUAAGCUUUAUAAAUUCAAUAAUAGUAGUUAUUGAGUAAUAUUUUAUUAUGUACAGAAUUAAAAAGAGAAAAAAAUACAAAGAUUUUAUAAAGUGUGUUAAUAGAGAAAAAAAUAUGUAGUGCUAGUUUUUCUCAACCUGCAAACCAUGUAAUAAGUAUACAUUUAAUCAACCUUUUUUCUUUUAAACAUCAACAGAAGCUAAUUAUAUAUAAUACUUUUACAUUUAAGUGUGAAUGUACUGAAUUUUGAUGUUUGUGUUAUAAGAUAAGUAAUUCAAUUAAUUAUUACCAAAAUAAACAAAAUUAAAACAAAAUUAUAGUAUAAGAGAAGUACCUUUAAAUUGGCCUGCAACGUCUUAAACUCAGUUAAUUGGGGACAACUGAAAACUUCGAACAUCUUCAAAGAUAAUGACAUGACAAAAUUUUCUGGACAAAAACUACUCAACUUCUCUAAAUUUUUAAGCCUUAAAAAUUGCAAUCUCUGUAGCACAAUGUCUUGUGGUGGACGUCCACCCUUGUCCUUUGUCAUAUUGAAGACCUGCUUUAGUUGAGAACAAUCAGUUAUCUCAACAGAUUCCAAAUAAGGAAGUCCUUGAGCCAAAGUGAUUGGAAACACAUAAUUCAAUCUUUCGCAAUUAAUUAUCUUGAGAGUUCUCAACUUAGGCCAGCGGAGAGGAUAGCCAUCCACGUUUGAAACUAUUUGAUCCUCAUUUUCUGCUUCUCCGAAGAUUACAUGUUCCAAAAAGCCGCAAUCUUUUAUGUCGAGUUCUUCUAGAUGCUCCAAACUUUGAGCAAGGGGAGUUGAAAAGAGAUAUGCCAGUUUCGCACAUUCCCAUAUUCUCAUAGUCUUAAGACUUUGGAGGUUAACAAGAUGGGUGGGCCCUUUCCAUAUCCACUGUAGUUCUGGUAAUAACUUUAGCUCCAAAAAGGUUAAAUUAGAGAGUGGUCGUACCUGACAUGAAUUAAUUGAUUGAAAAGGUAAAUAAAUAUAGAAAAAGCAUUACGUACAAAGGCAAUAAUAGUAGUUAUUGAAUAAUAUAUUUUUACAUAAAGAACAAAAAAAGAGAAAAAAAUACAAAUAUUUUAUAAAUUGUGUUAAUAAAAAGAAAAAAAGGUAUAUAAUAUUAGCUUUUUCAACUUACAAGUCAUGUAAUAAGUAUAAAUUUAAUUUAUUUACUAAUAUAAUUUAAUUAAACUUUAUUUCUUUUAAACUUCAAUAGAGGUUAAUUAUAUGAUAAUAUAUAAAGUUUAAUUAUUUCUCAUUAUUCAUUAAAGGAGAAAUGGAGAGAGAACAAGUACCUCAAGCUCAUCCAUUUCAUGGGGAAAAUCAAUGAUUUGCUCUAAUCCCUCACAGGCACAUAUAGAGAGUUCUUGUAGAUGCAACAAACUCUGAGCAAGGCAAGGCGGGAAGAUCGCUUUCAAUUCAUCACACCUCCGAAUGUUUACAACCUUCAGACUUCGGAGGCUUGCAUGAUAUUGAUGGGUUGAUUGUGAUUUCCAUAUACUCUCCAAUUCUGGUAAAGAAGAUAGAUCCAAACUUGUUAAAUUUGAGAGUAGCGGCGUCUGACUAAUUUCUUCCUUUUCAAGAAGCCCAUCCAUUUCAAAUACCACUUUCAACCGCUUACAAUAUCGAAUGGUCAAAUCUUUUAACUUUUGUAAGAACCUAAUAUGCCCAUGUAUUUCAAGAGAUGUCAAUUUUGGCAAGGGCGGAUGAUGGAGAAGGCCACUGUCUGAUUCUACAUUAGUAUCAAUUUCCAACUCAGUGGCAAUGUGUUCCAGUUCAUCGCAGUGUUUUAUCUUGAGUUUUUCUAGCAUUACCAAGCUUUGAACAAGUGAUGGUGAGAAGAGAUGUUUCAAAUUGUGAUACAUGAAUCCAUCCAUGGUAAGUUCUUUGACAUUGCAUAACAAUUCCUUGAAACCAUAUGAUGGGACAUCCUGAUAAAUUCACAAUAUAAUGGAAACUAUUAGCAGAAUUAGAAACAUAUAAUUGGAUUUCUUUUAUUAGGAAAAAGAAAGAUUUGAGUUAAAAGAAUAUUUUUAUCUUUCGCUUUUCAUUAAAAAUUCAUUAUUAUAGAAAUUUUAACAAUCCAAAUUAAAUUGAGUAUAACUAGAACCUAGAAAGCAUGAAUAGUGACAAAUAAUAUAGUUAAGACACGACAUGGACACGGCAACACAACAAUUAUAAAAAGAGAGGACACGGGUAGGUAAGACACUACAAUAAAAUAUAUUUUUAUAUAUUUUUUAUCCAUAAAUUUUUUAUAUGAAUAUAAAUUGAAUACAAUUACAAUGUAAUGAAUGAUGUGUGUAAAAGUAAAAUAAAUUAAAUUUAUAAACAAGAUUAAAAUUAUGUAGGAAAAAAUAAUCAAUAUAAUUAAUUUUAUUAAUUUAAUUUUUAAUACAAUAGAUUAUAAAAUUAUAAACUUUUUAAAUAAUUUCAUUUUCCUUUUUUUUUCUUUUCUUUUUUUUUCCUUCUUUUCCUUUCUCUUUCUACAUUUUCUUUUUUUUUCCUUGUCUUUCUCUUUCUCCUUCCUGUUUCCUUUUUUAAUUUUUAAUUUUUUUUUGUUUUUUCGUUUUUACCCUUUAUCAAAUUGUACGAUUUAAGAUCUUUAUAAAUUCAAUACUAGUUGUUGUAGAAUAUUAUUUUAUUAUAUAAAGAAUAAAAAAGAGAAAAAAAUACAAAGAUUUUAUAAUGUGUGUUAAUAAAGAGAAAAAAAGAUACAGUGUUAGUUUUCUCAACCUGCAAGUCAUGUAAUAAAUAUACAUUGAAUUAAACUUUUUUCUUUUAAACAUCAACAGAAGCUAAUUAUAUAUAAAUACUAUAUAAUACUUUUACAUGUAGAUGUGAAUGUACUAAAUUUUGAUGUUUGUGUUAUAAGAUAAAUAAUUCAAUUAAUUAUUACCAAAAUAAACAAAAUUAAAACAAAAAUAUAGUAUAAGAAAAGUACCUUUAAAUGGGCCUGCAACGUCUUGAACUCUGUUAAUUGAGGACAAUUGCAAACUUCGAACGCCUUCAAAGAUAAUGACAUGACAAAAUUUUCUGGACAAAAACUACUCAACUUCUCUAAAUUUUUAAGUCUUAAAAUUUGCAAUCUCUGUAGCACAAUGUCUUGCGGUGGACGUCCAUCCUUAUCCUUUGUCAUAUUGAAGACCUCAUUUUCUGCUUCAUCAAAGAUUACAUGUUCCAAAGAAUCGCAAUGGCUUAUUUGGAGUACUUCCAGAUGCAUCAAACUUUGAGCCAGGGGAGUCGAAAAUAGAUAAGCCAGUUUCAAACACCCCUCUAUUCUCAUAGUCUUAAGACUUUGGAGGUUAACAAGAUGGGUGGGCCCUUUCCAUAUCCACUUCAAUUCGGGUAAUGACUUUAGCUCCAAAGAAGUUAAAUUAGAGAGUGGUCGUACCUGACAUGAAUUCAUUGAUUGAAAAUGCAAAUAAAUAUGGACAAAACAUUAUAUACAAAGGUAAUAAUAGUAGUUAUUGAAUAAUAUAUAAUUUAAUAAAGAAUAAAAAAAGGACAAAAAAUACAAUGAUUUUAUAAAGAGAAAAAAAAUAUAUAUAAUGUUAGUUUUCUCAACUUGCAAGUCAUGUAAUAAAUAUACAUUUAGAUUAGUUACUAAUAUAAUUUAAUUAAACUUUAUCUCUUCUAAUCUUCAAUAGAAGUUAAUUAUAUGAGCAAUAUAUAAAGUUUAGCAAUUUCUCAUUAUCCAUUAAAGGAAAAAUGGAGAGAAAACAGAUACCUCAAGCUCUCCCACUUCUUGGGGAGGAAAAUCAAAGACUUGUUCUAUUCUAUCGCACUCAGAUAUUUCAAGUACUUGUAGAUGCAACAAACUUUGAGCAAGGCAAGGCGGGAAGAUGGAUUUCAAUUCACUGCACUUCCGAAUGGUUGCAAUCUUUAGACUUUGGAGGCUUGCAUUUAGACCCUCGGGAUCUACGAUGUGGACAAUAUUUUUGUGUCCCAUGGCAUUCUCCAGAGCAAAAAUUUCCACAUUGCAAAACAACUCCUUGUAUGCACUAAAUGAAGUUGGGUCAAUAAUUUGCAAGGCUCUAAAGUUUGGCCCCCGCAUAAAUUCAACACUUGCAUCUACAAAUAUAAUGUAGCUUUGUAGUUUAGGGAACACAAAGUUUUCUGGAAAACAUCGAGUAGGAGAAACCUUCAGUGACAGCACAGUCAAACGAGACAAUGAAUUCAGCUCCGAUAAGUUGACAUUGUUUUCACAUAUCACGUAUAGUUCUUGGAGUGAUGUCAACCUAUUUGUUACACACAAAUACGAAAAAGUAUUAUCAAACACUUAAAAGUGAAUCAUAAAAAUAGAAGUAAACAUAAAUUAAUUUUAAUUAUCUCAGCAAAUAUAGCAUGAUUCUUCAGCCCCUUUUCUUAUAAAAAAAGGUUUGAGCAUUUUUUUGCUGUUUUGUAAUUCAUGUGACAAUCAUGUUAUAUAAUAGCAUUUCUUUUUAAUGGAAAUGACUACAGCUCUGAAUGCUUCAUGAUAACGGGAGUGACCAAAAGCUUAAGGUAGAUAUUUUUCCCAUAGUCUAAAGUCAAAUUAUUUAAUAAAGUAAAUAAAAGAAAAAUAAAUAACAUAAAACUAAAUUCUUAAUUUUUGGCAAUAUGAUUAAAUAAAAUAAUUGACAUCUACUAUUACCUUGACAGUAAAUUAGGGGGAAAAUUGAUCUCUUUUCUUCCAGAGGAAAAAAAAUGUAGCGAUUUUAGGCCACGCAAUGCCGCUAAUUCUUCAGGUAGCUCAUAAAUAUUAGUAUUAGAGAAUGCAAGAAUCUCAAGGUUUUUCAAAUUUCCCACUGAUGAGAUGUUCUCCAACUCGCAAUUUACAAGGCACAGAGUUCGAAGAUUUGUUACCAAAUUAAGUACUUCUAGUGAGAAAAUGACAUUUUCGAGAUGCAAAACUCGGAGGGCUUUCAUUCCUUCAACAAAUGCAAUCGGAACUUUCACUAAAGUCUUUCCUGUAAAAAUCAAAAUUUUGAGUUCUGGAAAUUCUAAUUUUUCAGGAAAAAUAUUUAUGUUGCUGUUCCUAAAGGAGAUUGCUGUAUGAGAUCCACAACUUUCACUUGGAGGCCAUUCCAUCAACCACUCUUUUACCAUGAAUAUAUUUUUCCCUGUAGAUGUUAUCCAAUGAGCAAAAUCACGAACCACGUCAUGCAUCCUUACAUAUCUUUCAUCAUCAUCAUCAUCAGUUCUCAAUAACAAACCAGACUUCUGGAGGCUUCUUAGUGCUUGACGAAUUUCUCUCCGCAAGUCUUCAAUUAAGAAAAUAUGAGAAAAUAAUCCAUGACCAAUUGCAAACAUAACCAACUCCUCAAUCUCGAUACCCCAAUCUUCUGGAAAAAGGGAACACAGCAAGAAACAUGUUCGAAUAUUAUCUCUCUUCAAAUAAUCAUAACUCAGCUUAAGGCAGUUGUAGAUGUCUUCAGAAACGUCUUCAUUGUCUAAAUGUCUUGAGUCCUUGAGUCGCUUAUUUGCUGCUUGCCACCCAUCUAGAUUUGCUCCUUUUAAAGCUUUUCCGAUUGUUUCAAUUGCAAGAGGCAAACCCUUGCAUUCACUAGCAACCUCCUUGGCUACAUCAUUCAAUUCCGAAGAAACAUCAUUUAGACCAGCAGUAUCUUUGAACAAAACCCAUGCUUCACUUUCGGAUAAGAUGUGAAGUUCAAAUUUCUGUUGACAAUUCAUACGAACACAGACUUGUUCAAGACGUGUGGUCAGAAGAACUUUGCAACCUCCGCGUUCAACUCCGAAUGGAAUACCUACAGUCUGCAAUUUAAACUCCUUCCAAACAUCAUCGAUAAUUAUGAGGAUCUUCUCCGCGCCUUGCAAUCUCUGGCAUAGCUCUCCUGCUUUUCCUUCUUCCGUGCUUGCUUUAAAUUUCAAACCUAAUAAUUCUGCAAAUUUAUCUUGAAUUUUGUUGAUGUUUGGCGUUUGGGACAUUGUAGCCAUCACAACUCUGUCAAAGAGCUCUUUCACUUCAGCAUGCUUCCCAACUUCUUUUGCCAAAGUUGUUUUGCCCACCCCUGGCAUUCCAUACAAUCCAAUCAUGUUCACACCAUUAGUGUUUAGAGCCUUGAUGAUGUCAUUUAACGUUGAAUUUGAAGAUUUAGAAGGCAUGAAAUCCUCAGAUGGGAAGAAUUCUAUCCCCUGAAGAGGUUCAAAGUGGCCCACCCGUGGAAAGUUACAACUCUCAAGAAGUUUAUUGAUAGAGAUCGUCUUCUUUGCCACUUUCUUACUUAAGCAUAAUCGCCAACCCCAACUUGGACACCAAUUGAAACACUUCAUACGUUCUAUUUCAGCUUCCAAACACUGGGUUUCUUCAAGUUCUUUCUCUGCCCUUUUUCGCCAGUCUUGGACAUCCUUCUCAAUUACCUCAUUUUGCCUUGUAGCCUCUUCGACAUCAUUUUUUAUCCGAUCACUUUUCAAUUCAAGUUCAUUUCUCCGAUUCUUGAAUUCUUCAACAAUUUUCCCAAAUCGGAAAAAGUAACUAACAUAAGGUGAUGCAUAUUCUGUUGUAAGGUUUCCUACAGCAUUGGCAGCAGCAGAGGCAGCAAAUUCAGCAGCCAUUCUUUGAUGAUCUGAGAUUGAAAAACAACUUUAAUGAUUAGUAAACAUAUAAACUGUUGGAAAAAUCAACACGCACACGCAAAACCUAUACACAAAAUAGCAAGCUCAAAUUAAGAAUAAAAAUACACAAAUAUAUUUGUUUCAGUCCAACUCAAGAUCGUCUACUCCAAACCUAAUUUACUAACAAAUAAAAAAAAAUCUAUAGGUAUUGAUUGUUGAGUAAUUGAUAUGUUAUGAUGUAUGUUUGUAAUUCUCUAUAACUAGUAAAUUUUGUGUCUUAUCCAUGAACGUAAAUCAGUUGGAUCGAACUACGUUAAAUUAUUAUAUUAAAUUAUUAUCUUUUGUGUAUUUAAUUAAUUAUUUGAUUUCGUUUCUGCUGACGUGAUUAGAUUGAGACCUUUUGGCCUAACAUAAACAGCUAGAGAGACAAAAGAAAUUGUGAAUGUUUGCAAAGUACCUUAAUUACUUUGAGAGCUAAUUGUAAAGUAGAAGAGAAAAUUUGUUGAUGGAUCAACUUGGAAAUUGAAAAUUCUGCAAAUGGAAGAAAUUAUUCAGUGUUCAUGCGUAUAUUAAGAAUAUAUGUUACAUGUGUUAAGAGUAAAGGCAGUAUAUAUUUUGAUCAUUAAUCCAUCUAAUAUUUUCUCAAUUUUUAAAUAAAUCCAUUUAUUUCUUUUUUUUUUGCCUUAUAAGUGCAGUCUUUUAUUUAAAUAAGGUAGGGAAACAAACAAGUAAACAACUUUUGAGCAUAUAAAAAAUUAUGGAAAUAAAAAUAAUUAUUCAAGCAUGCCAAAUUGGGGAUGGGCAUUCUAAAUUAAGCUGUGAGAAUUUUUUACAUCAUCAACCUUAAUAGAAAUUAAAAGAAAAAGGAAAUAAAGAUUAGUAACAAUAAGAUUAUAAGAACAUGGAAUUUUUUUUCUAUUUUUUUGAAGUUAAACGCAAAUGAGAAUAGAUAUAGCAUGAAAUAAAAUAGAAAAUAGAACUCAAGGAAACCACAAAAUUAUACGGCAAUACUAUUUUUGCUUCUUUUAUUGUAGAGAGAAAAACACAAGAAAAAAAAAAAAAGAGACAAAUAUACCUAGGACAUAUGAAUUUUCAGGAUUCAAGAUCGAGCUUUUUAUUUCUAUCCACACAGUUUUUAUUUUAUUUUAUUUUAUUUUUUUGAGUUCAAAGAAAACUUAAGUAGAAACCAACCUUAUUUGAAAUGAGCAAAAGAGUUUCAAAGUUGUGCUUGAAAUUUUCGUGACUGAUUGAAACCACAGAGAAAAGUUUGAUCAAAGACUUGUUUAAUUUCUUUGGAUUCUCUUUUAUCACCGUUAUUAUCAUUUUACUUGCUCAAAUCCUUAGUGAAAGACAGCUGGACAAGGGCCCAAGCAUCUUUUCCUUUUGUUGGGAGUCGGGUGCAAUGCCUUCAAGUCACACGUUUACUUUUUCUUUUUUGUGCUCGGUUAAUUUUUUUUUUCCUCGAAGAAAACUGAUCUAUUGAUGGUAGUGGGACAUGGCGUCAUUGAUGCACUUUUGAAUUAUGGACCCUUGUUUUUGUCUUUUUUCAAUUAUUUUUCAACAAUCACUUUCUCACCUACUUUAUUUUGUUGGUUUUCAUGGAUUAAAUUUAUUUUUCAACAAUAAUUUUCUCACUUACUCAGUUUUGUUGGUUUUCAUGGAUUGGAUUCUGUAUCAAAUUAUGCCCCAUGCAAUGCAAUUAGAUUUUAUGACCAAACAAACAAAAGAAAGGGUUAAUGAUUCUAAAUCUCUUGGUUUUUUUUUUUUUCCUCCAUUGAUUCAUCCUACCACUUGAAAGAAGUAAAUUUUUAGAUUAUAUUAGCUGAUAUGCUGCGCAGCAUCUUAAUUACUUUGGGAGCAAUAUAUCGCUCCAUGAAAAUGAAAAUAAAAGAGAACAAAUGGUUGAUGGAUCAAUUUGGAAAUAAAAAUUCUGCAGAUGGAAGAAAUUAUUCAGUGUUCAUGCAUAUAUUAAGAAUAUACGUUACAUGUAUUAGAUUAAGGGCAUAGUAUAUAUUUUUAUCAUUAAUCUAUCUAAUAUUUUCUCAAUUUUUAAAUGAAUCUAUUUAUUUCACUUUUUUCCUUAUAAAUGCAGUUUUUUUUUUUUUUAAUAUGCCAGGGAAACAAAUAAGUAAACAACUUUUGAGCAUAUAAAAAACAAUGGAAAUAAAAAUAAUUAUUUAAGCAUACCUAAUUGGGGAUGGAUCUUCUAAAUUAAACUGUGUGGACUCUUUACAUCACCAACUCCAGAUAUCAUUAGGAAAGGAGAAUUAAGGACCAACCUAAAUAGAAAUUAAAAGAAAAAGGUAAUAAAGAUUAGCAGCAAUAAAAUUAUAAGAACAUUGAAUUAUUUUUUUUUCUUGUUUCUGAAGUUAAAAGCAAAUCAAAAUAGAUAUAGCAUAAAACAAAAUAGAAAAUAGAAAGCAAAGAAAGCAAAAUAUAUAGAUACAGCAACACUAUUUUCUUUCAUUCUAGAGAGAAAAACACAGCAAACAAGAUAAAUAUACCUAGGAAACAUGAAUUCUCAGGAUCCACGCAGUUUUUUUUUUUUUGAGUUCAAAGAAAACUUAAGUAGAAACCAACCUUGUUUCAAAUGAACAAAGAGCUUCAAGUAUCCACCAAUAUUGAUAAGUUGUGCUGGAAAUCCUUGUGACCGAUUGAACCUACAAAGAAAAGUUUGAUCAAAGACUUUUUUAAUUUCUUUUGAUUCUCUUUUAUCAUCAUUAUUACCAUUUUCCUUGUUCAAAUCCUUAGUGUAAGACAACUAGAAAACGGCUUAUAAAAAGAUUUUCUAUUCUUUUAUAAGGUACCAAUUAUUUGAUAAUUGAUAGUUGCAAAUAAAUUAUUCACACAAAUGCAGAAUUCCCUAUCUUAACUCUUUGACCAUUUACCCUUUUAACUAUUUUGUCUGAUAGGAAAAAAAAUUAAGUUAAAGAAAUAGAGAAAUGGAGAGAGAAGAGGUACCUCAAGCUCACCCAUUUCUUUGGGAAAAUCAAAGAAAUUUAAAAAGAAAGGGUAAAAAAAUCAACAACAAUAAAAUUAUAAGUACAUGAAAUUAUGUUUUUCUUUCUUUGGAGCUAAAAGCAAAGCAAAAUAGAUAUAGCAUGAAACAAAAUAAUACAGCACUUUUUUAUCAUUAAAAAUGAAAAAGAAAGUAGAAAGCAAUGAAAGCCAAAAAGAUAUAGCAACAUUAUUUAAGUUAAUGUCUUUAUUAUUCCUCUUACCUGUUUAAGUUAAUACUUUUUAUGAAAUUUUGAAUUUUAAAAAUAUCAAAUUUUUUACGUUUUUUAUCCUUAAAAGUAUUUCUUAGCCAUUUAUCUUAACUAUUUACUGGAAAAUAAUUAAUUUAAAUUUUAUGUUGCCUACUUUAUUCUUAUUUUCAUUUAUCAUUUUUAAGGUGUUAUAACACUUUUAAUUCAUUUUACGUCAAAUGAUAUUAAUAUUAUCAUCUUUUUUAUUUGUUUAUGUUAUUAAGUUUUUUUAAAGAAGUUUGUUUUUAUUUUCAAAUAUUAAUUUUUUACAUUUUCUUUUUUAGACCUUAAAAUAUUUUUUAGCGAUUAACCUAAAAAUAUUUAUAAAAAAAUAAUUAAUUUAAAUUUUACAUUACCAAUUUAAUUAUAUAUAUUAAAAUAAUAUUGUCUAACAUCUACUCUUAUAUUAUAUUAUGAUUAUAAUUUUUAUAGCCAUUUCUUAAUCCAUUACGAUAUUUUAAACAUAUUUUACAUCAAUAUGAAUUUUAUUACUCUUACAUGUUUAUGUUUAUUCUUUAUCUUUUAUUAUGUUUAAAAUUUUCAUAACUCUUUUUUAUGAUGUUAUGAUACUUCUAAAUCAUUUUAUACUAAUUGAUAUGAAUUUUAUUAUUCUUCUCGUUUAUUUACACUAGUAAUUUUUUGAAAAAAAAAUAUUUCUAACUCCUUUAAACUUAAUUGAUAUCAAUUUUAUCAUUAUUCUCAAAUAUUUAUGUUUAUUCUUACUUUUUAUUACAUUUUAAAUUUUUAUAAAUGUUUAUUUUAAUGUUACGACACUUCUAUUUAAGUUAUUUUUAAAUUUUUAAAAUUUAAAAUUUUUUAAUAUUAAUUUUUUAACAUUAACUUUUUAGCCUUUAAAGUAUUUUUAGCCAUUGGCUUAAAAAAUUUACAAAAAAAAUAAUUAUUAAUUUAAAUUUUACAUUUCAAACUUAAUUAUUUAUGUUAAAAUAAUAAUUUUUACACUUAUUUUUUUCUUAAUUAUUUAUGUUAAAAUAAUAUAUUUUUAUACUUUUUUUCUUAAUUAUUUAUGUUAAAAGAUUUAUAACUUUUUUUUAUAAUACUUAUGACCUAUUUUACAACAAAUUAUACUAAUUUUAUAAUUUUUCACACAUGUUUACAUUAAUAAUUUUUUUGAUAUUUUAUUUUCAAAAAUUAAUUUUUUAACUUUUAAGUAUUUUUUAGUCAUUGCCCAAAAAAAUAUUUACAUGAAUAUAAUUAAUUUAAAUUUUACAUAACAACUUAAUCAUUUAUGUUAAAAAAUAUCUUUUUACGAUUUAUUUUUAUCUUUCUAUCAUAUUUAAAAUUUUUAUAAUUUUAUCUUAAGUUAUUACGUCACUUUUAACCUAUUUUAAACUAACUGCUAUAAAUUUUAUUAUUCUUCUCAAUUAUUUACAUUAAUAAUUUUUUACAAUAAAUUUUAAAAUAUUAACUUUUUAUGUUAUCAUUUUAGCCUUGAAAGUAUUUGUUUAGCCAUUGAUGUUAUAUAUCUAUUAAUUAAAAAAAUAAUUAAUUUAAAUUUUACAUUACUAAUGUAAUUAUUUAUGUUAAAAUAAUAUCUUUCAACACUUAAAUUUUGCUUGGUUAAAAUUAAAGAUAAAAAAAAAUCAUGAGUGAAAAACUAAUUAAUCCAAUAAUUAAAAUUUAUAAUAUAUUUUUUAUUUUAUACUUUAAAUUAAAAAGUUGUAUCCUUACCCCUUUUCAUUUUCUAUAUCAAGUAAAACCUUAUUCUUACCUUUUAUUACUUUAAAAAUUUUCAUAACUUAUUUUUUAAAAUGUUACAAUAUUUUUAAUAAAUUUUAUGUCAAUUCAAACAAAUUUUAUUUUUUCUAGAUCUCACAUCUUUACAUCAAUAUUUUUUUAUUCUUUCAUUUUAAAAAAAUAAUUCUUUUAUAUUUUCCUUGAAAUUAUUUUUAUUUUAAUAUUUUAUUAAUUUAUAUAGAAUCAUAUUUUUUGUUUAAUAGUACUUUUUAGCUAUUUUAAGAGAUACUAAUUAUUUUAAAUUUUUUAAAUAUAUUUUUAUUAUUUUUUAUUUUUAAGUAAAUUCGUAAACAAGUAAGAAAGUGAAAAAUCGAAGACUAAUCGAGGCAAACGAGAAAUGAAGUUGAACAUAGCAAAAAUUACGGAGAAUAAAAUUUAUAUAUAAUGGUUUAUUGAAGCAUACCUCACUUGAGAUGGAUCUUCAAAAGCCGUAUGGAUCAGUAAAGGAAAAUCAAGGACCAGUUUUUUUUUUUUUCUAUUUCCCUGUUAAAAGAACAGAAAAUUAGAAAUCAAUAAAAGCCAAAAAAAAAAAAACGCUUUUUUUAGUUAUAAAAGCAAAGUAAAAAAUCAAGGAAAUUAAAAAAGCACCAAAAUUUUUUUGUUGAGUUAUAAAAAGAAGAGCAAUAAAGCAGAAAUCAAGCAAAGGAUUUGGUACUCUAGCUAGCUGGAAGAUGUGGAGAUAAUGAUAUAAGACGAUGCUUGAUUGCCUCGAUGGAAACUGUUUGAGGAGAGAGCUGUAAGCGAAAGGUAAGGCAGCAAUACAAAAGAAGAAAAGAUAGAAAUAACAAAGAAAUGUGAAGUUUCAAGAUCCAACAACUUUGCUUCAAUUGAAUAAAAAAUUCAACCAUCAAAGAACUUCGCUUCCGAGAAAAGUAAGUUUCACCAAAGACUUCUUCAAUUUCUUUGGAGUCUUUGUUUAUUAUUAUUGUAAUUACUAUUUUUCUUAUUCUAAUCCUUAGUGGAAGGCGAUUAGACUAGGGCCUGAACGUCUCUUUCUCUUCUUCGAAGCUGUACCUUCUUUAAUUUAUCACUAUAUUACGGUUUAAUAUUAAACUGUCAUUGGAUUUUUAAUUUAUUAAUUUUUAAAUAAAAAUAAUAAAAUAAAAAUAUUUUCAUAAUAUUCUAUUAAUAUAAGUGAUAAAUUAUGCAACAUGCGAAACAAGAUUUAAUGCCGAACAAAUUAAAUCUUCAUUUUAAUUAAAAUAAAGAGACAAAUUUCAUAAUUUGAUAUUUAUGGAUAAUUUUAUUAAUUGUUUCAUAAAUUAAAAAAAUCUAAAAAAUUAUUUGAAGAGUUGUAUAAAAAAUAUACAAAAUUUUAUUAAAUACAUUAAUAGUAAAAUUUUUUAAUUUUAUAAACAAAAUAACACAUCUUUUGUAUAUUUAAAAAAUUUAAUUUAAAAAAUAUAUAUUAUCAUUUUAAUUUAAUUUGUAAAAUUAAAAGAUUUUACUAUUAAUUUAUCAAAUAUUUUUUAAAAUAUAAUUUCAAAAUUUUGUGAAAAAAUAUGAAUGAAUUAAUUUUAAAAAUUGAAAUCAACAUCAAAAUAAAAAACAUUAGAAACGUAUUAGUUUUUCUGCAUUGUCAUUACCAUUUUUCUUAUUCAAAUCCUUGUGAAAGACAGCAAGAGAAGGGGCCAAGCAUCGACUUCUUUUCCUAAAUUAUUUAACCAGUAAAUAAAAGUGCAAUGGCACAUGGAUUAGCAACAAAUUGACCGCACAUGCAGGUCACGUGCGCUUUAACGGUCCCUAACAGGUUUGUUAAAGUUUUGUUUGUUUCUUUGUUGGUGUAAUCUUUUUUAGUGUUUCUAAAAAAAAAAAGGUUUUUUCCUUAUCAUUCACGGCGCAAACAGUGGUUUUAUGACGCGAUGCUUUUAAGAGGCAUAAGAUCUCAAUUUUAUUCAUAUUUAAUAAAAAAUUUUAAUUUUUUAUCUGAACGAAAAUAAAAAAUAAAUAUUAUAUUAUAUAAAUAAAAAUAAAUAUAACUUUAAAUUUUUAUAAAAUACGAAUAUGAAAACAAGUAUGGAAAAAAUAAUAUAACACUUGCUUCAUUUUUAUAUUUUAUACUUAUUUAUAUAUAAUUAAUAAAUAAAUUUUUUAUUAAAUAAUAUAAAAUAUUAUUUUAAAUUAAUUAAAAUAAAUAUAUUUUUAUUAAAAAAUAUAUUAAUAGAUAUUUAUUAAAAAUUAUCUAUAAAUACAAAUUAAAAAUAAAAAAAUAUUUUUUUAUUUUUUUAAAGAUUAUAAAAAUAAAAAUUACUCAUAUUUAUUAAAUAUUUAUAAAAAUAAAAUAAAUUUAAAAUUUUAUUAAAUAUAAAUAUGAAAAUAAAUAUAAUAUAUAAAUAUAUAAAUAAAAAUAACAAAUAUUUUUAUCUUUACCUGUAUCCUAGUCUUUCACGUCCCUAAAAAUAAACGAAUGAGAGACAACAACCAAUUACGACUUACGAGGGGAGCAAGAGCUUGUAUUUGGUCUGCAUCGGGGACCACCCCCUCACCCUAACAUAUUCCCUUAUCUUGAAAUCCACAUUUCCACGUUGUUUGAUCUUUAGCUUUAACGAAAUGCCACCCUCAAUUUCAAAUAUUAAACUGUGUAGCAUUAAUUUUGACACUAACUUCUUGUUUCAUUCGAAUCCAAUUUUUAAAUGCCUUUUUAAAUAACUUGAGAGCCGAAUGUCACGCAAUUUUCUUGGAUUCUCUUUUGUUAUAAUUAUUACCCUUUUUUGUUAUUCAAAUUUUAGUGGAAGAGAGCUAGCUAAAGUCUGUUUAUAUUUUUAUAAAAGAGAAUUUGAUUUACGAAAUUUUAAAUUUUAACAGAUAAAAUGAUUUUUGAAUAAGUGUAAAUUUUCAAUAAUAAAUGAUUUUUUAUGUUAUUCAAAUAUUAAUUUUUAUAUUUGGUUCAAAAAAAAUUAAAUUACUUAAUAAAAGAUUUUUAUUAUAAUGAUUUUCUUUACAUGUGAAUAAUCACGUGAUAAUUAUUUUAAUUACUAUUAUAUUAUUAAAAUUAAACAUCUGACAGUUAUUAAACAAUUAAAAUAUAAAAAGGCUUUUAUUUUUAUAUUGUUAAAAAUAAGCUAGUUUAUUAUGAUAAAAAUAUUUUUUUUCAAAAAAAGAAUAUAUAUAUGAUAAAAUAAAAAACAUAAUAUCUAAUUGAAACAAAAUACAAUUAAAAACACAAUCUUUAAUUGAUGUUUAAAAAAAUAAUUUGCAAAAUUAUGUUUCUAAAAGUAUAAACGUAAUCUUUAAUUGAAAAAAAAUUACUACAGAUUACAUUUUUUAAAUUAGAUUAUCUUAACUGAUAUGCAAUGAAACUCCACUAUUUGUAGUAAUUUACCAAAAUUAAAAUCUUAGAGUAAAAUUUUCUAAGAUAAGAAUUGCUUGAUAAUUGAUAGUUGUACACGAAGUUUUCACACAAAGAAGAAUUCCCCAACUCCAAAUCUCAAACCAUUUACUAUUUUUCCUUCCUAAAAUACAUGAACUCACGGUUGGGGAAGGGAUUUUCAUGAAACCAUUGAAAUCGUAAAACCAAUGAAUGGUGAACUAGGUUAAUUCUUUCUUUUCUUAAUUUAUACGAAAUUAAUUUCAAAAAAUUAUUUCAUCCAUUCUAAAUGGAACUCUGUUCUUUGCAAAGACAGAGACAGUUCUACUUAUGGUAGUUUGCUACUAAGCUAACUCCAUGAUUAACUAAUUAAAUAUUAAUUAUAGCCAUAUCUGCAUGCUUCAAACUUAAUUAGAACAAGACGAGGAAAACAAUUUCAUCAACACAAAUUGAAAUUUAAUUAUUUCUAAUUACUUCUAAUGAGAUUGAGAUAUGUGCUAUAUAAAUAUUCUCAUAUUAUCUAUGAAAACUAAUUUAAAGUAUCAAUUCCAAUUAUUUAAAUAAAAAAUUCUUUCAUAAAUUCUCUUUUAUCUAAUUUUUGAGCAUACACCUGAAAUCUUUGAAUUUGAGGUGCAAAAUUUGUGAACAGUUCUUUGAAGUAAAUCUUCUAAUGUUCGUUAAAUUAGAAAGAUGAAAGAAUUAGUGAAAAACAUACAAGGGCCCAAUCAUCCUUCUCUUAUGGAGUUUCGCUUCACUUUUCUUUUCUUUUUUUUCCUAAAUUAUUCAACCAAUAAAUAACAGUGUAAUAGAAAGAGGAAUGCAUGGGUCUUAAAAGAUGUAAAUUAGAUUUGAUAAUUUAUGUAUUUGUAUUAUAUAAAAUAUUAAUAUCAAUAUAUUUAUAUAAUAUUUUACAUAAAAAUUAUAUAUUAUAAUUCAUGUCAGAUAUGAAAAUAUAAAAUAUAUAUUUUUUAAUUUUAUUAAAUUCAUUUGUGGUUUUUGUUAAGAUUUUGAACUGUCUUAUUUUUUAUAUCUAUUACUCGUAUCAUUUUAUAUUAUAUUAUUAUAUUAUAUUUUAAAUUAUUAAGUUUAAUAAACUUUAAUUUCUUUUGACUUAUUUUUUAUAAUUAUUUUAUUUUUUAUGCUUUUUUAUUCAUAAUUCUGUUCUUAUUCAAGGGAUUAGAUUCUAUACCAAAUUAUGCCCCAUGAGAUGCAAGAUUUAAUGACUAAACAAAGAAAGAGUUCAUGAAUCAAAAUCUUUUUUUUCUCCUUCCUUUAUUUAUCCUAACAUAUAUAUAUAUAUAAACCCUAAAAUUUCAGUAGCAUACAACAAAAUUUUUAUAUCAUAAUAAAUUUAGUACUUAAAUUUUUUAAAACUAAAAAUUUUAUAUUUACUUUUUUAAUAUUGAAUUGGUUCAAUUUGUCAAUGAGUACUUCAAUUAAAGUACGAAAACAUUUCAUGCAAUUCUUGUGCAUAUUAUCUUUAGCAUAUUUGGAAGUUUAUUUAGACUCUAAAAUAUUUUGAUAAAAGACUGAAAAUCUGAACAUCUAUGAGUUUUCAUUUUUUUUAUUAAUAUAUGUUUUAUGUAUGCUUGUUGCAGGACUCUCCUUUUGAUUGAAGUUGUUGAAAAUGCUGUGAAAAUGUCUACUCUUUUCACUUUUCUUACCAGUAAUUUAUGGAAUUUUAUUUAUUAUCAUUAGAAAUUUUUGUUUCAAUGGUUUUUUAUUUCUCUUGGAUUUCCUCUAUGUUACUGUCAUUGUGCAUGUAUUGCAUGUUUACAAUUUGUUAUUAUUAUUGAAUAAAGGUUCUUUUUUAUUAUUAUUAUUUUGUAAUUAUGAUUUAGUUUUGUUAGUAAAUUAAUGUGUAGCUUGUCUCAUAGAUUGCAUUGCAUGCAUGAGGUGAGUUUCUCUGUUUCAGUUGUAUAGAAAAUAUUGCAUGAAGCUUUAUUAUUAUUAAUUUUAUAUGAAAUCAGUGUUCAUAAAUCCCAGAAAAGAAACAUGUUAAUGGGGGGGUUAUCUUUAGUCUUCAAUGAAUCCAAGGCUGGGGGGAGAUCUAUACCGUGUUAUUUUUAUCAAAAUAUGCCGUUUUAGUCGCUGAAAGUUUGAAUUGUUGGAACAAUUUUCAGAUUUUUUAUGGAAAUUCGAAGUGAUUCUUUCAUUGUUGGGAAAAAAAUUAGAGGCUAUUUUUUUUUCAUAGGAACACAAACAGAUAGAUUUGUAUUGAAAUAUGUUCAGCCAUGAUUUCUUGGUUUUUAUUCCUAUUGUAAUUAGCUAAUUCAACCUGUUGGCCAUGAUUUUGGGUCAUGUUGCUUUGCUGGAUUUAUACAUGUUGAAUGAGUAUUAUUGAUGUCCACAUUACCUAUGUUUGAUAAGAAACAUGAUUGUGACUGCCCCAUUUUCUCCUGCAAUAGCUCGAUAGCUUCACUAAAUAAGAUACAUGAUUGUUGGCUGGGAUAUUCCUAAAGAGGAUGGGUGUUCAACAUGGCCUUAAUGACCUGCAGUGGUGUUGAGAAGGCAACAUUCUUGCUUGAUGAUUUAUGAAGUUGAAUAUUUGCCUUUUGACAUGUUUGUUAAACACGGUUGUGCUUUGUACCAGCUUGGUUGUAUAGGCUAUAAUGUACCUGCCCUUUUGUCUUCCAGGAAAGAAACAGUAUUAAGAUCUGUGGAAAAAGCAAUUUCUUUGCUGCAAAUUUGUGAUGGAUCAAGACAAUGACCAAGAGAAUAAAUCUGAUGCAUCAGCAGAUGUUCCGCUGAAACGCAGACGUGGUCGCCCGAGGAAACAUCCGAAAUAUAAUCUAAAAUAGGGGGAGAAUCCAAAUCUGAACUGUGCAGGGAAUACCCGUAUCCGACCUGGAUUUGAAGGGGUGAACGGAAAUCAACCCCGUCAAGCAAAUUCAAUCAAUGAUGCAAAUGAUAUAAUGGUGGGUCAUUCUGUUUAUAGUAUUAUUGAGGCAGCAUUUGUUGCAGGAUAUUUGCUCACUGUUAGCGUUGGUAACUCUGACACCACUUUAAGGGGUGUGGUUUUCAAGCCUGGCCAUUUUGUUCUUGUUUCAGCUGAGAAUGAUGUGGCACCAAAUGUUCAAAUGAUCAGAAGAAAUGAGAUUUCCUUCCCAAGGGAGAGGAAUGAGCAGCAUGUCAAUUCUCAUAGAAAUGGAUCUGCUCAUUCAUUCAAUGAACCGGUUGUUGUCAACCAGGUGCCUCCAGCCUGGUUUUCAAACCUUGAAGGCUCAAAAAGCAAACAUGUGCAGUCGGUGUCAACACAAUCUGCUUCUCCACUAAUGACCAGAGGCAUUGUGGUGCCCGUUGUGCUCCAAACUGCUAAUUUAUCAAACCGCGAAUCAGUUUCCAACCAACCAUCUCUGGUUGCAAGCCGACCAGCUCAUUUGGUGGCCUCUAAAGGCAAACAAGUGUCUGAAGCUGCUGAUACAUCAAAUGAGGGAAAACCCACCAACCAGAUGCCAACAGUUAGAAAUCAAAUAUUUCCUACUCAAUCUCUAAGUAGUAACCACAGCAUGCCAAAAGGCAUACAAAGUGAAACUGUUUCAUAUAAUCAACCCGCAACAGAGUUUUUUCUGGAGACAGAAGCCAUGUCAAUGACUGGCAUGCCUUUUGAAAAACUAUUAACUGUAGUCAUGAAAAGAACUCAAGUACCCCCACAACCAUCGGAGGCUCAAGGUGGUAAUUUGUUGGUCAAAGAUUCUGGACACAACCUGGAAGAUGAUCAGCCACUCUCUAUUGAACCAAUGCAAGCUGUACAGCCUGCUCAUUCUUCUUCUGUGCUCAAACAUUUGGAAAAUUUUCGAACUGAAAAGAUGACUGAGCUGCUGAAGGUAUAAUAAUUUUGAACUAGAAUUUUAUUUCCAUUUGACUAAUCUAUUAUGCCCUGAGGUUUGACAUAGACUGAUACACUGCACUCCUCUUCAAGGCUGUUCGGAAAACAAGAGGGAAACUCAAGCAUCUCGCACUGAAGAGCUAGCCGUUAGAUUUGGAGAAACUUAGCAUGGAGAUAAAGAAAUGCAUGAUUCCAAUAAGCAUUCACAGGUUUCGAGGGUCUAAUUCAGCAGGCAUUUUACUAGCAGGUUCUGGACUAGCUCACAUUUUGUAGAGUGUUUUAGUUGAAUCAGAUAGAUUCUGUAAAAUGUUUUAGAUCCUAAACUAGGCGAAGGAGCUAAAUGAUCCCUGGACGGUUAUGACCUUAAAGCACAAAAUGCUGCACGGGAUCUUCUAUCCUUUAACCUGAGGAUCAAAACUGAUACCAUUACUUGGAAUUAAAGAUUUUAUUUUUGUCACUUCACAGAUUUAUAGAAAAUCUAUCUUCAUUUUACUUUAUGCUUUGUCAUCAUUUAGAGUCCAUUUAGGAGUCCGACUGGAGGGCUCCCCAUAGCGCAUUUUAUGGUUGGACACUUAGUAAACGGCCCUUAUUAAAUAUAUGCGGCUUCCUUAUAUUAAGAUCAUCUAAGCAUUGAGCACGGGACUUGUGAUGUGGUCAAUUAAGUGGAAACUAAAUGUCUUGAAUAGAAUACAAAAUCAUCAGUGGCUAUGGAGAACGUUUGCAAAUGAUUAUGAUGUCAAAAUCAUGAUGGGGGGUUUUUCCCGAACCGUGUUUGUUUCAGAACUCAGGUUAACUCUUGCACUGGGUUAAACCUUGCUAUAGAUUAGCCUCCAUUCUUCUACCAAUUCAUCAUUGAGAGUCUUACCUAGCUGUCACCGCCUCGACAGCCUCUUCAUGAAGUACAAAUCUUCAGUAGAACGUUUAUUGAUUAAUUGAUUGUAGAUUUGAAUACGAAGUUUAGUUUAAUUGGUUUAUGUAAUCGUUUUUAAAAAAUAACAUUCAACAAGUCUAAAAUUCGAAUAUUAAGCUAUUAGCACUUAUAACUUCUAUUCUUAAAUUGUGAUCUUAUUCAAUAAAUAAAUUUAUGAUUUGAGUUAAUUCUUCAUUCGUAAAGAACCUUAAGUUUUUUGGUUGUCAAAAUUACAUAAAUUAGUUACCUUAUAAGGCUAUGCUGCUCUAUCUAUUGUAUCAAUAACCAAAUUGAUGAAAAAAAUAACAUACAAGCCAAUUUCACUUGCAUUGUUGAAUCGCUUUAUGAUAGUUUAAAACUCUUAUAAUAUUGCUAAUGAUCUUAUCUUGGUUGCAAGAGGAGGUUCUUGAAAUAUUCAAAUCUCAAAGUUCAAGUUCUAUUAUUCUUAGAUUUGAUCUAAUUGUAUAUUCGAUUUGUUUAGUUUUAUGUUGAUUCACUAAUUUAUUAUAAUAAUUAUUAUUGAAAAUGAAAGAAUUUGAAUCCCAUGUACCAUUCCUUGAGUUAUGUGCUCUCAAUUCGUAUAUAUUUGAUAAUUUAUGUAUUCAUAUCAUGUAAAAAAUUGAUAUUUUGUAUAUUUGUAUCAUAUUUACGUAAAAAUUAUAUAUCAUAAUUCAUGCCAACAUUAAAAAUAUAAAAUAUAUUUUUUUAUUUUUGUUAAAGCAUAUAUAAUUUUUGUUAAAAUUUUAGUCAAUAUCACUUUUGUUUUUUUGUUUUCCAAUAUAGAUCCAAAUUAAUUAUUCGAACAAAAUAUCGAACCUAUAUAUAAGCAAAUAUUCCUUUAUCAUCGAAUUAAACCUAAGUAAGGUAAAUAACUUUCUUUUAAUUUCUGUCUAAAAAUUUUCUUUUAACUUCAUCAAUAACCUUAAACAUGGGUUUUCAUUUGUACCUAUACAAUUUGUGGUUUCUGAGUUUCUUUUAUCAUUAAACCAACAUGUGUUUGAUUUGGGUUAUAUUUUUACUUUUCCUUUGUAAAUGUCAUGAAUUCAUCAUCAUUAUUGCAUGAUAUCUUUUGGUAUUAUUGUUGGGGCUGCUUCUACAAAAUUUGCCACAACUUAAAACAAAAAAUCUCCACAAAGUAUAUUGUAGGUAAAUUUGUGGUAUAAUUAACUUCAAAUUCAAUUUAAUUCAUUAUAUUUUUAGAUACUGAUAUGGGUCUUGACACAUUUUGAACACUUUAAUGUUCAUAUUUGUAGGAUACUUUGAUUUUUAAAUUUAAUAUAAAAGAUUAUCAAAAACAAAAUUUAUUCAUGUUCGAUGUCCUAUCACACAAGUUCAUAUAACAUAAUGUAUAAAUAGUAUACCACUGAAUUAAUUAUUAAAUCACCACAACAAAAACAAGCAUGGAAGACCAUCUAUGACAUGCAAGUAGACAAAAAUAUGUACUACUCAUCCAUACAAGCUGCUAUAGGGAACUAAUAAGGAACCAGCAAACCAAUCUAAACAUAAAAAACCAUGUUUCUUAAGAGUACAUGAAUUUUGCCAACAAUCCCUAGGCCAGGAUAUAAGAAAAGGAUUUAUGAGACCUGUAAGCUUAAGUUCGAGUUCAAAUAUAAAAAAAAAAAAAGCCGUGACAUUUGUCUUAAAUGAAUGGCUAAACAUGGCUUUAUUUUACAAUAUCAAACAAGUAAAUGCAAUGCAACAUAGGGUAAACUAGUCCUACACUGCAAAGUAAAGCUCAAAAAGUAGAGAAAGUAGAGAUCCAAUCAAUUGACAGCAUCAUAAAACAAAAAGCUCAAACGAUGAUAAGCACAAUUAAAUAUCAACCACAUAUCAUUUGAGGCAAAAAAUUGAUAAGAAUUUAAAUAAGAAAAUUGAUUAAGGAAAUUAUAAAUAUAUGGAUAGAGGCGGAUUCAAGAUUUUUGUUGGGAAGUAUUUACUUAUAAUAUAUAAAAUACUAUUGACAGAUUUAUCAAUUUUAUCCAUGAAAAAGGUGUUAAGAAGAAAGUUUUGGAUGUUCAUGAAAAUUUUUUCUUUAAAUUUUUUUUAUUUUCUAAAUUUUAAGAGUUUCCAGAAAAAAAUUUAAGGGUAUCAACACAAAGUUUUCCUUAAAUUUUUUUUUAAAUGGACACACCGCAAUACCAUGUAAAUCCGCCUCUGUACAUGGAAAAAUGCAUAACCCCUCCAAUUCCUUCAACUUGUCCUCAAAUUCAUCAACUUCUGUUAAUUGGUUCCUAUCAAGCCAUUUAACAGUCUCAUUAAUGGCCUUCUUGAUCUUCUGCUUGUCUGCCGGGUCAAGUUUUCCAACAAACUAAUCAUCUUUCACGGUUUUCCUCGUAUUGUAUGCGUAGUUCUCGAGGGCAUUCUUGGCCUCCAGCUUUUUCACAUCCUCAUCCUCUACCUUGUAUCUCUCUGCCUCUUACACCAUUAUUUACUUUGUCAUUCCAAAAAAAAAAAAGAAAUCUUGCUUUGACAAUUGAAACCUCAAUGUUGACAAAGUUAUCAACAAAAAGGAAUCAAUAUUUUAAAAGUAAUUUGUUAUUCAGUAUAUCAAAUUUGUUCUCCAUCUAUUUUUAUAGACCAUGAAAAGCAAUGGGAAAGUACCACUAGGCAAUCUUCCAUGGUGAAAUUACGAGACAAUUUUCAUGUAUGAUGCUAAAAGUUAUCGAGCAGGAAAAGGGCAAUUCUUUCUUCUUUUUAUUGGUAGGUAUAAUAAAACAUUUCCCAUUUGUAAGCUACGAAUGCAUUAUUGUUACUAAACUUGGUAACAAAAACUCAUUUCACAAAGGUGAUAAGUUGCUUUUCAACCAUUCUUAAAAAGUUUUGAACUCUACAUAGUUCCAAUCUGAAUAUUUAUACACAAACUGAAUCAACAAAGAAACUUAACAUUGUUAUCAUCUUAUUGCGCGCUUUAUAUUCUCAUAUUUACUUCUGACAGGUCAUAACCAUCUAAAAGUUAAGGGUCCAGCCAGUCGAGUUUACUCAUAACUUGAUGAUGCCUCCAUGGAGUUCCAAGAAGGAAAUAUAGUGCCAGCCGGAAGUCAACAAGAAAAAAUUGCACAAAAACUGCCAAAGAGCAUAUUCUAAUAAAUAAGAGGAUAAAGAAUGAUUAUACCUUUCACAUAGCUGAAAGCUUUUACAAAGACCGCAAAACCAUCGCCAUCCGGAUAAUAUAGGUCUAUGGCAACAUAUGCAGACAAACUGCAGGUGGGCAAUGAUAGAGUCAUCCUUAAUAGGUAGAAUAUUUUGGCCCAGCUACCAAAAGAAACAAUGAAAUCAAAUAUUAAGUGACUAUUAUAGUUGCAUAAAAAAGGAUUCAAUAAAAAGAAAUAACUAAACAGAUCUAAAAUAGCAUGUUUUCAUAAUUACAUCUACCGCAUGUAAUUUCUUUGUCUAAUUCCAGUGUGCUUAAAGGAAUAGUCAAAAAAAUAAAGCUCCUUCCAUAGCAUGAAGGGAAUCGGCCAAAGAAUGUGUCAAGAUGAGCUGACAAAAUAUCAACUAAUUGGUUCGUGAUGGUGGCAGUUAAGGGUCAAAAAACUAUAUGAAAGAGUGUAAAAUUUGGCAUGUCUCCUUCUGAAUGGGUAUCUACACCCCCACCUCAAACACACCAAAAAAAGAAAAGUUAAACUGCAAAAUUUAAUCCAUUUCUCGGCGCAAAUAAUACCGACUACAAAAACUGAAAGAAAGUGAUCUAUCAAAUUCAUUCAUGCUUAGGCUUGAACAUUUAACUAUAAAAGCUACAGCUAACUCCACAAGGUUCAUCAAUUUAUCCAUGGUUUUAAAAUAAAAUAUUUUUAAAGACCAUGGUUUUUAAAACUCAGAAGCAACAACGAUAGAAAAAAUAAAUCUAAAUGGACGGAAACUCAUCUGCUAUGUUUUCAUUGAAGCAUUUCAUUGAACAAAUAACAAGCAUCAUAUAAAAUGCCUUAAUUUGAUGUGACCAAAAAUUGCAGAAACGAUGCAAAGUACCAACAGCAAAAACUAAAGAUCUAUUCAAUACCAGUGAAUCAGUUACUAUUAUAAAAAAUUGAACAUUAUUAGUAAAUGGAAAAAAAAAGACUAACGACUUAAAGUAAUGGCCAGAGGAUUACAGAGCAUGGCACGAAAAUGUGAGAAUAUACAGUCAUUUAUCUAUUCAAUACCUUGAAGUAAUUCUCCACAAAAGUGGGAUCCCCAAGAGUUGAAUGCUGCUUACAAUCUCUUACAAUUGGACAGCUUGUGUUUUAAAUUUUUUGCAAUUCUGUUUCUCUUUGAAGACUUCUUUAAAAACAAUAUUACAUUUCAUUAGAUCUGUAAGCAAUACUAAAUUACCACCUGCAAUUACAAUCCCAACUCUCCCAACCCUCACAUGCCACACCCAUCCUUUAUUUUUUUCUGUCAUUUUCCUUUAGACAAAGAAAAGAAACAAGACCAAGUCAAACGUAUUACCUAUAUACUUUACAGCUUGAUUACAAAGGUUCCAACUAAUGGUAGAAAAUUUUUUUUCUAAACAGAAUUAUAAUUAGUAUAUAUGCAUCAAAUACUCUGAAUAUCAUUUAAGGCUUGCUAACAGUAAAUUAAUCAAAAACUUUGGGAUUAAGAUCAAAUUUGUCUCCACAUUUUGAUUUAAUAUUAAAAUUUGUCAUUAUACUAUCAAUUCGUUGAUUUUUGGACAACAUCCUCUUUAAUUUCUUCAGUUUGCCUGAUGGCUUCAUUGACAUCAUGUUGCAAACGACCUUGUACCACUGUCUCUUACCUGAGGUCUUUAACAUAACUGGCAAAACAGAAAACAUAACUAAGAUGAGGAAUUGCAUGCUGGUGCCACCAGAAGCAGGGGCGGAUCCAUGCUUUGAAACAGGGUGUCCAUGGAUUGGAAAACAAGAUUGUUUGACAGAAAAACUUUUCUUGCACACCUCCAAAAUUUUCUGUUGCCACCUUUUCAAUCAGCAAAAUUGAUAAAUCCGUCAUUUAUAUAUAUAUAUAUAUAUAUAUUUAUUUAUAAGUGGACGCUCCCAAUAAAAAAAAAAUUUGGAUUAGCGACAAAUGUCACAGAUAGACCAAAAUUAGCCAUGCCUGAGAAUCGAAAUUUAAAAGACAUUCUGAAUUAGUACAUGGAAUGUCAUUGACAAAUUAAUAAUGAAGGAGAACCUCUGAAACUUCGCUGAGCACCUGAACUCUUAGCAAUUCCUAUCUGAAACUGCCCACAACGGGUGAACAAGUCACGGAUAAAUCAGCUUGAUAUCUAGGAAGGGAAAGAAAACAGAGCCUUCAUAUUUAAUCACUAUUUCUGUAUCUGCAAAAGAAUUAAGACAGAAGCAUGUAGUUAGACAAAAUCAUAGUUUUUACAGAAAGCUCAAUUAAGAUAGAACCAUAGCUUUUUUAGCAAGCUCUCAGCAAAAUCACUUCUUCCCUAGUUCCUACAUGUUGUUAUCCUUUGACCACAACUUGCAAUUAAUGUCCUUAUUACAAAACCUUUUGAAUUUUAAAAUGGAAAAUAUAGGGAAAAAGAUUUUCUCAAAAAUGAUAUAAAGAAAUCAACAUCUGCUCUUUGCACAAACAAUAAGUAAUCUGAAAAGAGGAAGCAAAAUUUUGGAGUAUCCUCCGAGUCUUUGUCUAUUUUGUGAGCUUUAACAGCCUUUACCGCCAAUAAAAUAGUUACAUAUGGAUCCAUUCACUGAUUAAUGAGAAACAAACUAAUUUUCAGAUUCUAGUGGAGAUACGUUAGCCAAAAUUAACACAUAAGUCAUAUUAUGAGAUAAGCAAUACUGAUGUUGAUCAUAGCAAUGCUUUGUUUCAUGUUGGAGAGGUUUCAUUUCUCUUUCAAAAUCCGUGGCGUCACAUGCACAAAAUACAUAGUUCCUUUCUCUGUCCAGAUUAAUGCUAGUCAACACUGCUUUGGUAUGUUCUCCACACCCUCAAGAUUUACAAAAAUCUGCUUUGUCAGCCAUGGUUACAUUCAUCCAUCCUGCCUCGGUUAGCGUAUACUUGAAUGAGCAACUUCAUUCAGGACUUUUUUUUCUUCUAAUUAUUGUAGAAACUCUUGCCAACGAGGGUAUGAGGCGGAUGUAUAGAACAGUAUUCCACCUUCAACUUCCAUGCUUGAACACUAUUCAAUUAUGGUAACAAAGUCAAAGCUAUACACAAUCUGUUUAAAAAAAUGCACUUGAUUGGGAGUCUGCAUUUAUCAAUAUACCAAUAUCCUUGAUGCCCCACAAUUUAUUAGACUAUAGAGAAAAUGUCAUAAUUAACAUAAGAAAUGACAUAAGUAAACACGAAUGCAACCAACAUUGUUCAUUUAUUUAUUUAUUUUUGUUUUUGCAAACUUUUCUUUUUUUUUUUGUUUCCAAAAAUAGAAAUAAGGGAAUAACUAUUAAAUAUCAAUUAAACCACUAAAUUAAAACUUAGGAUAACACAUAAUUCAUUUUUGGUUUGACUCUAAAAAAAAAAUUCUCUAUUGGUAUCAUUAAGCUGUUACAACAUGCAGGUUCAAGAACCAGACCAGUUAGACAAAAUUUUAAAAUUAAAACAAGAAGUCAUUAUUAAUCUUUUUGGAUUACGUAUGAUUAGUCACCUUAAAAGUUUUUUUUAAUAAAAAUUUUAAUUUGAUUAAAACUUAUUAAAAAGAUAUUUUUUUGGCAUGCGAAAUCACAACUAGGUUUAUGAAUAUGGUUAUGUGUGGGGAAGGAUUAACAUCCCACAGAACCCAUUAGAAAUGGCACUAAUUAAUAACAUGUAAUUCUUUUAUUAUAGAUAAAAAAUGGCCUUAAUUUUAAAAUUGAAAAAUAAUUUCUUAAAUCCCAUUUAUUAUUAUAAAACCCCCCUUUUGUCAAUUUUUUUAGAAUCGCUUUAACAAUUUUAAUUCAAUUAAAAUUUAUUAAAAAAAUAUUUUUUUGUAUGCGAAAACACAUCUAAGUAUAGUUGCAUGUGGAGAAGAAUUAGCAUCCUAUAAUACCCACUAAAAAAUGUACCAAUUAAUAACAUGUUAUUUUUUAUUAUUGAUAAAAAAAAUGACCUUAAUUUUAAAAUUUAAAAAUAAUUUCCUAAAUCCUAUUUAUUAUCUUAAAACCUUUUUUUCUGCCAUCCUUUUUAGAAUCGCUUUCUUUAGGAAUAAAAUGAAAAAUUUUCGUUUCAAAACAUUUUUAAAUUCCUCAAUAACUAGAUGAAAUUUAGAAAAAUGUUUUUUCGUUUGGGUAUUUUCAUGAUAAUCCUUAAAACCAAAGAUAAUAUUUUUGGGUAAAGAAUAAUUGUUGAGAAUUUCUCCCAUAUCUAAAUAGGGUCUUAGGAAAUAUUUUACUUAGGAUAUUAUCUUAUUUUAUUUCUAAAAAAUAAGUUUUUUUUCAAAAUCAUCUUUUACUACUUUAUAUAUUUUUUGAGAAUAGUAAAACGCAUGUGAUGUAACAUAAGGCAAAUUAAUGAUGCAAAUAUAAACUAAAAGAUACAAAUGAUAAAUUUAAUUUAUCUUAUAAAUCUUUAAUUUUAUCACUUUUUAUUUUCUUCAUUGUUUUUUUUUAAUAUUUAGUGAUAAAAUGAAAAUAUUUAUAUGUUUUUGGAAGUUACCUUUGUGCAUUAUCAACUUUAUAAUAUUUAUAAAUCCGAUAAUAUUAAAAUUUUAAAUUAAUAUCUCAUCAUAUAUGAAUUUAAUUUAAUUUAUAUUAAAUUUAUUAAAUUAUUUGUUGAUUUAUUUGUUUGAUUUAAUUCAAUGAUUUUCUUAUAGGAAUAUAAUACUUUCUUAUACUAUUAAGUUCAUAAAAAAAAAUUAAUAAGUAAAGAAUCUCCUAAAAUUUCCAUUGACAUGCAUUUUUUUUGGAACUCUUGAAUGCUUUGCAACGAGACUAGCUUUUUUGCUUUCUAAUAACUGGAAAAAGUCAUAUAUAAUCUUAACUAGAAAUAAGGAGAAUGAUUUUUUGGCUUUAAUUUGAAAUUUAAAACUAGAAAUUAAAGAUCUCCCCUCCCCAUGACUCAUAUACCAUAAUCACUACUUAUGAUUAGUAUGGUUAAUCGAAUUCUUUCUAAUUAUAUUAAGGAAAAACGAAAAUGAAAAGAAUAUUAAAAAAAGUAUGUAAGCGGUUAGUUGUACAUUAUUGGCCUCAAAUACGAUUGGUUUAUAUUUUGAUUUUUUGUCCAUGGAAAUGCAUUUUUUAUAAUAAAUAAUAAAUAAAUAAAUUUAGUAACCAAAUAAUUCAAAAUUUAAAACUAAAAAAAAUAUUCACAUGGAUGCAAAUGCAUUUUCAUUAAUUAAUUUCAUUUCACACUGUUUAAAAAAUAAUAUUUAAUACACGACUGGAUCAAGAGGUGAGCCUAUGGAUGAAAUAUGGCCAAUCUUCAAUUAAUUAACAAAUCAGAGAAAAUGUACUUAUAUUGCUGACAUCAAUAAAAACUAAAUGAAAAUAUAAUAAAAAAGAGGGCCAAAACCUUUUGUCCUUUUUCAUAAUGAUGCACCUUCCAACAAUAUUUUAUCCCUUGGUCUUUGAGGAAAGUGAUGGCCUUGGAGUACUAUGUUGUCUUCUUCCAAAUGAACCACCCAAAAAUUCCCAUUAAUUAGAUGAAUUAUAAAAAAUCUUAAAGAUCACAGCGGAAUUUAAAAAAUUAUAUAAUGUAAAAGUUGAACUACAUGUUUUGAUUUGGUUUAUAUUUUUAGUUUUCCUUUUUAAAUGUCAUGAAUUCAUUAUCAUUAUUGCAUGAUAUAUAUCUUUUGGUAUUAUUGUUGGGGCUGCUCCUACAAAUUUUGCCAUAACUUAAAACAAAAAAUCUCGAAUGUCUGUAAAUUUGUGGUAUAAUUAACUUUCAAUUCAAUUUGGUUCAUUAUAUUUUAAGAUACUUGAAUGGGCCUUGACACUUUUAAACACUUUAGUGUAUAUAUAUAUAUAUAUAUAGGAUACUUAGAUUUUCAAAAUUAAUAUAAAAAAUUAUCAAAAUAAAAUUUAUUCAUAUUUGAUGUUGUAUAACGCGAGUUCAUAUAACGUAUAUAUAAAAUAACUUAUCAUUGAAUUAAUUAUUAAAUCACCACAAUAAAAACAAGCAUAGAAAACUAUCUAUGACAUGCAAGUAGACAUAACUAUGUAUUACUCAUCCAUUCAAGCUGCUACAAGCAACUAAUAAAGAACCAGCAAACUAAACUGAACACAAAAAAACAUGUUUCUUAAGAGUAAAUGAAUUUUGCCACCAAUCUCUUGGCCAAGUGAUAAGAAGAGGAUUUAUGAGAUAUGCAAGCUUGAGUUCGAGUCCAAAUAUUAAAAAAAAAAUACAUGAAGUUUGUCUUAAAUGAAUGGCUAAAUAUGGCUUUAUUUCACAAUAUCAAACAAGCAAAUGCAAUGCAACAUAGAGUAAAUUACUUCUUCAUUGCAAAGUAAAGCUGAAAAAGCAGAGAUCCAAUCAGUUGACGCACCAUAAAACAGAAAGCUCAAAUAAUGAUGAGCACAAUCAAGUAUCAAUCACCUAUCAUUGAGGCAAAGAAUCAAUAAGAAUUUAAACAAGAAGCUUGAUUAAGGAAAAUCAUAAAUACAUGGACAAUGGUGGAUUCAAGAUUUUUGUCAAAAAGUGUUCACUUAUAAUAUAUAAAAUACUGUCGAUGGGUUUAUUAAUUUUAUCCAUUAAAAUCAUGUUUAGAAGAAAAUUUUGGAUGUUCAUGGAAAAGUUUCCUUUAAAUUUUCUUAUUUUUUUAAUUUUUAGGAGUCUCCAAAAAAAUUUUAUGGGUAUCCAACACAAAAUUUUAUUUAAAUUUUUUUAUUUUUCAAUGGACACCCCACAAUACCAUGUAAAUCCACCACAGUACAUGGAAAAAAAUCCCUAUUUACCUGCUUAGCUAACAAGUUUCUCCUGAAUUUUCACUUCCUUGUGUAACGUUAUCCUUGUUUCUCCCACAGUCAUAUAUUGUGGUACUUGAUCUUCCCAGCUUCUCCAAAUUAUAUCAUUGCAAGUGGUUUGAUUAUCAACUAUUUCUUCCAUUGUGGUGAAACCUUCUGUUGUAUUAUUCUGAACUUGUUGGGGUUCCUUCACAACAAAUUACCCAAAAAAGUGACAUAAAGUACUAAAUUUCCGUUUUCUUGUCACGAGGAUACACAAAAAAUAAAGACAAUUCUUAUUAAGUAAAUAAUGCUAGAAGUAAUUAAUUAAUUAAUUAUGCAUAUGACUUGUGUGUAUAUAAAAGAAUCAUCCAAUUCAUAAUAAUGUGUAGUUAUUUACUAGCAUAACUUUUGUUUCAAUGCAUCAUCAUUUCAUCAUUAGUAUCAAUAUGAUCAAGAACAACAAAUUAAUUAAUUAAGCAUAAUAGUUAGAAAAACAGUCGGUUAGGUACCUCCGUUAUGGCAGGCACUGGAUGUUUUGAAUCCAUGAUGACACUUCUGGUCAACUUGGGAGAUUUGGUUAUUUUAAAAUGAAACAAAGAAGGGAAUCGGAAAUGAUAACCCAUUGGAGCAAAACUCUUUAGGCUUGAUAGCUCAUGAAGAUUCAAAAUUUGUAAUUUAGGGAGCACCAGUCCCUUUUGAUCAUCUUCAAUGUUUAGUUCACCUUGAUACCCGAAGACUUGCUCUAGUUUAGAAGCCCCUUCAAUUUGGAUUCUCUCGAGGUUGGCAAAAGAACGGGCGACACUAAUAGGAAACAAGCUUUUCAAAUUGCUGCACCCAGAAAUAGAUAUAAAUUGAAGAAUAGGGAAGGAUAUAGGUUGGAGAUGACUCUGUGAUGAUGAUGCUAUUGAAGUUUGGUCCAUUUCAAUGAUUUCUUCCAACUCCUCACAACACUUUAUUUUCAAAACUUUCAAUUGCGGCAUAUUUGGAGCAAGCAUAGAAGAGAAGAGAGAUUUCAGCCUUUACAACUUGACACUUUUAAGUCUUUAAGAUAAGGAAGGCUUGCAACUUGGAUGGGACUCUGCAACUGAUGUAUACCCUUUAGAUUUAAAAUCUCUAUCUUUGAGAACAAGUGUCCGCCUUGAAUUUGAAAUAUAUUCUCCCAAUUAAUAGUGUCACACACAUUGUCUUGUCCCAACUCAGAGAAUCGUAACUCCUGUAUAAAUAUAAAAAUAUCAUAAUUUCAUUAAAAUUUGAAUAAAUUACAAUGGUCAAAUAAUAUAUGACGUCAAAAGUACAAAAUCUAAUAUAUACAUAAGUACAUUUAUGUGAAUAAUUUCUCUUUAUGACAUGUAGGAUAAUGUUUAUAUUAUUAUAUUAUUUAUCAAAUAACUCUGUUUAAUAAAUUAUUCAAAUUUAAUAUUUUUGAAUAAUUAUUUAAAUUCAAAUCAAAAUCUAUAAAAAAAAUUUUGCAUAAAUUUUAAAUUCAAAUAUAUUCAAUUAUAAUUUAUUUUUUCUUUUUACAUUAAUCAUAGUUCCAAAAAUAUAUGUAUUUAUAUGGUUAAUAUAUUUUUAUCUACCAUCAAAUAAUUCUAUUUAAUAAAUUAUCUAAAUUUAAUAUUUUGUAUAAUUAUUUAAAUUUAAAUCAAACUCUGUCAAAGGUUGAAAAUUUUACAUAAUUUAUCUUUCUUUUUAAAUUUAAUAAUAGUUCCAAAUAUAUAUACUUAUUAAAUUUUUAUUUAACGAAAUCAGAAUCUAAAAUUGAAAAUAAAGAGUUUAUAAAAUGAGAGGUCACCUUCUAGCCAAGCUUAUUUUAUUUGUUGUUAUUAGAAUUAAAAAUUGAAGAAUACAAGCCUUUUUUUCACUUGACGGUUAUGAUUUAUUAGUUUUGACGGGAAUGGACAAAAGUUAGAAAGAAGAGUAAACCACAUCAUACUAUGAACUAGUAAGUCCAUUGUUGCCUUUAUUAUUCUUUUAUUUUCUUUUUUGUUUGCAAAAAUAAGUAUGUGAUGGUGUUGGAUUUUUUUUAUAUAUAAUUUUUGCUUAAAUGACACUGAUUUUUUUUUAUCAAUUUCAAUAAUGGAAAGAAAAUGAAAGUACAUUUGGAUUUGGUUCCAACUCGGUAAUAAGUAGGUUCAUUACUUUUUUUUUCAUAUUUUAUGUUCUUUUUAUUUUUUAUUCCUCCAUUUGUUGUUCUUCAACUGUUUAUUUGGCCUUAUAUCUAUUAUAUGAUAUAUACAUUUGAUUUGAUUUAUCCUAAAAAAUUCAUUUAUAUUAAUUUUUAUAUAUAUUUAGUUAAGUGGAUAUUUUGUAGUGAUAAGUUCAAGAGAUUUCAACUGUAUAUGCCGUCCUCAAUUCGUUAUUGGUUUUUUUUUUGAUACAUGUAUUUGACUUUUGUUUUUAAUAAAAAGGCAAUAUAUAUGUUGAAGUAUGUGAAAAAUAAGAAUUAAUAAAAAGUAAAAUUGUUAUGAACAAAUUAAUAAUUAUAUAUGCUUUAUUGUUUAAUCAAAUAUAUAUAUAUAUAAAAGAAAUUAUUAUUAUUUUAUGUUUUAUUUUUUGUUCAACUUUAUAAGAUUUAAUAGUUUAUGAAUAUUCUAUUAAUAUAAAUGUCUUAUAAUUUAACAAAAUGAUAUAUUUUUUAUAUCCAUAUUAACAUUAUCAUAAAAACAAUUAUUAAUUUUUUACUAUUUAAAGAUUGACCCUUUAUUUUUUGAUCAAAAAAUAAAUAAUUAGUAACAAAAUUUUUUAUGUUUAGCAAAUAAAUAAAAAAAUAAUUUUUUGUUAAAAAGAAAGGAUUUGCAUAAUUCUUUGAAAUUUUGUAAAAGAUUGUACUUUAAAUGAUAAUAUGUGAAUGCUAUCAUUUAAUCAUAUCUUAGAAUUUAUAAAUGUAUGAUUAUAUAGUUGAUUAAUAAGAGUUUGCAUAUUCUUUUAUUGAGGAAAUAUAAAAAAUUAAAUUUAGUUAAAAAAAUAAAUUUAAAUUAAGAAAAUAAUAACACGGUUAAAAAAGCUAGUAUGUAUGUAAAACAAAUACCAAAGGCAAAAUCUCGAACUACAAUUGAAGGAAAAGAGUGUAACAAUACCUUUGGUUGAAGCUGUUUGUGAACUUGUAGUUGAAUAAUGAAAUUUUCCAAACGAGGACAGACCACAACGAUUAACUUCUUUAAGGAUGGUGACAUAAUGGGAUAGUUUUCUGAACAGAAGCUACUCAAAUUUAUCAAGUUUUCAAGUCGUAGAUGUUGCAGGUGACGGAGAGCAAUGGCAUGAUCAACUCCAUUCUUUUCUUCUGCGACAUUGAAGACAUACUGUAGUCGUGGACAACCAUGUAUUUCAAGAGAUGCCAAUUUUGGCAAGGGCGGAGGAUGGAGAAGGUCACUGUCUGAUUCUAUACUAUCAUCGCUUUCCAACUCUGUGGCAAUGUGUUCCAGUUCAUCGCAGUCUUCUAUCUUGAGUUGUUCUAGCAUCACCAAGCUUUGAACAAGUGAUGGUGAGAAGAGAUAUUUCAUUUAUUGCAGCGACUAAUUACUGCAACCUUCAGGCUUUGGAGGCAGACAUGAUGGCUGGGCCCUUUCCAUAUCCACUUCAAUUCUGGUAAUGACUUCAGCUUCAAAUUUGUUAAAUUUGGCAGCGGUGGAAUGGUUGAGACAUGGCCUUGAACUCUUGUAUCAAUCAAGCAUUCCAGCUCUUUACCAUCUUUAAGUGUAAGAAAAGUUAAUUCAUGUAGACCCCGUGAAUCGACGUUUGGAAUGAGAUUUUUGUGAUGCAUGAUUCCAUCCGUGGUAAGUUUUUUGACAUUGCAUAAUAAUUCCUUGAAACCAUUAAUGGAACAUCCUGAUAGAUUCACAAUAUAAAGGAAAACAGCAACAAAAUUCGAAACAUAUAAUGAGAUUUCUCUUAUUAGAAAAAAGAAAGAUUUGAGCUAAAAGAAUAUUUUUAUCCUUCACUUUUUACUGAAAGUUCAUUACUGUAAAAAUUUAAACAAUUAAAAUUAAACUGAGUAUAACUAAUAUAGGUAUGACACUACAUGGACACAAUAACACAAUAAUUUUAAAAAUAGAGGACAUGGAUACGAUAAAACAUGACAAUAAAAAAAUAUUUUUAUAUAUAUUUUUUAUCCAUAAAUUUUUAUAUGAAAAUAAAUUGAACACAAUUAUAACAUAAUUAAUGAUGUGUGUAAAACUAAAAUAAAAUUUUAUUAUUGCUAUGCGUAAAAGUAAAAAAUAAUUGAUAUAAUUAUAAUUUUAUUAAUUUAAUUUUUAAUACUAAUAGAUUAUAAAAUUUUAAACUUUUUAAAUAAUUUUAUUUUUCCUUAUUUUUCAUUUCUUUUCUUUUACUUCCUACAUUUUCUUCUUUCAUUUCUUAUUUUUUCUUUCUUUUUCCCUUUUUUUCCCUUCCCCAAAUCGUACGAUUUAAAAGCUUUAUCAAUUCAAUAAUAAUAGUUAUUGAAUAAUAUUUUAUUAUAUAAAGAAUAAAAAAAAUGAGAAUAAACAUACAAAGAUUUUAUAAAGUGUGUUAAUAAAGAGAAAAAAGAUACAUGGUGUUAGUUUUCUCAACCUGCAAGACAUGUAAUAAAUAUACAUUUAAUAAAACUUUUUUCUUUUAAACUUCAACAAAAGCUAAUUAUGUAUAAUAUAUAUAUAGUAUUUGUUUUCUCAAUCUGCAAGUCAUGUAAUAAAUAUACAUUUAGAUUAGUUAGUAAUAUAAUUUAAUUAAACUUUCUUUCUUUUAAACUUCAAUAAAAGUUAAUUAUAUGAUCAAUAUAUAAAAUUUAGUAAUUUCUCAUUAUUCAUUGAAGGAGAAAUGGAAAGAGAAAAGGUACCUGAAGCUCAACCAUUUCUUGGGGAAAAUCAAAGACUUGCUCUAAUCUAUCGCAGUCAGAUAUUUACGAGUCUUGUAGGUGCGAACAACUUUGAGCAAGGCAAGGCGGGAAGAUGGAUUUCAAUUCACUGCAUUCCCCGAUGUUUACAUCCUUUAGACUUUGGAGGCUUGCAUGACAUUGAUGGGCUGAUUGUAAUUUCCAUAUACUCUCCAAUUCUGGUAAGAAUGAUAGAUUCAAGCUUGUUAAAUUUGAGAGUAACGGUGUCUGACUAAUUUCUCCCUUUUAAAGAAGACUAUUCGUUUCAAAUACCACUUUCAACCGCUUACAAUCUUCAACGGUCACAUCUUUUAACUUUUGUAAGAAGCUAAUCGGACGCGGACCAUGGCGCAACUCUUUCAAACAAGUCAUUUUCACCAUUCUCAAUUUCACCAAAUUAGAGAACGCAGUGGUUGGUCCUUUCUCUCGUGUUGUAUCCAUUAAGCAUUCCAUAUUAUUGCAAUCUUCAAGCUUAAGAGAAGUUAAUUCUUCUAGGCCCUUUGGAUCUAUGUUUUGUGUUUCAUGACAACAUUCUUCAGAGCCAACUCUCCGACAUUGCAAAACAACUCCUUGAAUGCACUUAAUGAAGACGAGAAUUCAGUAAUUUCCAAGGUUCUAAAGUUUAGCACCUGCAUAAAUGGAUGAUAUUCAUUUACAGCUAUAAUGAAACUUUGUAGUUUAGGGAACACAAAAUUUUCUGGAAAACAUUGAGCUGUAGAAACACUCAAUGACAGUGCAGUCAAACGAGAUAAUGAAUUCAGCUCCGAUAAGUUAACAUUGUUUUCACAUCCGAUGUGUAGCUCUUGGAGUGACGUCAACCUGUUUGUUACACAAAUACCAAAAACCAUUAUCAAACACUUCAAGUGAAUCAUAAAAAUAGAAGUAAACAUAAGUUAAUUUUAAUUAUCUCAGCAAAUACAUCAUGAUUUUUCAGCACCUUUUCUUAUUAAAAAGGUUUGAGCAUUUUUUACUAUUUCGUAAUUCAUGUGACAAUCAUCUUAUAUACUAGCAUUUUUGUUAAAAUGGAAAGACUACAGCCUCGAAUGUUUCAUAACAAUGGAAGUGACCAAAAGCUUAUGGUAGAUAUAUUUCCCAUAGUCUAAAAUCAAAUUACUUAUAAUAAAGUAAAUAAAAGAAAAAUAAAUAACAUAAAACUAAAUACUUAAUUUUCAGCAAUAUAAUAAAAAAAAUAAUUGACAUCUACUAUUACCUUGAUAGCAAAUUAGGGGGAAAAUCGAUCUGUUUCUUUCUAGAGAAAGAAAAAUAAGAAAAACGUAGCGAUUUUAGUCUAUGCAAUGCCACUAAUUCUUCAGGUAGCUUAUAAAUAUUAGUAUUAGAAAAUGCAAGAAUCUCAAGUUUUUCCAUGCUCCUCAAUGAUGAGAUGUUCUCCAGCUCGCAAUUUGGAAAGCAUAGACCUCGAAGAUUUGAUACGAAUUGAAGUACUUCUAGUGAGAAAAUGACAUUUGCGAGAUACAAAACUUGAAGGGCUUUCAUUCCUUUAACAAAUGCAUUCGGAACUUUCACUAUAGUCUUUCCUGCAAAAAUCAAAAUUUUGAGUUCAGGAAAUUCCAAAUUUUCAGGAAAAAUAUUUAUGUUGCUGCUCCAAAGGAAGAUUGUGUAUGGGAUCACAACUUUUACUUAGAGGCCAUUCCAUCAACCCGUCUUUUACCAUGAAUAUAUGUUUCCCUGUAGGUGCUAUCCAAUGAGCAAAAUCACGAACCACGUCAUGCAUUCUUACAUUUAAUUCAGCGUCAUCAUCAUCAGUUCUCAGUAACGAAACCAGACUCUUGGAGUUUUCUUAGUGCUUCACGAAUUUCCCUCCGUAAGUCGUCAAUUAAUAAGUCUUUAGGUAAGUCAAUAUCAGAAAAUAAUCCAUGACCAAUUGCAAACAUAACCAAUAACUCAAUAUCAAUAUCCCUAUCUUCUGGAAAAAGGGAACACAGCAAGAAACAUGUUCGAAUAUUAUCUCCCUUCAAAUAAUCAUAACUCAGCUUAAGGCAGUUGUAGAUACCUUGAGAAACCUCUUCAUUGUCUAAAUCUCUUGAGUCCUUGAGUCGCUUGUUUGCCACUUUCCAGCCAUCUAGAGUUGCAACUUUUAAAGCUUUUCCGAUUGUCACGAUUGCAAGAGGCAAACCCANNNNNNNNNNNNNNNNNNNNNNNNNNNNNNNNNNNNNNNNNNNNNNNNNNNNNNNNNNNNNNNNNNNNNNNNNNNNNNNNNNNNNNNNNNNNNNNNNNNNNNNNNNNNNNNNNNNNNNNNNNNNNNNNNNNNNNNNNNNNNNNNNNNNNNNNNNNNNNNNNNNNNNNNNNNNNNNNNNNNNNNNNNNNNNNNNNNNNNNNNNNNNNNNNNNNNNNNNNNNNNNNNNNNNNNNNNNNNNNNNNNNNNNNNNNNNNNNNNNNNNNNNNNNNNNNNNNNNNNNNNNNNNNNNNNNNNNNNNNNNNNNNNNNNNNNNNNNNNNNNNNNNNNNNNNNNNNNNNNNNNNNNNNNNNNNNNNNNNNNNNNNNNNNNNNNNNNNNNNNNNNNNNNNNNNNNNNNNNNNNNNNNNNNNNNNNNNNNNNNNNNNNNNNNNNNNNNNNNNNNNNNNNNNNNNNNNNNNNNNNNNNNNNNNNNNNNNNNNNNNNNNNNNNNNNNNNNNNNNNNNNNNNNNNNNNNNNNNNNNNNNNNNNNNNNNNNNNNNNNNNNNNNNNNNNNNNNNNNNNNNNNNNNNNNNNNNNNNNNNNNNNNNNNNNNNNNNNNNNNNNNNNNNNNNNNNNNNNNNNNNNNNNNNNNNNNNNNNNNNNNNNNNNNNNNNNNNNNNNNNNNNNNNNNNNNNNNNNNNNNNNNNNNNNNNNNNNNNNNNNNNNNNNNNNNNNNNNNNNNNNNNNNNNNNNNNNNNNNNNNNNNNNNNNNNNNNNNNNNNNNNNNNNNNNNNNNNNNNNNNNNNNNNNNNNNNNNNNNNNNNNNNNNNNNNNNNNNNNNNNNNNNNNNNNNNNNNNNNNNNNNNNNNNNNNNNNNNNNNNNNNNNNNNNNNNNNNNNNNNNNNNNNNNNNNNNNNNNNNNNNNNNNNNNNNNNNNNNNNNNNNNNNNNNNNNNNNNNNNNNNNNNNNNNNNNNNNNNNNNNNNNNNNNNNNNNNNNNNNNNNNNNNNNNNNNNNNNNNNNGAAAAGAAAUUGGUUUCAUUGUUUUGAAAACAUUGCCUUUUUACUUAUUAAAGAAAAUUCCUUUUUUUUAAAAGAAAAUAUAUACAUUUGGGCUUUCAUCAGGUAUCACAGAAACCUCAAAACGGUGGUGUCAUCCUAUUAUAGAUAUCGAGAUGCUAUUAAACUUAAACUAUUCUACGAUCCAUGUAUUUGUCCAAAAUCAAGUAAAGGGUAAAAAUUUUUUCAUGUGUUUUAAUUUUGUGUGCAUUCUAUGAAGAAGGUUCUGCAUGGCUCACCUAUAGGGUGGUUCUUUAUGGUUUUCUAUGUGCUUGGCUGGGAUUUUUACAUGCCUAAAGAUUCUAAAUUGCUCUUUACUAUUACCCAUACUAAUCUAGUAAGUUAUAUUGAUCUUAAACUAUUAUAGGAUACAAAUGGAAAAUGUUUAAUAUGAAUAAGAGUACUUUAGAUGAUUCACCUCAUAAGAGUGUAAGUAUUUACUUUCUCCUAAAAGGUCGGAGCUCACAUAAAAACUCAUGCAUGUAAAUGAAUAUAAAUUGUGUGUGCCAAAGAACAAACAAGCAUUUGAUAUUUUUACUCUUUACCAAGAUUCCAAUAUCUUAAAUGCCUCACAAUUUAUUAGACAACAGAGAAAAUGCCAUAAUUAACAUAAGUAAUGAAUGAUAUAAAUAAACAUGAAUGUAGGCAACAUUAUUUGUUUUUCUUUUGUUUUUUGCAAAAUUUUUCAUUUUUCAAAAUUUUUGUUUUUGAAAAAUAGAAAUAAGGGAAUUACUAUUAAAUAUCAAUUAAAACCAUUAAAUCGAAACUUAAGAUAGCACAUAAUUUUUUUUUGGCUCGACUUUAAAAAUAUCUCCAGUGAAGUGGUCAAGCUGUCAUACCAUACAGGUUUAGGAAUCUGACCACCUCGUUAAAAUUUUAAAAUUAAACAAUGAAUUGUCACAAAUCUUUAUUUGAGUAGAUACGAUUGGUUACUUUAAAAGAUUAUUUUUUUAAUAAAAAUUUUAAAUUAAUUAAACUUAUUAAAAAUAUAAUUUUUUGUAUCGAAACACAUCUGGUAAAAAAAUAAUGUUAUACAUGGAAACAUUAACACCCACAGUACCGGUUAAAAAUAGUCUAAUAAUAACAUAUAUUCCUUUAAUAUUGAUAAAAAAAUGCCUAUAAUUUUAAAAUUUAAAAAUAAUGUCUAAAUCCAUUUAUUAUGAUAAAACCCUUUUUUUGCCAUCCUUUUUAGAAUCAUUUUAUUAAAAAUAAAAUAAAAUUUGUGUUUCGAAUUUCUCAUUCCAGAAAAUUUAGAAAAAUGUUUUUUACUUAGGUAUUUCAUAAUAAUCCUUAAAACAAAGAUAAUAUUUUUUUCAUAAGAAAUAAUUAUUAAAGAAUCCAUUUAAUAUUAGCAGAGUCCCAAGAAAUAUUUUACUUAGAUAUUAUCUUAUUUUUUUUUAAAAAAUAAUUUCUUUAUAUUCAUCUUUUACUACACUAUAUAUUUUUAAGAAUAGUAAAAUGUAUGUGAUGUAACAUGAAGCAAAUUAAUGAUGCAAAAUAAACUAAAAGAUAAAAAUGACCAAUUUAAUCAUAUUAUAAAUCUUUAACUUUAUCACUUUAUAUUUUUUCAUUGUUGUUUUUUUAAAAAAUAUUUAGUGAUAAAAUGAAAAUAUUUUUGUGUUUUUAGAAGUAACCUUGUGCUUUAUCAACAUUAUAAUAUUUAUAAAUCUGAUAAUAUUAAAUUUUUAAGUUCAAUUCUCAUCAUAUGUGAAUUUAAUUUAAUUUUAUAUUAAAUUAUUUAAUUAUGUGUUGAUUUAUUAUUUGAUUUAAUUCAAUGAUUUUCUUAUAUAAUAUUUUCUUAUACUAUUAAGUUCAUAAAAAAAUUAAUAACUAAAGAAUUUUCUAAAAUUUUCAUUGACAUAGCAAUUUUUUUUUUGGAACUCUUGAAGGCUUGGCAACAAGAGUAGCUUUUUUGCUUUAUAAAUAACCGAAAAAAGUCAUAUAUAAUCCUAACUAGAAAUAAAGAGAAUGACUUUUUGGUUUUAAUUUGAAAUUCAAAACUAGCAAUUAAAAGUCCCCUCUCCUCAUGACCUGAAUAUCAUAAUCACUUAUUAUGAUUAGACUUGAUAAUUUAAAUUAUGAUAUGAUUAUAUAAUAUGAAUACAAUAUAAAAUUAAAUACGAAAGUGAUAGAGUUUAAAAUUUAUAAUAAUAACUAUAUAUAAAUUUAACAAAAUAAAAAAAUAUAUUUUAUAUUUUUAUAUCGAUACGAAAUAUGACAUAAUUUUUGUGUAAAACACAAAACGAAUACAUGAAUUUCAUUAUAUUACACUAUAUGAAUACGUGAAUCGUCAGAUUUACUUAUGAUAAACAUGGUUAAUCAAAGAAAAAAUGAAAAAAGAAAGUAUGUAAACAUUAAGCAACUAGCUAUACAUUAUUGGCCUAAAACACGACUGGUUUAUAUUUUGAUUUUUUUACCUAUGGAAAUGCAUUUUUUAAUAAUAAACAAUCAAUCAAUCAACCAAUCUAGUAAUUAAAUAAUUCAAAAUUUAAUACUAGAGAAAAUAUUCACAUGUAUGCAAAUGCAUUUUCAUUAAUUAAUUUCAUUUCACACUGUUCAAAAAGAAUGAUAUUCGAUAUAGCUAGAUCAAGACAUGAGAAUAUGGAUGAAAUAUGGACAAUCUUCAAUUAAUUAACAAAUCAGUGAAAAUAUGUUUAUAUUGCCGAAAUCAAUAAAAACUAAAAGAAAAUAUAAUAAAAAAGGCCAAAACCUUUGGUCCCUUUUCAUAAUGAUGCUCCUUCCAACAAUAUUUUAUCCCUUGGCCUUUGAGGAAAGUGAUGGCCUUGGGGUAGCAUGCUGUCUUCUUCCAAAUUAGCCACCCAAAAAUUCCCACUAAUUAGAUGAAUAAUAAAAAAUUAUAAAGAUCUCAGUGGAAUUUAAAACAUUAUAUGAUGUAAAAGUUGAAUUACAUAAUAGUAUUUUUGCUAUUUACAUGUUUUGAUUUGGUUUAUAUUUUUAUUUUUCCUUUUUAAAUGUCAUGAAUUUCAUCAUCAUUAUUGCAUGGUAUCUUUUUGGUAUUAUUGUUGGGGCCGCUUCUACAAAUUUUGCCACAACUCAUAACAAAUAAUCUCUGCAAAGCAUAUUGCAUAUAAAUUUGUGGGAUAAUUAACUUCCAAUUCAAUUUGGUUCCAUAUGGGUCUUGAUUUUUUGAACACUAUACUGUUUAUAUGUAUAGGAUACUUUCAUUUCAAAAUUAAUAUAAAAAAUUGUCAAAACAAAAUUUAUUCAUGUUUGACGUCCUAUCAAUGAGUUCAUAUAACAUAGUGUAUAAAUAACAUCAUUGAAUUAAUUAUUAAAUCACCACAAUAAAAACAAGUCUGGAGAAUCAUCUAUGACAUGCAAGUAGACAUAACUACAUACUACUCAUCCAUACAAACGGUUAUAAGCAACUAAUAAAGAACCAGCAAACCAAACUGAACGCCAUGUUUCUUUAGAGUACAUGAAUUUUGCUAACAAUGUGAUAAGAAGAGGAUUUAUGAGACAUGUAAGCUCGAGUUCGAGUCCAAAUAAAACAAUACAUGAAAUUUAUCUUAAAGGAAUGGCUAAACAUGACUUUAUUCACAAUAUCAAACACGAAAAUGCGAUGAAAUGUAAAGCAAAUUAGUUCUUCAUUGCAAAGCAAAAUUGAAAAAAUAGAGUUCCGAUCAGUUGACGGUGCCAUAAAACAGAAAGCUCAAACGAUGAUAAGUACAAUCAAGUAUCAACCACCUAUCAUUGAGGCAAAGAAUCGAUAAGAAUUUAAACAAGAAACUUGAUUAAGGAAAUCAUAAAUACAUGGCAGUGACAGAUUCAAGAUUUUUGUUGGGAUGUGUUCACUUAUAAUAUAUAAAAUACUAACGAUGGAUUUAUCAAUGUUAUCCAUGAAAAUGGUGUUUAAAAGAAAAUUUUGAAUGUUUAUGAAAAUUUUCUUUUAAAAUUUCUUAUUUUCUAAUUUUUAGGAGUGUCCAAAAAAAGAUUUGAAGGUAUCCAACACAAAAUUUUUCUUUAAAGUUUUUUUUAUUUUCAAUGUACACCCCACAAUGCCAUGUAAAUCCACCACUAGACAUGGAAAAAAGCCAUAUUUACCUGUUUAGCUAACAAGUUUCUCCUGAAAUUUUCACUUGCGUAACAUUAUCCUUGUUUCUCCCAGAGUCAUAUAUAGAGGUAUUCGAUCUUUCCAAUGAAUCCAAACUAUAUCAUUGCAGGUGGACUGAUUAUCAACUAUUUCUUCCAUUGUGGUGAAACCUUCUGUUGUAUUAUUCUGAACUUGUUGGGGUUCCUUCACAACAAAAGACAAUUCUCAUUAAGUAAGUUAUGCUAGAAGUAAUUAAUUAAUUAAUUAUGCAUAUGACUUGUGUAUGUAUAUAAAGAGUCAUCCAAUUCAUAAUAAUAUGUAGUUAUAUACUAAUAUAACUUUUGUUUCCAUCAUCGUUUCAUCAUUAGUAUCAAUAUGAUAAAGAAAAACAAAUUAAUUAAUUCAGCAUAAUAGUUAGAAAAAAAAAGUCGGUUAGGUCCUCUGUUACCUCUGUUAUGGCAGGCACAGGAUGUUUUAAAUCCAUGAUGACACUUGUGGUCAACUUGGGAGAUUUGGUUAUUUUAAACGACCACAUAGAAGGGAAUCGGAAAUGAUAACCCAUUGAAGCAAAACUCCUGAGGUCUGAUAGCUCAAAAAGAUACAAUUCUUGUAAUUUAUGGAGCACUAUUCCCUUUUGAUCAUCUUCAAUGUCUAGUUCACCUUGAUACCCAAAGACUUGCUCUAGUUUAGAAGGCCCUUUAAUUUCGAUUCUCUUGAGGUUGGCAAAAGAACGGGUGACACUAAAAGGAAACAAGCUUUUCAAAUUGCUGCAACUAGAAAUCCGUAUGUCUUGAAGACUAGGGAAGGAUAUAGUUUGGAGAUGACCCUGUGAUGAUGAUGCUAUUGAAGUUUGGUCCAUUUCAAUGAUUUCUUCCAGCUUCUCACAAUACUCUAUAUUCAAAAUUUUCAAUUGCGGCAAAUUUUGAGCAAGCAGAGAAGAGAAGAGAGAUUUCAGCUUAUUACAAUUUGACACUUUUAAGUCUUUAAGACAAGGAAGGCUUGCAACUUGGAUGGGACCCUGCAACUGAUGUAUACCCUUUAAAUUUAAAAUCUCUAUCGUCCUUAAGAGUAAAUGUCCAUCUUGAAUUUGAAAUAUAUUCUCCCAAUUAAUAGUGUCGCACAAGUUGUCUUGCUCCAACUCAGAACAUCGUAAUUCCUAUAUAAAUAUAAAAAUGUCAUAAUUUCAUUAAAAUUUGAAUAAAUUACAAUGGUCAAAGAAUAUAUGAUUUCAAAAGUACAAAAUCUAUUAUAUAUAUAUAUUAUAAGAUACAAAAUUAUCAAAUAAGAUGUGCUGAUAUACACGUUUAUAUGAAUAAUUUUUCUUUAUGACAUGUAGAAUAAUGUUUAUAUUAUUAUAUUAUUUAUCAAAUAACUCUAUUUAAUAAAUUAUUUAAAUUUAAUAUUUUUGAAUAAUUAUUUAAAUUCAAAUCAAACUCUAACAAAAGUUGAAAAUUUUGCAUAAGUUUUGCAUUUAAAUAUAUUAAAUCUUAAUUUAUAUAUUUUUUUAAUUUAAUCAUAAUAUAUAUAUACACACUUAAUACAUUUUUAUUUGAUGAAAUCAGAAUCUAAAAUUGAAAAUAAAGAGUUUAUAAAGUGAGAGAUCACCUUCUAGCCAAGCUUAUUUUAUUUAUUGUUAUUAGAAUUAGAAAUUGAAGAAUACAAGCCUUUUUUUUUUACUUGACAGUUAUGAUUUAUUGGCUUUGAUGGGAAUGGACAAAAGUUAGAAAGAAGAGUAAACCACAUCAUACCGUGAACAAGUUCAUUUUUGCCUUUAUUAUUCUCUUUUUUCUUUUAUUUUCUUUUUUAUUUGCAAAAAUCAAUAUGUGAUGGUGUUGGAUUGUUUUUACGUUUGCAUAUUUUUUGCUUAAAUGACAUUGAUUUUUUAUCAAAUUUCAAUAAUGGAAAGAAAACAUACGUACAUUUGGAUUGAUUUCAACUCGGUAAUAGGUAUGGUUCAUUACUUUUUUUCAUAUUUUAUUGUUUUUUAUUUCUUCCAUUUGUUUGUUCCUUCAAACUAUUUAUUUGGUCUUAUUUCUAUGAUAUGAUAUAUACAUUUGAUUUGAUUUAUUCUAAAAAUUUUUUUGAUUUAUAUAUUUUUAUAUAUUUAUUAAGUUGAAUAUUUGUUACGCAUAAGUUCAAGAGAUUUCAACUGUAUAUGCAUUCUCAAUUUGUAUAUUUGAUUUUUUUUAUAAACGUAUUUUGACUUAUAUUUUAAUAAAAGCAAAUAUAUAUGUUGAAGUAUGUAAAAAAUAAAAACUAAUAAAAAGCAAAUGGCUAUGAACAAAUUAAUAAUUAUAUAUGCUUUAUUGUUCAAUCAAAUAUAUAUAUAUAUAUAUAAAAGAAAUUAUUAUUAUUUGAUGUUUUAUUUUUGGUUCGGGUUUAUAAGAUUUAAUAGUUUAUGAAUAUUCUAUUAAUAUAAAUGUCUUUUACAAUUUAAUAAAAUGAUUUUUUUUUAUAUCCAUAUUAACAUUAUCAUAAAAAAUUAUUAAUUUUGACUAUUAAAAGACUGACCCUUGCUUUUUUGAUCAAAAAAAUAAAUAAUUAGUAACAAAAUUUUUGGUGUUUAGCAAAUAAAUAAAUAAAAUUAAUUUUUUGAUAAAAAAGAAAGGAUUUUUGAAAUUUUGUAAAAAAUUAAACUUAAAACAACAAUAUGUGAAUGCUAUCAUUUAAUCGUAUCUUAAAAUUUAUGAAUGUAUGAUUAUAUAUAGUUGAUUAAUAAAAGUUUAAAUAUUCUUUUAUUAAGGAAAUAUAAAAAAUUAAAGUUAAUUAAAAAAUAAAUUUAAAUUAUGAAAAUAAUAACACGGUUAAAAAAGCUAGUAUAUAUGUAAAACAAAUACCAUUCUCAAGAUUUUAUUAUAAUGUACAAAUUAAAUAUGUUUAAUUGAUUUUCAAAUUCUAUUUAUUUUAUAAGCAAGUGAAAUGUUAUCUAAAUGUUCUCUAUGAGUGCCAUGUCAUCAAAGUUUGCCUAUAUGUAUGCAUGCCAGCAGUUUGAAUUCCCAUCCAAAUUGGAUUUCAUUAAAUUAAAAUAGUAGGAUGGCUAAAUUACACACAAUAAUAUUGUAAGGGCUUAAGUGAAAUUUUGAUUAUAAUAUGGUUAGAGAGCUUAUUUUAUUAUUUUUCCAUUACUUAAAAAGGUUUUUUUUUUUUUUUUGAUAACAAACAAGUUUAACUCAGUCUUAAAUGAGUUGAACAUAAAAUAUUGUUAAAGAUGAGAGUUCAACAUAAGUCUUGAAUGAUUUAUUUUAAUUUUUCUAAUAUAAAACUUAAAUAAGAAACCCUUUUUUGAAAAGAGAUUCAAAGCAUUGAUUAUUUUAUGAGUAUAGAAAAGAUUUGGGCCAAAGGUAAAAUCUCAAACCAUAACGGAAGGAAAGGAGUAUAAAAUUACCUUUAGUUGAAGCCGUUUGUGGACUACUUGUUGAAUAAUGAACUUUGCAAAUCGAGGACAAACCACUAUGGUUAACUUCUCCAAUGAUGGUGGCACAAUGGCGUGAUCAACUCCAUUCUUUUCUUUUGCCACAUUGAAGACAUAUUGUAGUCGUGGACAACCAUGUAUUUCAAGAGAUGUCAAUCUUCGCAAGGGAGGAGGAUGGAGAAGAACACUGUCUGAUUCUAUAUUAUCAUCACUUUCCAACUCUGUGGCAAGGCGUUCCAGUUCAUCGCAGUAUUCUAUCUUGAGUUGUUCUAGCAUCACCAUGCUUUGAACAAGUGAUGGUGAGAAGAGAUAUUUCAAUUUAUUGCAGCGACUAAUUACUGCAACCUUGAGGCUUUGGAGGCAGACAUAAUGGUUGGGCCCUUUCCAUAUCCACUUCAGUUCUGGUAAUGACUUUAGCUUCAAACUUGUUAAAUUUGGCAGCAGUGGAACGGUUGAGACAUGGCCUUCAUCUGUUGUAUCAAUCAGGCAUUGCAGCUCUUUACCAUCUCUAAGUGUAAGAAAAAUUAAUUCGUUUAGUCCCCGUGGAUCUACAUAUGGAAUGAGAAUUUUGUGAUACAUGAUUCCAUCCAUGGUAAGUUUUCUGACAUUGCAUAACAAUUCCUUGAAAUCCUGAUAAAUUCACAACAUAAUGAAAAAUAGCAGCAACAUUAGAAACAUAUAAUUAGAUUUCUUUUAUUAGGAAAGAGAAAGAUUUGAGUUAAAAGAAUAUUUUUAUUCCUCGCUUUUCACUAAAAGUUUGUUACUGUAAAAAUUUAAAUAAUUCAAACUACUGCUUAGAAAUCAUUGAUAGUGACAAAUAAUACAAGUACGAUACGACAUGAAUAUGACAACUAAACAAUUUUAAAAAUAGAAAACAUGGGUAUGGUAAAACAUGACAAUAAAAUACAUUUUUAUAUAUUUUUAAUCCAUAAAUUUUUUAUACGAAUAUAAAUUGAACACAAUUAUAAAAUAAUUAAUGGUAUGUGUAAAAGUAAAAUAAAAUAAAUUUAUAAACAAGAUUAAAAUUAUAUAGGAAAAAAUAUAAUCAAUAUAAUUAUAAUUUUUUUAAUUUAAUUUUUAAUACUAAUAAAUUAUAAAAUUUUAAACUUUUUAAAUAGUUUCAUUUUUUCCUUUUCUUCUUUUCUUUUCAUUUUUUUUCCUUCUUUUUCUUUUUCUUCCUACAUUUUCUUCCUUUUCUUUUCUCUCUUUUUCAUCCCGUUUCUUCUUUUUUUUUUCUUUCAUUUUGCCCUUUUCCCUUCCCCAAAUCAUUCGAUUUGUAAGCUUUACAAAUUCAAUAAUAGUAGUUAUUGAAUAAUAUUUUAUUAUGUACAGAAUUAAAAAGAGAAAAAAAUACAAAGAUUUUAUAAAGUGUGUUAAUAGAGAGAAAAAAAUAUGUAGUGCUAGUUUUUCUCAACCUGCAAACCAUGUAAUAAGUAUACAUUUAAUCAACCUUUUUUCUUUUAAACAUCAACAGAAGCUAAUUAUAUAUAAUACUUUUAUAUUUAAAUGUGAAUGUACUGAAUUUUGACGUUUGUGUUAUAAGAUAAAUAAUUCAAUUAAUUAUUAUCAAAAUAAACAAAAUUAAAACAAAAAUAUAGUAUAAGAGAAGUACCUUUAAAUGGGCCUGCAACGUCUUAAACUCAGUUAAUUGGGGACAACUGCGAACUUGGAACUCCUUCAAAGAUAAUGACAUGACAAAAUUUUCUGGACAAAAACUACUCAACUUCUCUAAAUUUUUAAGCCUUAAAAUUUGCAAUCUCUGUAGCACAAUAUGUUGUGGUGGACGUCCACCCUUACCCUUUGUCACAUUGAAGACCUGCUUUAGUUGAGAACAAUCAGUUAUCUCAACAGAUUCCAAAUAAGGAAGUCCUUGAGCUAAAGUGAAUGGAAACACAUAUUUCAAUCUUCCGCAAUUAAUUAUCUUGAGAGUUCUCAACUUAGGCCAGCGGAGAGGAUAGCCAUCCAUCUUUGAAACUAUUUGAUCCUCAUUUUCUGCUUCUCCGAAGAUUACAUGUUCCAAAGAGCCGCAAUCUUUUAUGUCGAGUUCUUCUAGAUGCUCCAAACUUUGAGCAAGGGGAGUCGAAAAGAGAUAUGCCAGUUGCACACACCUCCAUAUUAUCAUAGUCUUAAGACUUUGGAGGUUAACAAGAUGGGUGGGCCCUUUCCAUAUCCACUUCAAUUCUGGUAAUCUGAGUAGCUCCAAAGAAGUUAGAUUAGAGAGCAGCUGUACCUGACAUGAAUUCAUUGAUUGAAAAUGCAAAUAAAUAUGGACAAAACAUUAUAUACAAAGGCAAUAAUAGUAGUUAUUGAAUAAUAUAUAAUUUAGAAAGAAUAAAAAAAAGAGAAAAAAUACAAUGAUUUUAUAAGUGUACUAAUAAAGAGAAAAAAAAAGAGAUAUAUAGUGUUAGUUUUCUCAACUUGCAAGUCAUGUAAUAAAUAUACAUUUAGAUUAGUUACUAAUAUAAUUUAAUUAAACUUUAUCUCUUCUAAUCUUCAAUACAAGUUAAUUAUAUGAGCAAUAUAUAAAGUAGCAAUUUCUCAUUAUCCAUUAAAGGAAAAAUGGAGAGAAAACAGAUACCUCAAGCUCUCCCACUUCUUGGGGAAAAUCAAAGACUUGUUCUAAUCUAUCGCACCCAGAUAUUUGAAGUAUUUGUAGAUGCAACAAACUUUGAGCAAGGCAAGGCGGGAAGAUCGCUUUCAAUUCAUCACAACUCCAAAUGUUUACAAACUUCAGACUUCGGAGGCUUGCAUGAUAUUGAUGGGUUGAUUGUGAUUUCCAUAUACUCUCCAAUUCCGGUUAACAAAAUAGCAUCAAACUUGUUAAAUUUGAGAGUAGCGGCGUCUGACUAAUUUCUUCCUUUUCAAGAAGCCCAUCCAUUUCAAAUACCACUUUCAACCGCUUACAAUCUGCAAUGGUCAAAUCUUUUAACUUUUGUAAGAACCUAAUAUGCCCAUCUAUUUCAAGAGAUGUCAAUUUUGGCAAGGGCGGAUGAUGGAGAAGGCCACUGUCUGGUUCUACAUUAUUAUCAAUUUCCAACUCAGUGGCAAUGUGUUCCAGUUCAUCGCAGCGUUCUAUCUUCAGUGUUUCUAGCAUUACCAAGCUUUGAACAAGUGAUGGUGAGAAGAGAUGCUUCAAUUUGUGAUACAUGAUUCCAUCCAUGGUAAGUUCUUUGACAUUGCAUAACAAUUCCUUGAAACCAUAUGAUGGGACAUCCUGAUAAAUUCACAAUAUAAUGGAAACUAUUAGCAGAAUUAGAAACAUAUAAUUGGAUUUCUUUUAUUAGGAAAAAGAAAGAUUUGAGUUAAAAGAAUAAUUUUUUCUAUCGCUUUUCAUUAAAAAUUCAUUAUUGUAGAAAUUUAAACAAUCAAGUUGAGUAUAACUAGAACCUAGAAAGCAUGAAUAGUGACAAAUAAUAUAGUUAAGACAUGACAUGGACACGGCAACACAACAAUUAUAAAAAUAUAUUUUUAUAUAUUUUUUAUCCAUAAAUUUUUACUACGAAUAUAAAUUGAAUACAAUUAUAAUGUAAUUAAUGGUGUGUGUAAAAGUAAAAUAAAAUAAAUUUAUAAACAAGAUUAAAAUUAUGUAGGAAAAAAUAAUCAAUAUAAUUAAUUUUUAAUACUAAUAGAUUAUAAAAUUAUAAACUUUUUAAAUAAUUUCAUUUUCCCUUUUUUUCUUUUCUUUUUUUCCUUCUUUUUCUUUCUCUUCCUACAUUUUCUUUUUUUUCUUUUCUUUCUCUUUCUCCUUCCUGUUUCCUUUUUUUAUUUUUUAUUUUUGUUUUUUGUUUUCCCUUUUUACCCUUUAUCAAAUUGUACGAUUUAAGAGCUUUAUAAAUUCAAUACUAGUUGUUAUAGAAUAAUAUUUUAUUAUAUAAAGAAUAAAAAAAGAGAAAAAAAUACAAAGAUUUUAUAAUGUGUGUUAAUAAAGAGAAAAAAAGAUACAGUGUUAGUUUUCUCAACCUGCAAGCCAUGUAAUAAAUAUACAUUGAAUUAAACUUUUUUCUUUUAAACAUCAACAGAAGCUAAUUAUAUAUAUUACUAUAUAAUACUUUUACAUGUAGAUGUGAAUGUACUAAAUUUUGACGUUUGUGUUAUAAGAUAAAUAAUUCAAUUAAUUAUUACCAAAAUAAACAAAAUUAAAACAAAAAUAUAGUAUAAGAGAAGUACCUUUAAAUGGGCCUGCAACGUCUUGAACUCUGUUAAUUGGGGACAAUUGCAAACUUCGAACGCCUUCAAAGAUAAUGACAUGACAAAAUUUUCUGGACAAAAACUACUCAACUUCUCUAAACUUGAAAGUCUUAAAAUUUGCAAUCUCUGUAGCACAAUGUCUUGCGGUGGACGUCCAUCCUUAUCCUUUGUCAUAUUGAAGAUCUCAUUUUCUGCUUCAUCAAAGAUUACAUGUUCCAAAGAGUUGCAAUGGCUUAUUACGAGUACUUCCAGAUGCACCAAACUUUGAGCAAGGGGAGUCGAAAAGAGAUAUGCCAGUUGCCCACACCCCCAUAUCAUCAUAGUCUUAAGACUUUGGAGGUUAACAAGAUGGGUUGGCCCUUUCCAUAUCCACUUUAGUUCUGGUAAUGAGUUUAGCUUCAAAGAAGUUAAAUUAGAGAGUGGUCGUACCUGACAUGAAUUCAUUGAUUGAAAAUGCAAAUAAAUAUGGACAAAACAUUAUAUACAAAGGCAAUAAUAGUAGUUAUUGAAUAAUAUAUAAUUUAGAAAGAAUAAAAAAAAGAGAAAAAAUACAAUGAUUUUAUAAGUGUACUAAUAAAGAGAAAAAAAAAGAGAUAUAUAGUGUUAGUUUUCUCAACUUGCAAGUCAUGUAAUAAAUAUACAUUUAGAUUAAUUACUAAUAUAAUUUAAUUAAACUUUAUCUCUUCUAAUCUUCAAUAGAAGUUAAUUAUAUGAGCAAUAUAUAAAGUUUAGCAAUUUCUCAUUAUCCAUUAAAGGAAAAAUGGAGAGAAAACAGAUACCUCAAGCUCUCCCACUUCUUGGGGAAAAUCAAAGACUUGUUCUAAUCUAUCGCACUCAGAUAUUUCAAGUUCUUGUAGAUGCAACAAACUUUGAGCAAGGCAAGGCGGGAAGAUGGAUUUCAAUUCACUGCACUUCCGAAUGGUUGCAUUCUUUAGACUUUGGAGGCUUGCAUUUAGACCCUCAGGAUCUACGUUUGGGACAAUAUUUUUGUGUCCCAUGACAUUCUCCAGAGCCAACUUUUCCACAUUGCAGAACAACUCGUUGUAUGCACUUAAUGAAGUUGAGUCAAUAAUUUCCAAGGUUCUAAAGCUUGGCCCCUGCAUAAAUUCAACAUCUUUAUCUACAACUAUAAUGUAGCUUUGUAGUUUAGGGAACACAAAGUUUUCUGGAAAACAUUGAGCAGUAGAAACCCUCAGUGACAGCACAGUCAAACGAGACAAUGAAUUCAGCUCCGAUAAGUCAACAUUGUUUUUACAUAUCACGUAUAGUUCUUGGAGUGAUGUCAACCUAUUUGUUACACACAAAUACAAAAAAGUAUUAUCAAACACUUAAAGCGAAUCAUAAAAAUAGAAGUAAACAUAAAUUAAUUUUAAUUACCUCAGCAAAUAUAGCAUGAUUCUUCAGCACCUUUUCUUAUAAAAAAAGGUUUGAGCAUUUUUUUAUUGUUUUGUAAUUCAUGUGACAAUCAUGUUAUAUAAUAGCAUUUUUUUAAAAAUGGAAAUGACUACAGCUCUGAAUGCUUCAUGAUAACGGGAGUGACCAAAAGCUUAAGGUAGAUAUUUUUCCCAUAGUCUAGAGUCAAAUUAUUUAAUAAAGUAAAUAAAAGAAAAAUAAAUAACAUAAAACUAAAUACUUAAUUUUGGGAAAUAUGAUUAAAUAAAAUAAUUGACAUCUACUAUUACCUUGAUAGUAAAUUAGGGGGAAAAUUGAUCUGUUCUCUUCCAGAGUCAAAAAAAUGUAGCGAUUUUAGGCCACGCAAUGCCACUAAUUCUUCAGGUAACUCAUAAAUAUUAGUACCAGAAAAUGCAAGAAUCUCAAGGUUUUUCAAAUUUCCCACUGAUGAGAUGUUCUCCAACUCGCAAUUUACAAGGCACAGAGUUCGAAGAUUUGUUACCAAAUUAAGUACUUCUAGUGAGAAAAUGACAUUUUCGAGAUGCAAAACUCGGAGGGCUUUCAUUCCUUCAACAAAUGCAAUCGGAACUUUCACUAAAGUCUUUCCUGUAAAAAUCAAAAUUUUGAGUUCUGGAAAUUCUAAUUUUUCAGGAAAAAAAUUUAUGUUGCUGUUCCAAAGGGAGAUUGCUGUAUGAGAUCCACAACUUUCACUUGUAGGCAAUUCCAUCAACCCCUCUUUUACCAUGAAUAUAUUUUCCUCUGUAGAUGCUAUCCAAUGAGCAAAAUCACGAACUACGUCAUGCAUGCUUACGUAUCUUUCAUAACCAGUUCUCAAUAACAAACCAGACUCGUGGAGGUUUGCUAGUGCUUCACGAAUUUCUAUCCGCACGUCUUCAAUUGAGGAAAUAUGAGAAAAUAAUCCAUAACCAAUUGCAAACAUAACCAACUCCUCAAUCUUAAUAAGCCAAUCUUCUGGAAAAAGGGAACACAGCAAUAAACAUGUUCGAAUAUUAUCUCCCGUCAAAUAAUCAUAACUCAGUUUAAGGCAGUUGUAGAUACCUUGAGAAACCUCUUCAUUGUCUAAAUGUCUUGAGUCCUUGAGUCGCUUAUUUGCUGCUUUCCACCCAUCUAGACUUGCACCUUUUAAAGCUUUUCCGAUUGUUACAAUUGCAAGAGGCAAACCCUUGCAUUCACGAGCAACCUCCUUGGCUACAUCAUUCAAUCUCGAAGAAACAUCUUUUAGACCAGCAGUAUCUUUGAACAAAGCCCAUGCUUCAUCUUUGGAUAAGAUGUCAAGUUGAAAUUUCUGUUGACAAUUCAUACGAACACAGACUUGUUGAAGACGUGUGGUCAGAAGCAUUUUGCAACCUCCGUGUUCAACACCGAAAGGAAUACCUACAGUCAGCAACUUAAAUUCAUUCCAAACAUCAUCGAUAAUUACGAGGAUCUUCUCCACGCCUAGCAAUCUCUGAUGUAACUCUUCUGCUUUUCCUUCUGGCGUGCUUGCUUUAAAUUUCAAACUUAAUAAUUCUGCUAUUUUAUCUUGAAUUUGUCGAUGUUUGGAGUUUGGGACAUUGUAGCCAUCACAACUUUGUCAAAGAGCUUCUGCUCUUUAGCAUGCUUCCCAACUUCUUUUGCCAAAGUUGUUUUGCCCACCCCUGGCAUUCCAUACAAUCCAAUCAUGUUCACACCAUCAGUAUUUAGAGCCUUGAUGAUCUCAUUGAAAGUAAACUUUGGAGACUCAUUAGGCAUGAAAUUUUUAGAGGGGAAGAAUUCUAUUCCUUCUAGAGGAGCACGGUGGCCCACCCGUGGAAAGUUACAACUCACAAGAAGUUUAUCGAUAGAGAUCGUCUUCUUUGCCACUUUCUUACUUAAGCAAUAUCGCCAACCCCAACUUGGACACCAAUUGAAACACUUCAUACGUUCUAUUUGAGCUUCCAAACACUGGGUUUCUUCCAGUUCUUUCUCUGCCCUUUUUCGCCAGUCUUGGACAUCCUUCUCAAUUACCUCAUUUUGCCUUAUAGCCUCUUCGACAUCAUUUUUUACCCGAUCACUUUUCAAUUCAAGUUCUUUUCUCCGAUUCUUGAAUUCUUCAACAAUUUUCCCAAAUUGGAAAAAGUAACUAACAUAAGGUGAUGCAUAUUCUGUUGUGAUGUUUCCUACAGCAUUGGCAGCACCAGAGGCAAUAAAUUCACAUGCCAUUCUUUGAGUAUCUGCGGUUGAAAAACAACUUUAAUAAUUAGUAAACAUAUAAACAGCUAGAGAGACAAAAGAAAUUGUGAAUGUUUGCGAAGUACCUUAAUUACUUUGGGAGUCAAUUGUGAAGUAGAAGAGAAAAAUUGUUGAUGGAUCAACUUGGAAAUUGAAAAUUCUGCAAAGGGAAGAAAUUAUUCAGUGUUCAUGUGUAUAUUAAGAAUAUAUGUUACAUGUGUUAAGAGUAAAUGCAGUAUAUAUUUUGAUCAUUAAUCUAUCUAAUAGUUUCUCAAUUUUUAAAUAAAUCCGUUUAUUUCAUUUUUUUUCCUUAUAAAUGCAUUUUUUUUAUUUAAAUAAGGUAGGGAAACAAACAAGCAAACAACUUUUGAGCAUAUAAAAAAUUAUGGAAAUAAAAAUAAUUAUUUAAGCAUACCAAAUUGGGGAUGGACAUUCUAAAUAAAGCUGUGAGAACUUUUUACAUCAUCAACUCCAGAGAUCAUUAGGAAAGGAGAAUUAAGGAACAACCUUAAUAGAAAUUAAAAGAAAAAGGGAAUAAAGAUUAGUAACAAUAAGAUUAUAAGAACAUUGAAUUAUUUUUUUCUUUUUUUGAAGUUAAACGCAAAUCAGAAUAGAUAUAGGAUGAAAUAAAAUAAAAAAUAGAACUCAAAGAAACCAAAAAAUUAUACAGCAAUACUAUUUUUGCUUCUUUUAUUGUACAGAGAAAAACACAAGAAAAAAAAAAAAAAGAGACAAAUAUACCGAGGACAUAUGAAUUUUCAGGAUUCAAGAUCGAGCUUUUUAUUUCUAUCCACACAGUUUUUAUUUUAUUUUAUUUUAUUUUUUUGAGUUCAAAGAAAACUUAAGUAGAAACUAACCUUAUUUGAAAUGAACAAAAGAGUUUCAAGUAUUUACAAAUAUUGAGAAGUUGUGCUUGAAAUUUUCGUGACUGAUUGAAACUACAGAGAAAAGUUUGAUCAAAGACUUGUUUAAUUUCUUAGGUUUCUCUUUUAUCACCGUUAUUAUCAUUUUACUAGCUCAAAUCCUUAGUGAAAGACAGCUAGACAAGGGCCCAAGCAUCUUUUCCUUUUGUUGGGAGUUGGGCGCAAUGCCUUCAAGUCACACGUUUACUUUUUCUUUUUUGUGCUCGGUCAAAUUUUUUUUUUUCCUUGAAGAAAACUGAUCUAUUGAUGGUAGUGGGACAUGGCAUCAUUGAUGCACUUUUGAAUUAUUGACCCCUUUAUUUUGUCUUUUCUCAAUUAUUUUUCAACAAUCACUUUCUCACCUACUUUGUUUUGUUGGUUUUUCAUGGAUUAAAUUCGAUGCAUUGAAAGAUUUAAUGAUUCAAAAUCUUGUUUAUUUCCUCCGUUGAUUUAUCCUAACGUAUGAAAGAAAUAGUUUUUCAUAUCGUCAUUUGCUGAUAUACUGGGAAAUUCCACAGCUUACACAAAUUUAUCGAAAUUAAAAUCUUAUAAUAAAAAUUUUUAUUUUUUUAAGACAAUAAUUAUUUGAUAAUUGAUAUUACUUUCGUUUAAAAAUAUUUCUCAUAUAUUAAUUUUUACGAAAUUAAAAAAAAACUUUGAUUUUAAUUUUGUAUAAAAUUAAAAUUUCAUAAUUUUUUAUGUUAAAAAAAUAAAAAAUAAUUUAAAAUAUAAAAAAUUAAAUAAGAAUUUUAGAUUUUAAAAAAAGGAAUAGGAUAUAUAUGUAACAUCCCAAAAAAUAACAAAAAAAAAAAAGGAACGGAAUGAGUAGUUAUAAAUAGAUUUUUCACACAAAUGCGUAAUUCGUCAUUUCAAGUUCUCGACUCUCUAACCAUUUACUCUUUUAGCUAUACUUUUUAUUUUGUCGCAGGAAAGAAAAAUAAGUAAAAGAAAUGGAGAAUCGGAGAGAAAAGAGGCACCUCAAGCUCACUUUUGAAUUAUUGAUCCCUUUAUUUUUCUACUUUUUCAAUUAUUUUUCAGCAAUGAUUUUGUCACCUACUCGGUUUUGUUGGUUUUCAUGGAUUAAAUUUAUUUUUCAACAAUAAUUUUCUCACUUACUCAGUUUUUAAGGUUUUGAUGGAUUGGAUUCUGUAUCAAAUUAUGCCCCAUGCAAUGCAAUUAGAUUUAAUGACCAAACAAACAAAAGAAAGGGUUAAUGAUUCUAAUAUUCUUGGUUUUUUUUUUUCCUCCAUUGAUUCAUCCUACCACUUGAAAGAAGUAAAUUUUUAGAUUAUAUGAGCUGAUAUGCUGCGCAGCAUCUUAAUUACUUUGGGAGCAAUAUAUCGCUCCAUGAAAAUGAAAAUAAAAGAGAACAAAUGGUUGAUGGAUCAAUUUGGAAAUAAAAAUUCUGCAGAUGGAAGAAAUUAUUCAGUGUUCAUGCAUAUAUUAAGAAUAUACGUUACAUGUAUUAGAUUAAGGGCAUAGUAUAUAUUUUUAUCAUUAAUCUAUCUAAUAUUUUCUCAAUUUUUAAAUGAAUCUAUUUAUUUCACUUUUUUCCUUAUAAGUUUUUUUUUUUAAUAUGCCAGGGAAACAAAUAAGUGAACAACCUUUGAGGAUAUAAAAAACAAUGGAAAUAAAAUAAUUAUUUACGCAUACCUAAUUGGGGAUGGAUCUUCUAAAUUAAACUGUGUGGACAUUUUACAUCAACUCCAGAGAUCAUUAGGAAAGGAGAAUUAAGGACCAACCUAAAUAGAAAUUAAAAGAAAAAGGUAAUAAAGAUUAGCAGCAAUAAAAUUAUGAGAACAUUGAAUUAUUUUUUUUCCAUUUUUUUUGGAGUUAAAAGCAAAUCAGAAUAGAUAUAGCAUAAAACAAAAUAGAAAAUAGAAAGCAAAGAAAGCAAAAAAAAUUAUAGAGCAACACUAUUUUGUUUCAUUCUAGAGAGAAAAACACAGAAAACAAGAUAAAUAUAUCUAGGAAACAUGAAUUCUCAGGAUCCACGCAGUUUUUUUUUUUUUUUUUUUUUUAGUUCAAAGAAAACUUAAGUAGAAACCAACCUUGUUUCAAAUGAACAAAGAGCUUCAAGUAUCCACAAAUAUUGAUAAGUUGUGCUGGAAAUCCUUGUGACCAAUUGAACCUACAAAGAAAAGUUUGAUCAAAGACUAUUUUAAUUUCUUUUGAUUCUCUUUUAUCAUCAUUAUUACCAUUUUCCUUGUUCAAAUCCUUAGUGUAAGAUAACUAGAAAACCGCUUAUAAUAAGAUUUUCUAUUCCUUUAUAAGGUACCAAUUAUUUGAUAAUUGAUAGUUGCAAAUAAAUUAUUCACACAAAUGCAGAAUUCCCUAUCUUAACUCUUUAACCAUUUACCCUUUUAACUAUUUUGUCUGAUAGGAAAAAAAAUUAAGUUAAAGAAAUAGAGAAAUGGAGAGAGAAGAGGUACCUCAAGCUCACCCAUUUCUUUGGGGAAAUCAAAGACUUGAUCUAAUCCAUUACAGUAACAAACAGAAACAAUUGUUGAUGGAUCAACUUGGAAAUUUUUUUUUUCAAAGAAAACUGAAGUAAAAACCAAAUUUGCUUCAAAUGAACAAAAAGCUUCAAUUAUCAAAAAAUAUUGAGAAGUUGUUCUUGAUAUCUUUGUGACCGAUUGAAACCACAGAAAAAUGUUUCAUCAAAGACUUGUUUAACUUCUUUGGGUUCUCUUUUAUCAUCAUUAUUAUUACCAUUUUCCUUGUUCAAAUCUUUGGUGGAAGACACCUAGACAAGGGCCCAAGUGUCUUUUACUUUUCUUGGAUGUUGGGAGCAAUGCUCUUGGGUCAUGCCUUUACUUUUUUUUUUUUUUUUUGGGUGCACGUUCGAUUUUUUGAAGAAAACUGAUCUAUUGAUGCUAGUGGGACGUGGCAUCAUUGAUGCACUUCUGAAUUAUUGGCCCCUUUAUUUUUGUCUUCUUUCAAUUAUUUUUCAACAAUUACUUUCUCUCUUACUUUUUUUUUUUUUUGGUUGCUUUUGGUGGGAUUAGAUUCUGUAUCGAAUUGUGCCCUACGCGUUGAAAGAGUUAAUGAUUCAAAAUAUUGUUUAUUUCCUCCGUUGAUUUAUCCUAACAAAUGAAAGAAAUAGUUUUUUAGAUUAUCUUAGUUGAUGUAUUGCAAAACUCUACAGCUUACACUAAUUUAUCAAAAUUAAAAUCUUACAAUAAAAUAUUUUAUUUUUUUUAUAACGUAACAAUUAUUGGAUGAUUGAUAGUUGUAAAUAAAUUUUUCGCACAAAUACAAAAUUUCCUAUCUCAACUCUCCAUCCAUUUUCUCUUUUAGCUAUUUUGUUUGAUAGGGAAAAUAUAAGUAAAAGAAAUAGAGAAAUGAAAAGAGAAGAGGUUCCUCAAGCUCACCUAUUUCUUUGAGAAAAUCAAAGAUUUGCUCUAAUGGAUUAUAGUCACAAACGGAAACAAUUGUUGAUGGCUCAACUUGGAAAUUGAAAAUUCUGCAGAUAGUAGAAAUUCUUCAGUGUUCAUGCGCGUAUAUAUUAAGAAUAUAUCAUAAUGUUUUAGAGUAAAGGCAUAGUAUAAAUGCAGUUUUUAUUUAAAUAUGGUAGGGAAAGAAACAAGUAAAGAACUUUGGAGCAAAUAAAAAAUUAUAUUAUUUAAGCUUACCUAACUGGGAAUGGAUCUUCUGAAUUAAGGUAUGUGGGCGUUUUACAUCACCGACUCCAGAGAUCAUUAGGAAGGAAAAAUUAGGGACCAACCUAAAUAGAAAUUUAAAAAGAAAGGGUAAAAAAAUCAACAACAAUAAAAUUAUAAGAACAUGAAAUUAUUUUUUUCUUUCCUGGGAACUUAAAGCAAAUCAAAAUAGAUAUAGCAUGAAACAAAGUAACACAGUACUUUUUUAUCAUUAAAAAUGAAAAAGAAAGUAGAAAGCAAUGAAUGCCAAAAAGAUAUAGCAACAUUAUUUAAGUUAAUGUCUUUAUUAUUCCUCUUACCUGUUUAAGUUAAUACUUUUUAUGAAAUUUUUAAUUUUAAAAACAUCAAUCUUUUUACGUUUUUUAUACUUAAAAGUAUUUUUUAGCCAUUUAUCUUAACUAUUUACUGGAAAAAUAAUUAAUUUAAAUUUUAUGUUGCCUACUUUAUUCUUAUUUUCAUUUAUCAUUCUUAAGGUGUUAUAACACUUUUAAUUCAUUUUACGUCAAAUGAUAUUAAUUUUAUCAUCUUUUUUAUUUGUUUAUGUUAUUAAGUUUUUUUUAAAGAAGUUUGUUUUUAUUUUCAAAUAUUAAUUGUUAACAUUUUCUUUUUUAGACCUUAAAAUAUUUUUUAGCGAUUAACCUAAAAAUAUUUAUAAAAAAAUAAUUAAUUUAAAUUUUACAUUACCAAUUUAAUUAUUUAUAUUAAAAUAAUAUUGUCUAACGUCUACUCUUAUAUUAUAUUAUGAUUAUAAUUUUUAUAGCCAUUUCUUAAUCCAUUAUGAUAUUUUUAACAUAUUUUACAUCAAUAUGAAUUUUAUUACUCUUACAUGUUUACGUUUAUUCUUUAUCUUUUAUUAUGUUUAAAAUUUUCAUAACUCUUUUUAAUGAUGUUAUGAUACUUCUAAAUCAUUUUAUACUAAUUGAUAUGAAUUUUAUUAUUCUUCUCACUUAUUUACAUUGGUAAUUUUUUUUAAAAAAAAUAUUUCUAACUCCUUUUACCUUAAUUGAUAUGAAUUUUAUUAUUAUUCUCAAAAAUUUAUGUUUAUUAUUACUUUUUAUUACAUUUUAAAUUUUAUAAAUAUUUAUUUUAAUGUUACGACACUUCUAAUUAAGUUAUUUUUAAAUUUUUUAAUAUUAAUUUUUUAACAUUAACUUUUUAGCCUUUAAAGUAUUUUUAGCCAUUGGCUUAAAAAAUUUACAAAAAAAAUAAUUAUUAAUUUAAAUUUACAUUGCAAACUUAAUUAUUUAUGUUAAAUAAUAAUUUUACACUUAUUUUUAAUUAUUUAUGUUAAAAUAAUAUAUUUUUAUACUUUUUUUCUUAAUUAUUUAUGUUAAAAGAUUUAUAACUUUUUUAUAACACUUAUGACCUAUUUUUACAACAAAUUAUACUAAUUUUAUAAUUUUUCACACAUGUUUACAUUAAUAAUUUUUUUGAUAUUUUAUUUUCAAAAAUUAAUUUUUUAACUUUUAAGUAUUUUUUAGUCAUUGCCCAAAAAAUAUUUACAUGAAUAUAAUUAAUUUAAAUUUUACAUAACAACUUAAUCAUUUAUGUUAAAAAAUAUCUUUUUACGAUUUAUUUUUAUCUUUCUAUCAUAUUUAAAAUUUUUAUAAUUUUAUCUUAAGUUAUUACAUCACUUUUAACUUAUUUUAAACUAACUGCUAUAAAUUUUAUUAUUCUUCUCAAUUAUUUACAUUAAUAAUUUUUUACAAUAAAUUUUAAAAUAUUAACUUUUUAUGUUAUCAUUUUAGCCUUGAAAGUAUUUGUUUAGCCAUUGAUGUUAUAUAUCUAUUAAUUAAAAAAAUAAUUAAUUUAAAUUUUACAUUACUAAUGUAAUUAUUUAUGUUAAAAUAAUAUCUUUCAACACUUAAAUUUUGCUUGGUUAAAAUUAAAGAUAAAAAAAAUCAUGAGUGAAAAACUUAUUAAUCCAAUAAUUAAAAUUUAUAAUAUUUUUUUAUUUUAUACUUUAAAUUAAAAAGUUGUAUCCUUACCCCUUUUCAUUUUCUAUAUCAAGUAAAACCUUAUUCUUACCUUUUAUUACUUUUAAAAUUUUCAUAACUUAUUUUUUAAAAUGUUGCAAUAUUUUUAAUAAAUUUUAUGUCAAUUGAAACAAAUUUUAUUUUUUCUAGAUCUCACAUCUUUACAUCAAUAUUUUUUUAUUCUUUCAUUUUAAAAAAUAAUUCUUUUAUAUUUUCCUUGAAAUUAUUUUUAUGUUAAUAUUUUAUUAAUUUAUAUAGAAUCAUAUUUUUUGUUUAAUAAUACUUUUUAGCUAUUUUAAGAGAUACUAAUUAUUUUAAAUUUUUUAAAAUAUAUAUUUUAUUAUUUUUUAUUUUGAAGUAAAUUCAUAAACAAGUAAGAAAGUGAAAAAUCGAAGACUAAUCGAGGCAAACGAGAAAUGAAGUUGAGCAUAGCAAAAAUUACGGAGAAUAAAAUUUAUAUAUAAUGGUUUAUUGAAGCAUACCUCACUUGAGAUGGAUCUUCAAAAGCCGUAUGGAUCAGUAAAGGAAAAUCAAGGACCAGUUUUUUUUUCUAUUUCCCUGUUAAAAGAACAGAAAAUUAGAAAUCAAUAAAAGCCAAAAAAAAAAAAAGAACGCUUUUUUUAGUUAUAAAAGCAAAGUAGAAAAUCAAGGAAAUUAAAAAAGCACCAAAUUUUUUUUGUUGAGUUAUAAAAAGAAGAGCAAUAAAGCAGAAAUCAAGCAAAGGAUUUGGUACUCUAGCUAGCUGGAAGAUGUGGAGAUAAUGAUGGAAGACGAUGCUUGAUUGCCUCGAUGGAAACGGUUUGAGGAGAGAGCUGUAAGCGAAAGGUAAGGCAGCAAUACAAAAGAAGAAAAGAUAGAAAUAACAAAGAAAUGUGAAGUUUCAAGAUCCAACAACUUUGCUUCAAUUGAAUAAAAAAUUCAACCAUCAAAGAACUUCGCUUCCGAGAAAAGUAAGUUUCACCAAAGACUUCUUCAAUUUCUUUGGAGUCUUUGUUUAUUAUUAUUGUAAUUACUAUUUUUCUUAUUCUAAUCCUUAGUGGAAGGCGAUUAGAUUAGGGCCUGAACGUCUCUUUCUCUUCUUCGAAGCUGUACCUUCUUUAAUUUAUCACUAUAUUACGGUUUAAUAUUAAACUGUCAUUGGAUUUUUAAUUUAUUGAUUUUUAAAUAAAAAUAAUAAAAUAAAAAAUAUUUUCAAAAUAUUCUAUUAAUAUAAGUGAUAAAUUAUGCAACAUGCGAAACAAGAUUUAAUGCCGAACAAAUUAAAUCUUCAUUUUAAUUAAAAUAAAGAGACAAAUUUCAUAAUAAAAGCUACAGCUAACUCCACAAGGUUCAUCAAUUUAUCCAUGGUUUUAAAAUAAACUAUUUUUAAAGACCAUGGUUUUUAAAACUCAGAGGCUGCAACGAAAGAAAAAAUAAACCUAAAUGGGUGGAAACUCAUACGCUAAGUUUUUAUUGAAGCAUUCUAUUGAACAAGCAACAAGCAUCAUAUAAAAUGCCUUAAUUAGAUGUGACAAAAAUUGCAGAAAGGAUGCAAAGUACCAACAGCAAAAACUAAAGAUCUAUUCAAUACCAGUGAAUCAGUAACUAUUAUAAAAAAUUGAACAUUAUAAAUAAAAGAAAAAAAAAAACACUAAUGACUUAAAGUAAUGGUAGAGGAUUACAGAGAAUUAAUACAUGGCACGAGAAUGUGAGAAUAUGCAAUCAUUAAUCUAUUCAAUACCUUGAAGUAAUUCUCCACAAAAGUGGAUUCCCAAGAGUUGAAUGCUGCUUAUAAUGUGAUUGCCAAACUAGCGGCCACUAACAGAAGUAGAGGUUGUACCGGGUAAGACUGAAGUCUGCUUCAGCAAUUUCCUAUUUUACUUUCUGAAGCGGCAGAAGGUGAAAUAAGAAAUUGUCAUCUCCGAAGGGCAUGGGCAUUUAAUCUGAAACAGAAGCAGAGAGGCUUAAAGAGAGAUAGCAAAAGUUUGGGAGUUGCAUGAUUAGAAAACUAAGAACAGAGUGAGAAUUGAGGGACUGUGUUAGAGAAAAGUUCUGAGAAGGAAGGUUGAGAGAGAGUUUCUAAGUCAAAAGUAUUGCCUCUAUACUUGUACAGCUUGAUUACAAAGGUUCCAACUAAUGGUAGAAAAUUUUUUUUCUAAACAGAAUUAUAAUUAGUAUAUAUGCAUCAAAUAAUCUGAAUAUCAUUUGAGGCUUGCUAACAGUAAAUUAAUCAAAAAAUUUGGGAUUAAGAUCAACUUUGUCACUAUAUUUUGAUUUAAUAUUAAAUAUUGUCAUUAUACCAUCAAUUCGUUGAUUUUUGGACAACGUCCUCUUCAAUUUCUUCAGUUUGCCUGAUGGCUUCAUUGACAUCAUCUUGCAAACGCCCUUGUGCCACUGUCUCUUUCCCGAGGUCUUUAACAUUACUUAGACAAAAUUUUAAAAUUAAAAUAAAGAGUUAUUAUCAAUUUUUUUAUUAGGUAUGAUCGAUCACCUAAAUAAUAUUUUUUAAUAAAAAUUUUAAUUUAAUUAAAUCUCAUUAAAAAGAUUUUUUUUGUAAAAACACAUCUAAAUUCAGAAGUAUGGUUAUGUGUGGAGAAAUAUUAAUACUCCACAAUACUCGUUAAAAAACAGUAUCAAUUAAUAACAUGUUAUCUUUUAUUAUUUAUAACAAAUUACCUUAAUUUUAAGAUUAAAAUUUUUUUUUAAAUCCCAUUUAUUAUCAUAAAACUCCUUUUUUUGCCAUCCUUUAUAGAAUUAUUUUAAAAAUUCUAAUUUAAUUAAAACAUAUUAAAAAAUCUUUUUGGUAUGCAAAAACACAUCUAGAUUCAAGAAUACAAUUAUGUAUGAGGAAGGAUUAAUACCUCACAAUACCCAUUAAAAAAUGAUACUAAUUAAUAACAUGUUAUCAUUUAUUAUUAAUAAAAAAUGACUUUAAUUUUAAAUUUCAAAAAUAAUUUCCUGAAUCUCAUUUAUUAUAAUAAAACCCCUUUUUUUCCAUCCAUUUUAGAAUCACUUUAUUUAGAAAUAAAAUAAAAAUUUUUUGUUUUGAAUUUCUCAAUAUCUUGGUAAAAUUUAAAAAAAUAUUUUUCACUUGGGUAUUUUCAUGAUAAUCCUUAAAAUCUGUGCAUUAUCAACAUUAUAAUAUUUAUAAAUCUGAUAAUAUUAAAUUUUUAAGUUCAAUUCUCAUCAUAUAUGAAUUUCAUUUUUUUUAUUAAAUUUAUUUAAUUAUGUGUAGAUUUAUUUGUUUGAUUUAAAUCAAAGAUUUUCUUGUAGGACUGUAAUACUUUCUUAUACUAUUAAGUUCAUAAAAAAUUUUAUAACUAAAGAAUUUCCCAAAAUUUCCAUUGGCAUGCAUUUUGUUUUUUUUUUUGGGAAUUCUUGGACGCUUUGCAACGAGACUAGCAUUUUUUUUGUUUAUAAUAACUGGAAAAAGUCAUAUAUAAUCCAAAAUAGAAAUAAAGAGAAUGACUUUCGGGUUUUAAUUAGAAAUAUAAAACUAGAAAUUAAAAAUCCCCUCUCCCCAUGACUCAUAUACCAUAAUCACUGCUUAUGAUAAGCAUGGUUAAUGGAAUUUUUUUUUAAUUAUAUUAAGAAAAAAUGAAAAUGAAAAGAAUAAAAAAAAAAUAAGUAUGUAAGCAUUAAGCGGUUAGUUGUACAUUAUUGGCCUAAAAUACAAAUGGUUUGUUUGACCUUUUGUCUACGGAAAUGCAUUUUUCAUAAUAAAUAAAUAAAUAAAUGUAGUAAUCAAAUAAUUCAAAUUUUAAAACUAAAAAAAAUAUUCACAUGUAUGCAAAUGCAUUUUCAUUAAUUAAUUUCAUUUCACAUUGUUUUAAAAAAAUGAUAUUUAAUAUAUUCACAUGUAUGCAAAUGCAUUUUCAUUAAUUAAUUUCAUUUCAGGUUGUUUAAAAAAAUGAUAUUUAAUAUAUGGCUGGAUCAAGACAUGAUCAUAUGGAUGAAAUAUGGCCAAUCUUGAAUUAAUUAACAAAUCAAAGAAAAUGUAUUUACAUCGCUGACAUCAAUAAAAACUAAAUGAAAAUAUAAUAAAAAAGAAGGCCAAAACCUUUUGUCCUUUUUCAGAAUGAUGCACCUUCCAACAAUAUUUUAUCCCUUGGUCUAUGAGGAAAGUAAUGGCCUUGGAGUGCUAUGUUGUCUUCUUCCAAAUGAACCACCCAAAAAUUCCCAUUAAUUAGAUGAAUUAUAAAAAAUCUUAAAGAUCUCAGCAGAAUUUAAUAAAUUAUAUAACCUAAAAGUUGAACUACAUAAUAGUAUUUUUGCCAUUUACAUGUUUUGAUUUGGUUUAUAUUUUUAGUUUUCCUUUUUAAAUGUCAUGAAUUCAUCAUCAUUAUUGCAUGAUAUAUAUCUUUUGGUAUUAUUGUUGGGGCUGCUUCUGCAAAAUUUGCCACAACUUAAAGCAAAAAAUCUCCACAAAGUAUAUUGUAUGUAAAUUUGUGGUAUAAUUAACUUCAAAUUCAGUUUGAUUCAUUAUAUUUUAAGAUAUCGGUAUGGGUUUUGAUUUUUUUGAAUAUUUUACUGUUUAUAUGUAUAUAUAUAGGAUACUUCGAUUUUCAAAAUUAAUAUAAAAAAUUAUCAAAACAAAAUUUAUUCAUAUUUGACGAGUCCAUAUAACAUAGUGUAUAAAUAAUUUAUCAUUGAGUCAAUUAUCAAAACACCACAAUAAAAACAAGCAUGGAAAACUAUCUAUGACAUGCAAGUAGACAUAACUAUGUAUUAUUCAUCCAUAUCCAUUCAAGCUACUACAAGGAACUAAAGAACCGGCAAACCAAACUGAACACAAAAAAAAUCAUGUUUCUUAAGAGUACUUGAAUUUUGCCACCAAUCUCUUGGCCAAGUGAUAAGAAGAGGAUUUAUGAAAUAUGUAAGCUUGAGUUCCAAUCCAAAUAUUAAAAAAAAAUACAUGAAGUUUUUCUUAAAUGAAUGGCUAAAUAUGGCUUUAUUUCACAAUAUCAAACAAACAAAUGCAAUGCAACAUAGAGUAAAUUACUUCUUCAUUGCAAAGUAAAGCUAAAAAAGCAGGCAUCAAAUUAGUUGAUGGCACCAUAAAAUAGAAAGCUCAAAUGAUGACAGAGCACAAUCAAGUAUCAACCACCUAUCACUGAGGCAAAGAAUCAAUAAGAAUUUAAACAAGAAACUUGAUUGAGGAAAUCAUAAAUACAUGAACAGUGAUUAAUUCAAGAUUUUUGUGGGGAAAUGUUCAUUCAUAAUAUAUACUAUUGUUAUCCAUUUUAGUAUAACCAAAGUCUCAUGCUUUGUAAGUUAUAAACAACUUUCUCUUAAUAACACAAUGAUAUGUCACUCCUAUGUUAACCAUACACUCAAUGUCAAGAUUACCAAUAUAAUUACAAUUACCCUGUGUACAAAUUAAAAUAACUGAAUCACUGUCUAAAUUCACUACUGUAACAUUACCAUCAUCUAAAUUUUUGCUUUUAUCAUCUUUCCUCUCUUGCUUCAAGAUUUUUCAGUAUCACUUUAUAUGACCUACUUUACCACAAUAGAAGCACUUCACUUUAUCUGUGGACUUGAAUCUAUAUUUAGACUUAUUACGGCCUUUUGAGUUUUGAUUUUUGUCAAUAUUUCUACAUCUGUUUUCUAUGACAAAAGUUUGAUUCAAGGGUCUGAGUCCUUUUGCAUUGCUUCUUCAUUAAGCAUACUGUCUUUUAUCAUCUCCAAUGUCACAUUGUAAUUAGGAUCUGAAUUAAGAACAGUCAUAACUAGAGUAUUCCUGUUGUCUGGCUAUGAACCCAAAAGAAACAAUGCAUUUAUUUUAUCAUCCAUCUUAACCUCUAUGGUAGUCAUCUGAUUAAAUAUAUUUUGAAAAUCACUUGAGUACUCUGUAAUUGAUCGUUCAUCCUUUUAUUAUAAAGUUGCAAGCUUUUUAAUAUGCAUAAUUUUAUUCAUGGUUGUUUUUCUUUCAUACAACACUGUUAAUUUUUUCAAACAGUGUGUGCAUAUUCUCCUGUGCUACAUAAUAGAACACGUUGAUAUCAACUCAUUUUUUUAUUGUGGCCAGUGCUUAACUUUUUUCAGCUUUCAUCUUUCGUAGCUGUCAGUUUAGCCAGAUCACCUAAUAUCAACUCAUACAAAUCUUUGUAGUAUAAAUGAUUUUCCAAAUUGAAUAAUUUGAUAUUGUCAAUUUUAUCAUGGAAAUUGUAUCACCCUUUAUGAUCUCAAAUAGAAUUUACUUCCAUCCUAAGUUGCUUCUGUAUUGAUGUCUAAAAAAUAACCUUCGCUCUGAUAUCACUUGUUGGGCCUAAAGUGACAAACACAACAAUGCAAAAGCAAUAUAUCAUAAUAAACCCAUAGCAAUACACAAUAAUCAAUAAUCAACAAUACAAGGAAAAUAAAAGCAUAUCAAGAUUUAUAUGAAAAACCUUCUAGUGUAGAGGAAAACAAUCACAGAUCAUCAAAAAAAUCUUCACUAUCAAAUAAUAGAUAUACAAAGUUCUCCUCUAAUCAAAACUAGAACUAAUCAACAACUAAAAAGAUAAUUGAAAAAAUCUCAUCAAAUAGGUGACUCAAUAAAUACACCCUAGAUUUAAUCCUAGAAAAUUUCAAAUCCAACAUUCACCGUUCAAAACGUAAAACUCUAAAUCAUAAACUUGUUGAUAAAAUUUUAGUUCAAUCAGACCACGAAUCAAUUUUUAUUCAAUCAACUCUCCCUUCUCUCUUUUCUCUCUAUUUUUUUUUUUACUUUUCUUUUUUACUUAGUUUCGAUGCCACCACACUUCUUUUCAAACCAAAAACUACCUCACUUUUAUAUGUAGGAUUUUAUUUCAUGGUCAAAGGCCACAAAACUUUAUGCCUUUUAAUUGGCUAAUCAAUUAGGGCUGGAUCCACAUAUUCCUAACAUCAACUACAUUGAUCAUAUCACGAAAGUUGAUUCACAUGUUGAUUUUGUAAAAAUAAAUCCUACUAAUGUAUUAAAAAUUUUAUUGAUUUGAAAAUAAAUUUAAGAAAAAUUUUCCUUGAAAUUAAAUUGUUUUGAAAAUGUUAGAAAAAAAAAGUUAAAAUAUCAAUUUUUUUAAAAUAAAAUUUUGAACGAUUAGAAAAAAUUUGAGAUAUCAAUUUUUUUUUUAAUUUUGAAAUUUAGAGAAACUUAAAAACAAUUUUCAAAAAAAAAAUUGUUUUGAGAUAUUUUUUAGAUGUUUUUAAGACUUAAUGAAUAGAACAAAAUCAAUUGGUAUUAUUUUUUGAAUGGACGUUGUAAGAAUAUUAUAUUUUUUUCCACAUAACGUACACUUGAAUCUAAUCUAGUUUCAUAGAAUAUAGUUUAUUCUUUUAAAAAACCUAAGUUGAGUUUAAAAAAUUUUUAAAAAGAAAUAAAUUUAACCCUUAAAUAAAAAAUUAAUGACAAUUCUAUGAUUUUAUAUUUAAUAAUUAAAUUUACCUACUUAUACCUUAUAAUAAAUAUACCUAAAAAAGAAUGAGCUUUCAAGAUCCAAGAUGGAGUUUUUAUUUCCAUAAAAAAAUUUUUGAAAUUAAAAGAAAACUGAAGUAAAAAUCAACUUUGCUUCACAUGACACAAAUAAAGGGAAAUUCUGCUUAAAAUCAUGUGACCAAUUGAAACUACAAAGAAAUGUUGCAUCAAAAACUUCUUUAAUUUUUUGGAUUGUAAAUAUUAUCAUUUUCCUUGUUCAAAUCCUUCAUGGAAGACAACUAGACAAUGGCCCAGGCUUCUUAUCCUUUACUUGGGAGUUGGGAGCAAUGACUUUAAUUCACACGUACAUUAUUAUUUUUUUGCACGUUAGAAAUUUUGAAGGAAACUGAUCUAUCAUUUAUCUGAAUUGCCAGAGUUAAUAAUUCACAGCUGUCAUUUGGUAGGACAUAGCAUCAUUGAUGCACUUUUGAGUUAUUGACCCUUUUUUUUUUCAAUUAUUUUUCUGCAUUUUUUAUAAUAUUUUUGGUUGACCUUCGUAGAUAAAUCUAUUCAAGAAUAGAAUUAAAUUAUUAAUCUCUUUAUUUUUUAAUUUUUUCUGUAUUUUUUAAAAAAAAAUUUGGUUUUCAAGAAUCAAAUUAUUCAUUCACGUCUGAAAAUUAAUUCAAAAUUUAGAGGUAUUUAAGCAUAAAUAUUAAGUUUCCCAAUUGGAUCAAAACUUAAAUUGAAGGUUCACUUAAAAAAUGGAUAAGCUUUGGGAAAAACAUUAAUGGUUUAAGCUUAACUUUAUAGUUUUUAUAUAUUAGACCGAUUUGAUAGUUACUUAUAUAUAUUAUUUAUAAUUAAAUUAUAUAAAAAUAAAUAAAUAAAUAAUAUACAUGCAUAUUAAUUUUUUAUACCUAUAUGUAUCGAUUUCAAUUAAAUAUUAAAUUAAAUUAAUAAAAUUAUUUUUAAAAUUUUAUUUUGUUAUAAUUAAUAUUUAUUAUAAAAUUUAUUUUUAUUUAAAAAAAAUUAAAAUCAAAACCCAAUUUUUGAUCUGAGCUUAAUAAUUGUAACACUUAUUAUUAAUAUGUUUAAGUUCAAUCCUAAUUCGAUCUCAUCAUAAAAUUUUUUAUCAUAAAUAAACAUCCGUUACAUCACUUUAUUUUUUAGUAAUGUUAUAUAGUAAUUAAAUAUUCAUUUUAAUUAUAGUACAAUGACAAAUUUUAUAAUUCGACAUUUCCUUUUUGUAUAAGACUAAAUAUCAUUUCAUUAUAUCUGUAAGCACCACUAAAUUGUCACCUGCAAUUACAAUCUCAACUCUUAUUAAUAUAUCAAGUCAAAUGAAUGCGCAACGUCAUAUCUAUUGGUAGAAAAGUUUUUCUAAACACAAUUAGUAUAUGUGCGUCAAAUAUUUCAUAAAUAAUUUUUUUUCUGUAUCUAAAUACCAUUUGAGGUUUGCUAAUAGUAAAUUUAUUAAAAACGUUGAGAUUAAAGUCAAAUUUGUCUGAAUAUUAUGGUUUAACACUUCCGCCCAAAAAUAAUUGUAUGUUAUUGAUUUCCGUUUAAAUUUAUUCAAUUUUGAUCUUCAUUUUUUAAAAUAUUAUAUUGAAUUAAAAUUUUAAAAAAUAUAUUUUGACAAUUUUGAAAUUCAAAAUUUACAAAUCUUAUUUUUAAAAAUUUUUUAAUUGUACAAUUUUAUAAAAAAUAAUGAUAAAAAAUGAGUUAAUUUAACCAAAAAAUCAAUUAGAGACGAUUAUUUGGAGAUGGAAAAAUCUACUUGAAAUCUCAGUGACCAAUUGAAACUACAGAGAAAAGUUGCAUCAAAGACUUAUUUAUUUUCUUUAAUUUCUUUGGAGUCUCUUUUAUUAUGACUAUUACCAUCUUUCUUAUUCAAAUCCUUAGUGGAAUACAGCUAGAAAGGGCUUGCCAAACAUACUUCCUAGUCCUGGAAGCUUUAAGAUUAUCAAAUUUUAAAUCUUAAUUAUUAAAAUAAAAAAUUUAUCAUUCUAUCAAUAAAUCAUACUGUUGAUUGAUCCCUUUAUUUUUUUUCCUCUUUUUUUUAUCAAAUUUUCUUUUGUAUUUGUUAUGAAACUCCACUGUUUAAGUGAUUUAUUAGAAUUAAAAUCUUAUAAUAAGAUUUUAUAUCUUUCAUAAGGUAACAAUUAUUUGAUAAUUAAUAGUUAUACAUAGAUUUUUCACACAAAUGCAGAAUUCCCCAUCUCAACUCUCUAACCAUUUAGUAAAUAAGUUUUUAUUUAAUAAUAUAAAUUUAUUUUAAAUUCAUUAAAAUUAAUAUAUUUCUAUUUAAAAAUAUAUUAUUAUAUAUUUAUAAAAAUUUAUGUGCUCAAAAUACAAAAUAAUAAAAACUAAAAAAUCUUGCCCCAAUUCAGGCUCAAUUCAAAAGCACAUGGCCAACUUUUUGCGCUAAAAUGUUUCUUUUUUUUUUUUUGGAAAGGUCAAUUUUAUACAAAUUCGAUAGAAGAUUUGAUUUUUUACUCGAAUGAAGAUAAAAAUAGGUAAUAAAUUUUGGAAUGAUAAUAUAAGUAUAGUUUUGAUCUUUUAUGGGAUAUAAAAAUGAAAAAGAAUAAUAUAAUAUCUAUCAUGUAUCCAUAUCCAUAUUAUAUAUAUUUUUAUAUAUGUGUAUUUAGUAAAUAGAUUUAAUAAUAUAAAAUUUAUUUUAGAUUACAGGUGGGUUUAAGGAUGAGAAAAACCUAUUUCAUUGUCGACCGAGAUUGGAUGGUGGCUUAGGAGGGUUAAAAAAUCAAUGAAUUAAAUCAAAUAAACAAUGAAAAGCUAUUCAAAUAAUUGGGUAGAAAAUAAUAUAUAAUGUUCAAUAAAAAAACAACGAUUACAUUGAUUGGAACAAUCAUUAGCAAAAUGCUAGAUAAGGUUUUGGACGUCAAGCUGUUAUCUUGAUUUUUCAGUCGUGAGCAUGGAAUGGAAUUAAUACAGCCAGCCAGUUGAAAGCAGAAGAAUAACUGGAAAAGUAGGUGACAAUUAAACACAAAUAAUUUAUCUGAAAGUUGUGGAUAACAUAUUGAUUAGUGAGAGCUGUUUUGAUUAUUAAUGGAAGGGUCAGUUGUCUUGAAGUUUUGCUUCAGUUUAGGCUGGCACAGGUAGAUGAAAAUUGUAAUGAACCAUAUUCAAUGGAAAAGCAAUUUUUCUAAUCAUUAAGAUCCAUUCAAAUAAUAAAUGAAAUUUAUUCUAGUGAAAUUAAAAAUAAUAGUGAUCAUAAAAUUAGUUAUUAUAGUAGUUAGAAUGGAUAUUAAUAAAAUUAAAAUUAAUGAUGAAAAUAUGUUUUUUAUUAUAAAUAUAAUGUUGACGAUGAAAUUAAAUAUGAUAAUCGAUUGUCAGAUUAAAGAUAAUCAAUUAUAAUAUUUAAAAACUAGGCAGUUAAAUGCCCAACAAAAAAUAAUAGAUUGUUAUAAUUGAAAAUAUCUUUUGUUUUAAUUUACACUAAAGACAGUCAAAUAUCUUAGAUAAAAGAAAUUAAAAUUAAGGUUAAGAAAUAAGAAAGUGGCUGAAAAUGGAAGAUUGGAGGUGGAUUUUUUGGCCUUUUCCAAAUUCGGAUCAAGUAAAUGGGUCUUGAAAUCAUAUUUCACCUGGUGAACCUAGCUGUAAAGGGUGAGGUUUAAAGUUCUAGCAACUGUCAGUAAAGAAUGUUGGCACUGACAAGCUGAGAGAGUCUAAACAAUAAAGAGACUCUCCCACUAUUCUUAAUAAAAAAAGGCAAAGGUUGGAACUUAGAAGGGAAUUGGGUUGAAAUAGAAAUGGGAUUUCAAGAAAAAAUUGCCUUUCACAUUAUGGAAUUGCUUGAUCUUCACUCAAAUGUUUCAUCCAAAUCCUAAAAAUCGGUCAUCAACCUCUCACUCAAGCUCACUUUUCAGUCAGACUAGGGAAAAAUAGUUUCACUCUGAGUCGAAACUCAAUUGCUUCAUGUAACUACCCGAUGACAUCCAGUAAUUUAAGAAUUCAAAUACUAAUAUUUAUAAUCUCUAUUCUUAUUCCUAAACUAUGACUUUUUUUGUGUAAAAAAAAAUGAUGACUUUUUUUAACUCUAAUUUUUUCAUAUAGGUUGCAACCCCUUUUGUUGCUGUUUGCUUUCUUUGAUUCCUCAAUCAAUAGGCCAACUCUACAGUUUCAUGGCCAUGGAGCAAACAUUCUUUACGCCAAAAGCUUUGUUGAUUUCCACAUUGCAAGACAUGGGGUGGAUUCAAUUCUCCUUACUUAUACCUAAAGGAUUACACGUUUUAAUGGAUCGUAAAAAAAGAGUUCACAGUUUGGCCACAACAUUAAGAUUACUCCAAUAUGUUUAAAUUACCAAAAUGAUGUUUUUUUUUUCUUACAAAAUAUCGAUAAAAUUGCAUACAUUUUCAAAUUACAUUAAUUUUAGAUUAAAUCGAAUUAUCAUUUUUGAAAUGAUUGAAUAAAUCAAUUGAAUUAAACUUAAAUAUUUCUUCCUUGUAUUGACAGCUUGAAAACUAAGAUAAAACAAAAAUACAAAACCAGCUCGGUUCACACUGUCAAGUGUUGAUUAAUCACCUUUGCGCCGCAAAAAUCACAACCUUAAUUAAGGAUUAAUUAACCAAUAAUAUGUCAUUAACACAGCAAUCUCGGCACGUGCUAAUGUAUCGUCAUGUGAAUGGCUUUAUUACAAGCUAAAGCAACCGCCGACCAUUGGAGGACAGAGCUGUCAAACAAGGCAAUGACAUCUUACCACGUGGCACAUUCUUGCUGUAUGAACUCAAAACCAAGUCUAACAAAGUAAGAAAGAGAUUUUUGUCUGUAAGAAUCUUCCCAAGUUGUUGCAUAUGCUUUGCAUUAAGUCACCAAAAUCAAAGGUACCCCCAAAGUUUAUACAUAAUAUAUAUUUUAUAUAUUUUUACUGAUAUUAAUUAUGAUACAUAAUUUUCAUAUAAAAUAUAAUAUAAAUACAUAAAUUAUUUGUAUUUUACAUAACACUGAAUUAUUAUCAUGUUUACUCAAAAGAAAACUUAGGAAUUAAGAAAUCCAUAAAGCGAAUUGGUUUACUAUGUUUAGAACUUUUGUCUGAAGCAUAUUAAUACAAGAAAGAAGUGAUUCUUGCCUCAUGAAUGAUCUAGGUUGCAACAUCCAACUAUUGUCUGGGCAUAUAUCAUUGCAAUUUUCCAUUCAGGAAAGAUGAAGUUACUGGUCAUCAGUCAAAAAAUCCUGAAUAUGGUGGUAAAAGAGCAGUCAAGGUUAUUAAGAUCAAUGGAACAUUCAAAAUUAGCUGAUGGUAUUUUAGUAUGAUUUUUUCUUGAUUUUCUUUGCUAUCUAAGAGAUUAUAAAUCAUGAGAAUUUUGGAUCAAAUUGGAUAAUUCUGAUAUUAACAUCAUUACAUGAAAUGAACUGGUUGACCAGAGAUUCAUGUCAUCCAAUUUCUAACAGUACAAAAUCCGUUGGAGAUAAAUUUGAUUCAAAUAAGAAUAAAAAAAGAGUUUGGUUGCAAACUCUUCUUCAUCCUCUUCUUGUGUUGAAGAAUGAGGAUGGAAUGCAUCAUCUGCAAGGUCUCUGAGCUCUGACAAACUUCUUCCAAGCUGAAGAGCGGCUUUCACUUCAAACAAUUUUCCAUUUUCCCUGUCAUCAGCAUCUCCUUCCUCCAAGGUUAAUUCUAUAGUCUCCCCCUUAAGCCUGAAGAAUCCAGCAGAGCUCCUAUACAUUUCAAACCCCGUACCAAUCUGCCCACCAUGCUCAAAACUGUUAACAACAAUUGCCAUAGCUCCAAAAACCACACUGAAAAUCACAGCAAAUGAGCCACAGAAAGAUGAUCCCAUCAAGGCAGAACAAACUGCAGCCGUGCCAGUGAACAAGGGGCCACAAAUAGCUAGAAUUUUAUUGAUUUUCAGCACUAUUUUGCUUAGUUUGAUAUAUUCUUCAGUGUCUUUUCUCUUCAAAACCAUAACAAUUUCUUUCAUUUCUUCUUCAAGAUUUUCAUCCCACCCAUCUGUUUCUAUUUACUGUUGAUAAUUUAGAAUGUGGUGCAUCCAUAAAGAUUUAAUUAUUGAUAAAUAAAAUUAAUUUUUAUAUUAAUUUUAUUUAUAUUUUAAGUUGUAAAAAACUUACCAAGCAUGGUUCCAAACAAGGGAAGUGGAUAAGCUUCAUCUAAUGCCAAGACUUUCUCCAUUGCAUCUUUCACAUCAUCUGAAUCUGGGUUUCCAAGAGCAAUGAGUGUAUUUAUCUCCUCAUGAAGCUGCUUAAACAAUCUUGAAGCAUUUCUUUGUUCUUCAGCCAGCUGCAACGGCUGUAUCUUAUUUAUAACCAGCAAAAGCCGGUUGAUGCAAUGUAAAGCAAACCGGAAGAUAGUUUUCAGAACCAAAAAUGAUGCUCCACCUCCAACGACAGCUGCAAUUCCAGCCAUUGUCGCCACUGUGACUGUCAUUUCAUUGACAGAAUUCAACAGCAGCCAGUUCCAGUUAUCACGCUGUGCUCCAAUAGUCCAAUGUUCUAGCGCAUUUCAACUAUUUCUGCUACAAUAUCCAUAAUAGCAUACAUCUCUUGCAACACCAUUGAAUUAGAGAUUUCUUCCUUGUUUACGUUGUUGUUUCCAAGUUCAGGCUUAAUUUCUAUCAGGGGAUUGGUUGUUUUCAAGGUUUUCAACCCUUUUCUUCUGUUAAACCCAUCAUUCAGGAACUUGGAAACUGAAAUAUUUGGGUUAUAAAGAGUGGCUUUGGUUUUUUCCGAAGGAACUUGAGGAAGAACGACAAGAGAAAUUGGUGAAAAAGCUUGAAGAAUAGCCACGAUCACUUUGCUUGUGAUCCAAAGGCUUUUUGCAGUAAUACGAGUGAGAAUCUGAUGUAUUUAUGCUAGAAUAAUUGGAGGAUUUUCUACAGAACUUGUCCAUGGUUUCAUUUUCAACGUAGUUGAAUUUGACUUUCCUUUACGGUUAUUGAAGUGUAGAGCGGGUUAAAGACUUCACGUGAUUGGUUCACUUGACAUUAUUUGCUUGUUGAUGGGUAUUUUCACUUGACAUUUUACUUUUACAUUUUCAUUGCCAAAGAAAGCUGUGAACCAAUGCGAUCCCAAUACUUUAACAUUAUAAAAAGUACAGAGGAAGUAGGAACUUGAAGAGAUCAUCACGUUAAGAAUUAAAUAUUAGAAUAAUCAAUCCCAAGUUUAACUAAGUUUAUUUAUACAGAUAUCUUCGAAAAAUUAAAUUUAAUUGUAAAAAUUUCAACAUUUACGAUCAUUAUUUUAUUUUAAGAGUUUUUGGAAAGAAUUAAAAGUACUAAAUUUAUGAUGUUAAACUUUUUGUUCUAAUUCAUACUGUUACUUCUUUCAUUUUUUUUAAUUGAUAAUUCGUAUAUUUAUAUUAUACAAAAUUUAAUAAUUUAUAUAUUUUUAUUAUAUUUUAUAUAAAAAAUUAUGUAUUAUUAUUCAUAUCAAUAAAAAAAUACAAAAUAUAUAUUUUUAUUUUAUUAAAUUUAUAUAUGUUUUUUAUUAAAAUUUUAAAUUAUAUUAUUUUUAAAUUUUUUAUAUUAUUUUCAUACGAUGUUAUUAUAUCGUGUUUAAAAUUAUGAACGAAAGCAAUAAAUUUUGAUUUAUGAGUAUUCACGGGUAAAUCUUGAUUUCUUUUUCCAUAUAGCAAGCAAAUACCCCUUUCUUUUUCAGUUUUCGGAUGGUCACGAAACAAAACAGGCAAAUGUGAACCCCAAUUCCUAACCAUUUUCACCCUUUGAAACCCAGAGUUCUACGCUUCAAGGAGACCAGAAUUACUCAGUUUAAGACUGACAGGAGGAAAAUCGACGCGCAUUCACUAGAAAACGACGAUGAAAUAUGACCAACCAUACCAAUAAUAUUCUUCAGUCUUCAUUCCUCGAGCAACAUGUGUUGUCUUUGUCAAUGCAACAAUCUUUGAAUCUAGGUGAGCAUUAUUCGGUUUAAAUCAAUUAAACCAAUUUAAAAUUGAUAAUUCAAUGAAAUCGAAAUUUUUUUUUUUGGAUUAUUUAGUUUUUCCAACUUAAAUGAUUUAAUCGAUUCAUUUUCGAUUUUAAAUUUAUAGUAAAUUGAAUUCAAUCUUUAAAAAAACUAUUUUAUAUAAAUUAAAAAUUAAUAAAUACAAACAUUUUACCUAAUUCGACUAAAUUAAUAAAUUGGUUCGAUUUUUAUAUAAAUUAAAUUGAUUAAGUCCAAUUUUUCAGUUUUUACAAACUAAAUUUUACAACCAAAUUCAUCUUAACAGAAUGUUAUGCCUUUCCCUAAGCCUCCGAGUUUCUUUCAUUCGAUAUUAUUAUAAAUUUAACUCGUUGCUGUCCCUAUGCCUAAGCAUGCGCCGUCACUGCCCCGGCCAGGCCAGGCGGUGAUGAUUUAGAAACGAAAUUUUCUCUGCUCAUGAGUUAAUAUAAGACCUCUACAUAUGUUUUAAACAACUAAGAAACUUUGAAUUACCCCAAUGGCAUCCAUGUCAUGUGUGAACCGUGAAGCUAGAACUCAGAUCCAAGCAGCAUAAGAAUACGGUACCGAUCAACUGCAUCACAAGGGAACCAGCCUUCUCUUGACAAAUUGUGGAAAAAAAAAAUUGUAAAACAUCAAUACAAAGACUAUUACAAGUCUUAACCAGUCAAGCUACUUAUGAAUUAUUCUUACUCGAUCAAGAAAAACUCAAAUAACAAAUGAAAUUGAGUUUGAGUAAUUUAAUGUCAAUAUUUACAAUUUCACCGAAUUAAAUAGAGCAUGCUAAAUCGAAUUCAAGCGAUUCAAUUAAAUUAUGAAUCAAAUUUGAGCAUGAAAAAUGAAGCUUGAUCGAAUUCAAGCAGUGUUAUACAAUCCCCAAAUGAAGAAUUGAGAGGAAAGAAUAAGCAACCACAACCAGGAAACAGAAUUCUCAUCUUAGAGACUGCAUGAAUCUAAGAAGAAACCAACCUGUCCAUGUAUGAUUUUCACAUUCAAGGUGUCAUAAAAAUGUGUACCCUUUACACCAGAAUUUAAAGAACUUAGUGUAAAAUAAAAGUAAAAACCGUAUUUGCACAACAGAAACUGGAAAUAUGUAUUUAUUCUUGUUCAACAAUGGCCAGCUGUAAUUUCGGAACUCGUUAAAGGGUGAAUCAACAAACGAAACCCUACAAAACUUCAGGAACUUAUUCUUGCUCAUUUAAAUAGGAAGUAUAUAUCCAAUGCUAAUCGUGGAAGUAUAUAUCCAAUGCUAAGCGUACCAGCAAACCAUGAAAAUAUCACAGCAGUUGCUACUAGGCCUUCAUACAUCAAGUAGCAGCCUGCGAGGGUCUUCCACAACAUCUUUGAUUCGACGCAAGAAGAAGACAGCCUCUCUUCCAUCAAUCAGCCUAUGGUCAUAAGUAAGGGCAAUGUACAUCAUUGGUCUUGGGACUAUGUUACCUCCGACAACCAUUGGUCGGGACACUAUUGAGUGCAUACCCAAGAUAGCCGACUGCCAAAAAAUUGUUUAAUCACGUGAGAUUCUCUUUCUGGUCUCAAACAAAAGCUGAAGAUUAGAAACACAGUAGAGCGAGCGCAAACAUCUCUAUUAAUAUGGAUGUCACAAGUGUAUGGAACCCUCAUACAUAAACAAGCAUGCACAAUUAUUCAGUUUGUGACCACUAACCUGAGGAGGGUUGAUAAUUGGGGUACUCAACAAACUUCCAUAAACACCACCAUUGGAUAUUGUAAACGAGCCUCCAGCCAUUUCAUCAAUUGAUAUGGUCCCAUCAUUUGCCUUCUUUGCGAGGCUGUUGAUUGUCUUCUCUAUCUCAGCAAAAUUCAUCUUAUCAGCAUCUCGAAUAACCGGAACGACAAGCCCCUGACAGGAAAGAUAAAGAAACAAAAAGCUUAACAUAGAAACAUGAAUCACAUUCUUCUUUAUCUUUUUCUUAACUUUCGGUGCCCAUGAAGGAUGGGGUGAUCUAUGCAUAUAUUUAUCAAUAGAGGCCUAUUUGAUUGGUGGAGAAACUUUGAAGAUUAGCAACAAACCAAAAUGAGAAAAGACUUGACAUAAUCAUCUAGAUACCUCAUUUUCUCUUUUGUCAUGAAAUAAAAUAAAGCAACUUCAGCUCAGCAAAUAAAGAAAACAAGUAAAAAAAAAAACCCUUCAAAAAAUCUAUAAUGUUUAAUUGUCAAAGGACACAGUUUUGAACCUAUUGAUUACUCAUUUCAACUUUACAAACUGCUCUAAGUUCAUAGGAAAUUCUUAAAUUCAAUACAUUUUUACAUGAUGUUUAAAUUCUUUCAAAACAAGCCAAGAAAGAAUGCUGAGAGAAACACUAACAAUCCAAGUUCAGCAAGCCAUUAAAUGGAUAAAUUGCAAUUUGGCAAAUCAAUCACAAAAAGAUUACCUUCGGAGUACCAACAGCAAUGCUGAUAUCAAUAUAAUCUCUAUAAAUAAUAUCAUCCCCAUCAAUUGGCAAAUCAAUCACAAAAAGAUUACCUUCGGAGUACCAACAGCAAUGCUGAUAUCAAUAUAAUCUCUAUAAAUAAUAUCAUCCCCGUCAAUUACAGCAUUUACUAUAGGCUGAUGCUGAAGUGCACUAACAGCAGCCUGAAACAAAUAAAAUAGAAGAAAUGAUAAGGGAAAAAAGAGAAAGCAAAGUUAGUGAAGACAGGCCAUGAGUGCAUAUGUGACCAUUUCAAGAACAAAUUUUGCAUACUUUAACAAAUCCUGACAUAAAUCCCAACUUGACACCAUGUCUCUCAACAAAAGCAUCCUUGAAAUCAGAGCGGAGCUUCAUCAAAUUAGUCCUGCAAUGAGAAGCAAAUCAAAAAGAAAAGGAAACAAAUCAGCAUAGCCUUCAUAAAGUAAAAUGAUCUGGUUAACUUCACAGAAAACUUGUAUCAGAAAAGGGAAGCAAAUAGUUAGGUACAGUCAAAGAAUCAUCUGAACCUAAAAAAAACCAAAAUAUAAAUGUUUAGAAAGUGAAGUAGCACAGACAGCAGGAUGCCAAACACCUGAUGCAAAGAACUAAAAUAUGAAGAUAACUGAACUCACAUGUCAACUUCAUUGAAUGUUGUCAACAUCGCAAAAGUAUUCUGAGAAUCUUUCAAUCGUGUAGCAACCCGUUUCCUAAGCCUUGUCAUAGGAACCUGUAAUCAUGAAGCCAUACACUCAGGAUAUUUUCUAAGAUGCUAACAUCAUUUUUCACAAAAGGCAUCAGAAAAUUCUAAGCAUACCCUUUGGAUAACAUUUGGAUGCAAACAGCAAAUGAAAAGACUUACUCUUCUUUCCCUUUCCUUGGGUGGUAGUAUAGGUUCAGUAGCAGUUCGUUUUGGAGGUGGUGGAGAAGGGGCUUUAGGCUUCUCCACAGCAGGAGAGACUUCAACUUUGGCUUUUGGCUUAUCCUCCUUUACAGUUUCAGCUGGAGGAGAUGGCUUGGAAGCAGCUUUUUCUGAUUUCUUUUCAGAGGGGGCAGCAGGUGCAACACCAUCAGUGGACUUUGAAAUGACAGCAAUCUUGGUACCUGGUUCCACAGUAUCUCCUUCCUUGGCUACAUACUGGCAAGAAUUAUGACAUUAAUAUUCAGGAUCCAAUCCACUUCCCUUCCUCCCAGAAAUGAGAAGGCAGGAGUCUAGGAACGACCAACAAGCUAGAUACAUGCGUGCAUGCAUGUUUGACCCAAAGAUCCAGAUUUAUUGAUAUAUUACCUCUUGUAUCACACCAUCUUGGGGGCUGACAACAUCAAUUGUUACCUGAUGGAAAUAAACACCACAGGUAUGAAGGGUAUAAUAUCUUCUUGAUAGAGGAAAAGGAGAAGAAUAGUACCUUAUCUGUUUCUAUCUGAGCGAUUGGUUCGUCAGCUGCUACUCUAUCACCAGGCUUCUGCUCUCAAAUUUCAGAUACAUACACAAUCAAACACUUACAACCCUGAAAACGAAUAUUUCUAGUGAAUGAAUGGAAAUUACAAUAGUGGAAAACAUACUUUUCAAGAAUGUUGCCAAAGUGCCAUCAGUAAUUGAUUCUCCCAUAAAAGGGACCACAGCAUCAACCAGAUCCCCUUCAUCACAAGUUAAGUAAAAUAGGAAAGUCAAAAUCUUUAAAUUUAACAUAAUUACAACAUAAAAGGGAAUUCAUCUUUAUUUUCAAGCAGACCUGUUCCUAAUCAGUAUGUACUUUUUGAAAGUGAAAAAUGCACUAAAAAUGCCAAAAUGGCGGAGGUGCAAGUCUAGUACCACCAAAGUUUACACCAAAUCAUUAUACAACUAAAUUGCAGCCAAAGUUUUGAAACUAUUGCAUUCACACUUUUCCAGAGAAAGAUUUUAAAAGAAAUUUUGAACUAAAACUAUUUUCUUCUUUUGACAUAUUGCCUGACGUAGUACCUCUUGGGCGGCCCAACUGCUAACUGAAAAUUGGGUUUGACAAUUGUUAGAUGUUAAUGGUCUAUCCCAGAUAAGUGGUGAUUCAAAUGAACAAUUAUAAUGCACAGGAUCUAAAUUCUAGCAGAAACCAAAAACACACAUCCCUAUGUUAAUAACCAUUCAAAAAGACCAAAAAGAGAAAAAAUGCUAAUAAACCUUAGGCCAAAUAAAUAUCAUUAAGGAAAUUAUUCAAUAACAUAACAUCUCUAGAAGAGAAAGCCCUGCACAACUUUUGCAUGAUAGCCUUUGACUGCAUGCUAGAAAUGACAUCCCUGCCCACAAGCAAAGCUUUCAGGGGAAAGAAGUGAAGAAGUGCUAAGGAGCAGCAAACUGAUUUAAAGAAUUAUAUAUAUAUAUAUAUAUCAUGGAAAGAGAAUUUCCUUUACUAGUUACCCUAAGUAAUCUAGUUCCUGAUAAACAAAUAAGAGAUGGACUAUGCAUUGAAAUGGGCCUGCUAUUAAAGUUAGAUAUACAAUUGUCAGAAUAAUCCAGUAGUCAACUCAUACCCUGUGAGAGUUUAAUUCCUAACAUUGAUGUGCAUUACAAAGUUCAGAACCAACUAACCUUGUCUCUGUUAAACCAGCUGAACAGCCUAUAAUAAUAAUUUAAUAUUUCAUUAAUAAUAAAGAAAAUCAACAAAAUUAUACCAACAAAAGAAGAAAAACCACCCAAAAGAUAUACCUGGCAGAACAAGAUGAGAGAAGUUUCGGACAUGGGCAAUUCCUCUCGGUUGAAGUAAUAGUAUCUGUUCAAGCACUUGAAAUUUCAAUCUCAUGAGAAUAUUUACCAAUGGAUGACAAAAAUUCAAACUCCAAAUGAUUAAAAUGAAAAAAAAGUAACAUUAUUUCUAAAUUAACUAAAGAUUAAAAUUUCAAAUUUUAUGGACAAUAAAACGUGCGAUUUUUUACUUUAAAUCAAAGGACUAAGUUUGAAUUAUUUUUGAAAAAAAAAAAAGAGAAUAUUUUACCAUAUGAUCUUGCACUUCUUUUACUUUAUAUCAACAUUUUAAUAUUGCAAGGCCUAAAUAAAUCAACCAUCUUCGACAUCAGUUAUAGAUUUAAUAGCAUCAAGAUCAAUUGAAAUUCAAAGAAACUGAACUAAGUUCAUGAUUACCAAAUCUAAUUCAUUUUCUUCUGAGUUAUUUACCUCUUUUCCAGCAUUACAAGAAACUCUAGAUACUGAAACACCCGAUCGAAUCGCCAGCAAUGACUUCCCUAAUACCUGAAAAAUCACAAAAAAAUGAAAAAAACAUUAACAAAAUCCUAUGCUUUAGCUAAAUAUAUUACAAUUUAAACAAUAAAAGUUCUAACCAAAGAUGAUGAGCCUCCGCUCGCGACUUUUCUCCUUAAAGCGCCCAACAUCACCGAUAUUCAAUCCCUACUCUUUUUUCAAAAUCAGAAGCAAAAAAUAAAAAACCAAUAAUUUUAAACGCAAAAAAUCAAUAAAAAUCAAUAAAUUAUAACGUAACUUACCAGAUUUCAGUGUAUAAGCAGUAUAUGAAUGAGACGUGAAGCAAAGUAAUAUCGAAGAGAGAGCAAUUUGACUUGAUUGCUUGCAGACAAAAUGAGAGUCGUCGAAUAGAGUAUAAUUUAAAAAAGACGGUUUUUAAGAGAGAUUUGGCUUUUCUUUCUUUUGUUUGUUUGAGAGAAAAUGAGAGAGAGAAACGCGAAGAUGCGGGUUUUGCGGGUCUGUUAUAUCCGCAAUGGCAAGCUGAUUUGAGCUCUCUUACCUGGCGUCGUUUUAUUGAUAGAUACAAGUGAGGAUUCUUUUCUUCCUUUUAACCGGGAAAGGAAGGAAAAGUCGCUACGGCGCCGUUUCGAAAAAUGACACUUUGAGCUUUGUUUGGGUUCGAAAAUCUAGAUUUAGGCUUCGUUUGGGCUCAAAAAUCUAAUGUUUAGGCUUCGUUUGGCUUUUAUUUGGAUUUGAAAAUUUUAAAACUUUUAAGACCGGCAUCUCAUAAUUUAUUAUGAUAAACUUUUAUUUCUUCCAUCUUGAUUUCUAUGUUCAUAUUUAUUUAUAUCUUAAAAUUAUAUUUUUUUUUAUAUUUUUAAAACUCUUACAUUUUAUAUUUUGAAAUUAUUUUUUAUAUAUAUUUUUUACAUUUUAACAUUAAAAAUCAUAAAAUUUUAAUUUUAUAAAAAAUUAAAUUUAAUAUUAAAUACAUAAAAUCAAAGUUUUUUUUCUUUUUUUUUAAACUCCAUGAAAGUUAAUAACACCCAAACAAUUUGAAGUAGAGGGAAUAUAAGUUAAGUUUUUAAUAUAUCUUAAGAAUGGUGAAAAUAUUAAAAAAUUUACUAUAAAAAUUUCCUUAUUACUAUUAUAUGUAUACAUGGUACUAAUAAAAAGUGAUUUUUCUAACAAAAAUAAAAAAUAAGGAGUGAUUUUAUGAGAAAUCAAGGAUUAACAUAGUCUUCGUGUGUUGACUUGAUAAUUAAUAUGUUAAUUAAUUUGCCAAAGAAAAAUAUUAUUUCAAUAGUACUGAAAUUGCUUUUAAAUUGAAGAUUUUGAGUUUGAACUUUAGUAUAAUAAAAAAAAAAAAGAAAAAUGUUCUUUUGUUUUCAUUAAUUGUUGGAUUAAAAUCUCUCAACGGGUAAUUAAGGUUAAGGACACAAGAUUUGUAUUUAUCGUGAAAGUGAACCUUGGGGUAUCUUCAAUUUGAGUGAUAGAACUACAAAAUAAGUUUUUUUUAACUUUAUUAAAAAUCUAGGAGUAGGAUUCAAAGCUUCACUUAGUUCAUGUAGUCACUUGUAAUAGGUAAUAUCUAGUAAGUUUAGGGUUAGAAUCUCAACCUUUGCACUCAUUUCCAUUAUCUCCAAGUUGCGAUCUCAUAAAAAAAAUUACUGAGAAUGGGUUAAAACUGAUGAUUCAAAUAUAGAGCACAUUACUAGAAAAAUAGGUUUUAUCGAUGAAAAAUUUCAUUGGUAAAAGCCAAAUUUCUGUCAAUGAUAACAUUAUUGACUGAUUUAUAGACAAAAAAAUUCCAUCGGUAUUAACUAAGUCGGUAAUGCUAUUCCGUCCGUAAUAAGCAAAUCCAUUAUAGGGCCUGCUAGUGUAGGCCAGUUUGUAGGUUGGCUGGCUUAGGCUUCAUUCUAGCUAUGGCAGUUGGUUUUACUUCCUUGACAACUUUCUUUCUUGGUGGCAUGGUGUUUUAGCUCAGCCAGAAAAAGAAAUUCCCCUACCUGGUGCAUCAAAUCUUGUGUCAAGCUAAGUUGGAGAGGUAAGACUCUAAAAUCACAAAGGAAAGAAAGAAAGCGAUUACGAUUAAAUACUAGGAGUGUCCUUAAAGUUUGUGCUUUGAUGCUCAAGUCAAAGAUUAGCCAAAGAGGAAAAUAGAAAAAAGAAUAGAGAAGAUAGAAAGACAUGUCAUGUCUAGAUAGUACUUGCAUGACUUUAGUUAUAGUUUGAAAGUAAGGGGUUUAGGGCAACUUAGGCUACCAAAGGUUAAUCACAUGGUUAAAGAUGACCUAAAGUAUCAAGUUAACUUAGAUAUUGAUUGUCCACCAAGAGGACGACAAGUCAACAUUGAGGGGAGCUCGUUGGACAGAUUAGUAAGGUGGUUGAGCUGACGUAGUACUAUGACCUUAAGUCAAUCAAACAUGUAAGGUCAGUCUAAAAGUCUAAAAUAUCCCUGGCUAUCUGUUGGUAGUCUCUAAUGAGAAAAGAUGACCAAAAUAACCUUUGGACCUAAAAAUACCCCUAAUAGUUAGAUUUUUAAUUUAAUUAAUCAGAUUUAAUAUUUGACAGCUUCAAUUAAAAAAAGUAUAUCAGUUAAUUAAUUGAUUCUAUAUAACUAGGUGAUGGACUGAACAUUUCAUGUGUGUAUAUAUUCAAGUAUUCCAUUAAGAACAAAAAAUAGAUAUGACUUUUGUUUUCAUUAAGAACAAGAACACUUCAUUUUGAUAAUUAAAACCAUCAAGAACAAGAAAUUAAGCAUAAGUAAAGAAAAAGUUGGUUAGGUACCAUUGUUAUGGCAUGAAAAUGUGUUUUGAGUCUUUACUAAAACUUAUACUCAAAUUGGGACAUCCUUUUUACUCCAAAAUAACACAAAGAAAGGAAUCCAAAAUGAUAACCCAUUUGAAUGAAGGUAUUUAAGCUUAGAAGCUCUAAAAGUUUCAAUCCUUUUAAUUUAAGGAAUACUAUUCCUUUUCCAUUAUCUCAAGUUUAAUUCACUUUGAUACCCAAAAACUUGCUUUGAUUUGGAAGCCAAAUUAAUUUCGAUAUUUUUUAGUUUUGAAAGAGAAUAGGCAACAAUAAUUGGAAACAAGCCUUGAAAUUGUUACACCCAUAAAUCCAUAUAUGUUUAAGACAAGGGAAGGAUAUAGGUUGGAUAUGACUUUAUAAUAAUGAUGCUAUUGAAGUUUGGUUUAUUUCAAUGAUUUUAUUUGACUCUUCACAUCACUCUAUAUCCAAAUAGUUCAUGUGUGGUAAAUUUCUAGCCAGCAUAAAAGAGAAGAUAGAUUUCAACCUAUUACAAUUUGACACAUUUAACUCUCCAAGACAUUGAAGGCUUACAACUUGGAAAGGACCUUAUAACUAAUGUACACGCUUUUAAAUUUAUAACCUCUAUUCUUGAGAGAAAAUAUCUAGCUUAUUUGAAGUAUCCUUUCCCAAUUAAUUAUGUUGCACAUGUUGUUAGGUCUUAACUCAGAAAGUUAUAGUUCAUAUAAAUAUAAAAAAAUCAUAAUUUCAUUAAAAUUGAAUAAAUUACAAAGGUUGAAGAAUGUAUAACUUUAAACAUAUGUUUAAUUGGUUUUCAACUGUCAAUUAAUUUUUUCCACAUAGUGCAAUGUCAUCAAAGUUUGCCUAUAUAUAUAUGUCAUUAAUUUGCAUUAAUAGGAUCAUCACUAGAAUUUCCCAUCCAAAUUAGGUUUCAUUAAACUCAAAUAGUUUGACUUAAUCACACGAUAACAAAGUAAGGGCUUAAGUGAAAAUUUGAUUAAAUAUAGUUAGAUGGUUUAUUUUAUUGUUAUGCCAUUACUAAACAAAACAAACAUUUUUUGUUUAGCUUUCAUCGGAUCUGAUCUUUUCAUCUUUUAAUUAAGCUUUUAACCUCUGAUUUUUCUUAUGCAAGCUUUAAAGUAACCACGAUUUACAUCUUUAUCUUUAGUAACUUUCUCCAAUUGUCUUUCCUAUACAAUGGCUUAAUAAUUCAAUUGUCUCAAUUUUUCUUAAAGUCUGAGAUUCUCUUUUUGUGUCCUUGCUUUUUUUGCCUUAAAUUCCAAUCUUGUGAUUUUGAUUUCCAACAUCAGUGCCUUUGCCCAUAAAUCAUCUAGUUGAGCAAACCAUCAUAUGGAGGGUACCAUAUUAUUAACCCAUUUUGCUCUCCAUACUAAGUAUCCUGAAGUGACAUCAUAAGUACAUCUUCUCAGUUGUGAUCAAUAGGUUUAUUUUUAUGCUUUAGUGAUAUUGUGUACUCUAACCACAUAGUUAGAUUUUCCAUAAUCAAACUCUAACUGGUUUAACCCAUGAGUCAUCUGAACAAACUGUUUAGACUUAUACUAUCUCCUGACCAUAAAAGGGUACAUAACUCAUAACUCCCAAAAUUCAUAAAAGUGGACCCAUGUUUUAUCACUUCAACUAUACAAUAUAGAUGUAUGAAGCAUCCAAAGUGCUCUCCAAAUCAAAUAUUUCAUAUUAAGAUUUUGAAAGAAUGCAACCCAUUGCUCUUUAAUGAGGUCCUUCUACGGAUGUCAGUAGGUAAGGUAUAAGGCGGAUAGGAGCAUUCCCUAUCCCAUUCCCAAAUUUUUAUAUUAUACCUAUCCCGGUAUCCAUAUCAAAUAGGUAUUUCAAAUCUAUCCUCCUAAGUAUUUAAUAAGUAUAGGUAAUCUUUAUAUCCAUAGCUUUUUUUAAAAAUAAAAACUAUAAUUUAUUUUUUAGCUUAUUUUAUUUUAUAUUAUAUAUUUAGGUAAUUUUUUCAUAAAUAUAUAUUAAUAUAUAUUUUUCAAUAAAAAUAUAUUAAUUCUAAUUAAUCUAAAAUAAUAAUUUAUAUCAUUUAACAAAAAAUCUAUUUACUAAGUAUAUAUAAAUAUAUAUGUAAAGUACAAAUAUGGGUUGGGUGUUAUAUUACCCAUCCCCAUCCCUAUACCUAAUAAAAAUUUAAAAUCAUAUAUAUAUUUAUCUCUAUACCCAUAAUGUAAUACCCUUUUUCAUCUUCAUUUAGGUAAAAAAUUAGAUUCUCCAUUAGGUAUAGGUAUUUUUAGGUCCUUUAGCCAUUCUUUCUUAUAAAACUUUGUGAUAAGGACUAGGAUUUCUUGUAUGGUUUAGAGGAACUUUAUCUUUGCCCUAAAAAUGGCUUUGAAGCUAGAUGUAUAAAAGCUGCACACAUCCCAAAAAAUGCCAUUCUCUUUUUUUUCGACAACAAUUCAAUGAUUUAAUUAUCUUUGCUAAGAUAACUAUUAAGGGAUUGAAAUAUUUAUGCAAGUAUGCUGAAGAAUCUACCAUUUAUACCUUGACAUGCCCUAAUACCCUCAAAAAGAUUAGCAACCAUAAAUCGCCAAGGAAAAUAUUUCAAUAACUUGCUUUUCAUUAUGGUUCUUAAAUUUAAGAUUAUGUAAGAAAGCCUGUGGGAUACCAUCAAUGACUGUUUUCUUCUUAUUGAUCACUUUGACAUCCACACCAGUUAUCUUAUAAAGCUUCUUUUGAUAACUUGAUUUCUUUUAUUCUUUCUAGUAUAUCCUAUUUGCACUUGGAAACUUUAUUGAAGUGGAAUAUUCUUCAAUAGUUAAUGUCAUAUCUUUUUUGUUGAAAGUUAAGCAACAGUAUGAUGAGGUUCCAAAAUCAUAUUAUCACCUUAAUUUACUUUUCAUUUGUCUUUACCAAAAUAAGUAGCACAAUAUUUAUGUACUUCUUAAUAAAAGCAUUUUUUCUUUCUACCUCCAUUAAUUCCAAAUGUUUUCCAACUUAGUCAAGUCAUUCUAACAUAGGUCUAAGUGGACUAUUACAAGACAUGUCCUUUAAUUAAACAAUCCCCAUCCUUUUGUUGCCCAUUCUCAGAUUGAUCAUUAAUUUCCCAAUAUGUCUUACUAAUAGUAAAUACUGAAAGUGAAUCCUGAGAUUGCACGGUCACAAUAGUAGUUCUUUUGGCUGGACAUUAUCUAAAAUAAAAAUACACCUCAAUGCAACUAUUUUAUAUUUUUGAUGAUGCAUGCAAAAAUGAAAAAACACAAAAAAAAGUUAGUAAAAAUAGAUUUAUAAUGAAUAAAUUUUCAAAAUAGGAAAAGAAAUUGGUUUCAUUGUUUUGAAAACAUUUGCCUUUUACUUAUCAAAGAAAAUUCCUUUUUUUUUUUUUUAAAGAAAAUAUAUACAUUUAGGCUUUCAUCAGGUAUUGCAGAAGCCUUGAAACGGUGGUGUCAUCCUAUUACAGAUAUCAAGAUGCUAUUAAACUUCUCCUAUUCUACGAUCCAUGUAUUUGUCCAAAAUCAAGUAAAGGGUAAGAAGUGUUUUUUCAUGUGUUCUAAUUUGGGUGCAUUCUAUGAAAAAGGUUCUGCAUGGCUCUACCUACAUGGUAGUUCUUUAUGGUUUUCUAUAUGCUUGACUAAGAUUUCUACGUAUCUAAAGAUUCUCAAAUUGCUCUUCACUAUUGCCCAUGCUAGUCUAGCAAGGUGCCUUGAUCUUCAACUAUUAUAGAAUACAAAUGAAAAAGGUUUAAUUUGAAUAAGAGUAUUUCACCAACCAUUGUAAAUGUAUUCAUCUCACAAGAGUGUAGGUACUUUACUCCCUCCUAAAAAGUAUUUUAUGCCCCAUAGUACCGGUUAAAAAAAAAGUCUCAAUUAAUAACAUAUAUUCCUUUGAUAUUGAUAAAAAAAUGGCCUAAAUUUUAAAUUUUAAAAUUAAUGUCUUAAAUCCCAUUUAUUAUCAUAAAACCCCUUUUUUUGCCAUCCUUUUUAGAAUCAUUUUAUUUAGAAAUAAAAUAAAAAUUUUGUGUUUCAAAUUUCUCAAUAUCUAGAUAAAAUUUAGAAAAAUGUUUUUGACUUAGUUAUUUUCAUGAUAAUCCGUAAAACCAAAGAUAAUAUUAUUUUCAUAAGAAAUAAUUAUUAAGAAUUCCUCUAAUAUUUCGGUAGAGUCUCAAGAAAUAUUUUACUUAGCAUAUUAUCUUAUUUUGUUUUUAAAAAAAUAAUUUCUUUUAUAGUCAUCUUUUACUACAUUAUAUAUUUUUAAAGAAUAGUAAAAUGUAUGUGACGCAACAUGAAGCAAAUUAAUGAUACAAAUAUAAACUAAAAGAUAAAAAUGACCAAUUUAAUUCAUAUUAUAAAUCUUUAACUUUAUCACUUUAUAUUUUUCAUUGUUUUUUUUUUUUUUUUAAUUUUUAGUGAUAAAAUGAAAAUAUUUUUGUGUUUUUAAAAGUAACUUUUGUGCAUUAUCAACAUUAUAAUAUUUAUAAAUCUAAUAAUAUUAAAUUUUUAAGUUCAAUUCUCAUCAUAUGUGAAUUUAAUAAAUUUUAUAUUAAAUUUAUUUAAUUAUGUGUUGAUUUAUUUAUUUGAUUUAAUUCAAUGUUUUUCUUAUAUAAUACUUUCUUAUACUAUUAAGUUCAUAAAAAAAUUAAUAACUAAAGAAUUUCCUAAAAUUUUCAUUGACAUAGCAAUUUUUUUUUGGAACUCUUGAAGGCUUGGCAACAAGAGUAGCUUUUUUGCUUUAUAAUAACCGGAAAAAGUCAUAUAUAAUCCUAAGGAGAAUGACUUUCUGGUUUUAAUUUGAAAUUCAAAACUAGCAAUUAAAAAUCCCCUCUCCCCAAUGACCCGUAUACCAUAAUCACUUAUUAUGAUUAGACUUGACAAUUUAAAAUAUGACAUGAUUAUAUAAUAUGAAUAUAAUAUAAAAAUAGAAUAUGAAAGUGAUAGAAUUUAAAAUUAUAAUAAUAAUUAUAUAUAAGUUUAACAAAUAAAAAAAAAAUUUUAUAUUUUAUAUCGAUACAAAAUAUGACAUAAUUUUUGUGUAAAACACGAAACGAAUAUAAGAAUUUUAUUAUAUCACACUAUAUGAAUACGUGAAUCGUUAGGUUUACUUAUGAUAAACAUGAUUAAUCAAAUUCUUUUUAAUUAUAUUAAGAAAAAUGAAAAAAAAAGUAUGUAAACAUUAAGCAGCUAGCUAUAAAUUAUCAGCCUAAAACACGAAUGGUUUAUACUUUCACACUAUAUGAAUACGUGAAUCGUUAGGUUUACUUAUAAUAAACAUGAUUAAUCAAAUUCGUUUUAAUUAUAUUAAGAAAAAAUGAAAAAAAAAUGCAAACAUUAAGCAACUAGCUAUACAUUAUUGGCCUAAAACACGACUGGUUUAUAUUUUGAUUUUUUUACCUAUGGAAAUGCAUUUUUUAAUAAUAAAUAAUCAAUCAAUCUAAUAAUGAAAUAAUUCAAAAUUUAAAACUAGAGAAAAUAUUCACAUGUAUGCAAAUGCAUCUUCAUUAAUUAAUUUCAUUUCACACUAUUCAAAGAGAAUGAUAUUCGAUAUAUAGCUAGAUCAAGACACGAGAAUAUGGAUGAAAUAUGGACAAUCUUCAAUUAAUUAACAAAUCAGUGAAAAUAUGUUUAUAUUACCGAAAUCAAUAAAAACUAAAAGAAAAUAUAAUAAAAAAGGCCAAAACCUUUAGUCCCUUUUCAUAAUGAUGCUCCUUUCCAACAAUAUUUUAUCCCUUGGCCUUUGAGGAAAGUAAUGGCCUUGGGGUAGCAUGUUGUCUUCUUCCAAAUUAACCACCAAAAAAUUCCCACUAAUUAGAUGAAUAAUAAAAAAUUAUAAAAUCUCAGUGGAAUUUAAAAAAUUAUAUGAUGUAAAGGUUGAAUUACAUAAUAGUAUUUUUGCCAUUUACAUGUUUUGAUUUGGUUUAUAUUUUUAAUUUUCCUUUUAAAUGUCAUGAAUUCAUCGUCAUUAUUGCAUGGUAUCUUUUGGUAUUAUUGUUGGGGCUGCUUCUACAAAUUUUGCCACAACAAAUAAUCUCCACAAAGUAUAUUGUAUGUAAAUUUGUGGGAUAAUUAACUUCCAAUUCAAAUUGGCUCCGUAUGGCGUCUUGAUAUUUUUUUUGAACACUUUACUGUUCAUAUGUAGAGGAUACUUUGGUUUUCAAAAUUAAUAUAAAAAAUUGUCAAAACAAAAUUUAUUCAUGUUUGAUGUCUUAUCACACGAGUUCAUAUAACAUAGAGUAUAAAUAACAUAUGAUUGAAUUAAUUAUUAAAUCACCACAAUAAAAACAAGCAUAGAGAACCAUCUAUGACAUGCAAGUAGACAUAACUACAUACUGCUAUCCAUACAAGCUGCUAUAAGGACUAAUAAAGAACCAGCAAACCAAACUGAACACAAAAACCAUGUUUCUUAGAGUACAUGAAUUUUGCCAAACAAUGUCUUGGCCAAGCGAUACAUGUAAGCUUGAGUUCGAGUCCAAAUAAAAAAAUACAUGAAAUUUGUCUUACAUGAAUGGCUAAACAUGACUUUAUUCACAAUAUCAAAUAUGCAAAUGCUAUGAAAUGUAGAGUAAACUAGUUCUUCACUGCAAAGUAAAACUGAAAAAUAGAGAUCCAACCAGUUGACGGCGACAUAAAACUGAAAGCUCAAACGAUGAUAAGCAUAAUCAAGUAUCAACCACCUAUCAUUGAGGCAAAGAAUGAAUAAGAAUUUAAACAAGAAACUUGAUUAAGGAAGUCAUAAAUACAUGGACAGAGGCAGAUCAAGAUUUUUGUUAGGAAGUAAUAUUAUCCAUGAAAAUAGUGUUUAAAAGGAAAAUUUUGAAUGUUUAUGGAAAUUUUCUUUUAAAAUUUCUUAUUUUCUAAUUUUUAACAGUGUCCCAAAAAAGAUAUGAGGGUAUCCAACACAAAAUUUUUCUUUAAAUUUUUUUGAUUUUCAACGUACACCCCACAAUGCCAUGUAAAUCCACCCACUAGACAUGGAAAAAAGCCAUAUUUACCUGUUUAGCUAACAAGUUUCUCCUUAAAUUUUCACUUCCUUGCAUAACAUCAUCCUUGUUUCUCCCAGAGUCAUAUAUAGAGGUAUUUGAUCUUUCCACUUAUGCCAAGAUAUAUCAUUGCAGGUGGAUUGAUUUAUCAACUAUUUCUUCCAUUGCGGUGAACCUUCUGUUGUAUUAUUCUGAACUUGUUGGGGUUCCUUCACAACAAAAGACAAUUCUCAUUAAGUUAUGCCAGAAGUAAGUAAUUAAUUAAUUAAUUAUGCAUAUGACUUGUGUAUGUAUAUAAAAGAGUCAUCCAAUUCAUAAUAAUAUGUAGUUAUAUACUAAAUCCCAUUUAUUAUCAUAAAACCCCUUUUUUGCCAUCCUUUUUUAAAAUCAUUUUAUUUAGAAAUAAAAUAAAAAUUUUGUGGUUCUAAUUUCUCAAUAUCCAGAUAAAAUUUAGAAAAAUGUUUUUGACUUAGGUAUUUUCAUGAUAAUCCUUAAAACCAAAGAUAAUAUUUUUUUCAUAAGAAAUAAUUAUUAAGAAUCCUUUAAUAUUUAGGCAGAGUCUCAAAAAAUAUUUACUUAGGAUAUUAUCUUAUUUUGUUUUUAAAAAAUAAUUUCUUUUAUAGUCAUCUUUUACUACACUAUAUAUUUUUUAAGAAUAGUAAAAUGUAUGUGAUGUAACAUGAAGCAAAUUAAUGAUGCAAAGUAAACUAAAAGAUAAAAUGACCAAUUUAAUUCAUAUUAUAAAUCUUUAACAUUAUCACUUUAUAUUUUUUCAUUGUUGUUGUUUUUUUUUUUAAAUAUUUAGUGAUAAAAUGAAAAUAUUUUUGUGUUUUAGAAGUAACCUUUGUGCAUUAUCAACAUUAUAAAAUUUAUAAAUAUGAUAAUAUUAAAUUUUUAAGUUCAAUUCUCAUCAUAUUUAAUUUAAUUUUGUAUUAAAUUUAUUUAAUUAUGUGUUGAUUUAUUUAUUUGAUUUAAUUCAAUGAUUUUCUUAUAUAAUACUUUCUUAUACUAUUAAGUUCAUAAAAAAAAUUAAUAACUAAAGAAUUUUCUAAAAUUUUCAUUGACAUAGCAAUUUUUUUUUGGAAGUCUUGAAGGCUUGGCAACAAGAGUAGGUUUUUUUGCUUUAUAAUAACCGAAAAAAGUCAUAUAUAAUCCUAACUAGAAAUAAGGAGAAUGACUAUAUGGUUUUAAUUUGAAAUUCAAAACUAGCAAUUAAAAAUCCCCUCUCCCCAUGACCCGAAUACCAUAAUCACUUAUUAUGAUUAGAUUUAACAAUUUAAAAUAUGACAUGAUUAUAUAAUAUGAAUACAAUAGAAAAAUAGAAUAAGAAAGUGAUAGAAUUUAAAAUUAUAAUAAUAACUAUAUAUAAGUUUAACAAAAUCAAAAAAAAAAUAUUUUAUAUUUUUAUAUCGAUACAAAAUAUGACAUAAUUUUUUGUGCAAAAUACGAAACAAAUACAUGAAUUUCAUUAUAUUACACUAUAUGAAUACGUGAAUCGUCAUGUUUACUUAUGAUAAACAUGGUUAAUCAAAUUUUUUUUAAUUAUAUUAAGAAAAAAUGAAAAAAAAAGUAUGUAAACAUUAAGUUGCUAGCUAUAAAUUAUUAGCCUAAAACACGAAUGGUUUAUAUUUUGAAUUUUUUUGUCCAUGGAAAUGCAUUUUUUUAAUAAUAAAUAAUAAAUCAAUCAAUCAAUCUAGUAAUGAAAUAAUUAAAAAUUUAAAACUAGAGAAAAUAUUCACAUGUAUGCAAAUGCAUCUUCAUAAAUUAAUUUCAUUUCACACUGUUCAAAAAGAAUGAUAUUCGAUAUAUAGCUAGAUCAAGACAACGAGAAUUUGGAUGAAAUAUGGACAAUCUUCAAUUAAUUAACAAAUCAGUGAAAAUAUGUUUAUAUUGCCGAAAUCAAUAAAAACUAAAAGAAAUAUAAUAAAAAAGGCCAAAACCUUUUGUCCCUUUCAUAAUAAUGCUCCUUCCAACAAUGUUUUAUACCUUGGCCUUUGAGGAAAGUGAUGGCCUGGAGUAGCAUGCUGUCUUCUUCCAAAUUAACCACCCAAAAAUUCCCACUAAUUAGACGAAUAAUAAAAAAUUAUAAAGAUCUCAGUGAAAUUUAAAAAAUUAUAUUGAUGUAAAAGUUGAAUUACAUAAUAGUAUUUUUGCCAUUUACAUGUUUUGAUUUGGUUUAUAUUUUUAAUUUUCCUUUUUAAAUGUCCAUGAAUUCAUCAUCACUAUUGCAAUGGUAUCUUUUGGUAUUAUUGUUGGGGCUGCUUCUACAAAUUUUGCCACAACAAUAAUCUCCACAAAGUAUAUUGUAUGUAAAUUUGUGGGAUAAUUAACUUCCAAUUCAAAUUGGCUCCGUAUGCGUCUUGAUAUUUUUUGAACAGUAUUUUUUGAACACUUUACUGUUCAUAUGUAUAGGAUACUUUGAUUUUCAAAAUUAAUAUAAAAAAUUGUCAAAACAAAAUUUAUUCAUGUUUGAUGUCUUAUCACACGAGUUCAUAUAACAUAGUGUAUAAAUAACAUAUCAUUGAAUUAAUUAUUAAAUCACCACAAUAAAAACAAGCAUGGAGAACCAUCUAUGACAUGCAAGUAGACAUAACUACAUACUGCUCAUCCAUACAAGCUGCUAUAAGGAACUAAUAAAGAACCAGCAAACCAAACUGAACACAAAAAACCAUGUUUCUUUAGAGUACAUGAAUUUUGCCAACAAUGUCUUGGCCAAGCGAUAAGAAGAGGAUUUAUGAGACAUGUAAGCUUGAGUUCGAGUCCAAAUAAAAAAAUACAUGAAAUUUGUCUUACAUGAAUGGCUAAACAUGACUUUAUUCACAAUAUCAAAUAUGCAAAUGCUAUGAAAUGUAGAGUAAACUAGUUCUUCACUGCAAAGUAAAACUGAAAAAUAGAGAUCCAACCAGUUGACGGUGCCAUAAAACAGAAAGCUCAAACGAUGAUAAGCAUAAUCAAGUAUCAACCACCUAUCAUUGAGGCAAAGAAUGAAUAAGAAUUUAACAAGAAACUUGAUUAAGGAAAUCAUAAAUACAUGGACAGAGGCAUAUUCAAGAUUUUUGUAGGGAAGUAAUUAUUAUCCAUGAAAAUAGUGUUUAAAAGAAAAUUUUGAAUGUUUAUGGAAAAUUUCUUUUAAAAUUUCUUAUUUUCUAAUUUUAACAGUGUCCCAAAAAAAUAUGAGGGUAUCCAACACAAAAUUUUUCUUUAAAUUUUUUUGAUUUUCAAUGUACACCCCACAAUGCCAUGUAAAUCCACCACUAUACAUGGAAAAAGCCAUAUUUACCUGUUUAGCUUAACAAGUUUCUCCUUAAAUUUUCAUUUCCUUGCGUAACAUUAUCCUUGUUUCUCCCAGAGUCAUAUAUAGAGGUAUUUGAUGUUGCCAGCCACGAUCCCAAAAUAUAUCAUUGCAGGUGGAUUGAUUAUCAACUAUUUCUUCCAUUGUGGUGAAACCUUCUGUUGUAUUAUUCUGAACUUGUUGGGGUUCCUUCACAACAAAAGACAGUUCUCAUUAAGUAAGUUAUGCUAGAAGUAAGUAAUUAAUUAAUUAAUUAAUUAUGCAUAUGACUUGUGUAUGUAUAUAAAAGUCAUCCAAUUCAUAAUAAUAUGUAGUUAUAUACUAACAUAACUUUGUUUCCAUCAUCGUUUCAUCAUUAGUAUCAAUAUGAUCAAGAACAACAAAUUAAUUAAUUCAGCAUAAUAGUUAGAAAAAAAAAAAUUGGUUAGGUACCUCUGUUACCUCUGUUAUGGCAGGCACAGGAUGUUUUGAAUCCAUGAUGACACUUCUGGUCAACUUGGGAGAUUUGGUUAUUUCAAACAACCUCAUAUAAGGGAAUCGGAAAUGACAAACCAGUUGGAGCAAAACUCUUUAGGUCUGAUAGCUCAGAAAGAUCCACUUUUUGUAAUUGAGAGAGCACUAUUCCCUUUGAUCAUCUUCAAUGUCUAGUCACCUUGAUACCCAAAAACUUGCUCUAGUUUAGAAGGCCCUUUAAUUUCAAUUCUCUCGAGGUUGGCAAAAGAACGCGGCGACACUAAUAGGAAACAAGCUUUUCAAAUUUGCUGCACCCAGAAAUAGAUAUAAAUUCAAGACUAGGGAAGGAGUAUAGGUUGGAGAUGACUCUGUGAUGAUGAUAGCUAUUGAAGUUUGGUCCAUUUCAAUGAUUUCUUCCAACUCCUCACAACACUUUAUUUUCAAAGCUUUCAAUUGCGGCAUAUUUGGAGCAAGCAUAGAAGAGAAGAGAGAUUUCAGCCUUUUACAACUUGACACUUUUAAGUCUUUAAGAUAAGGAAGGCUUGCAACUUGGAUGGGACCCUGCAACUGAUGUAUACCCUUUAUAUUUAAAAUCUCUAUCUUUGAGAACAAGUGUCUGCCUUGAAUUUGAAAUACAUUCUCCCAAUUAAUAGUGUCACACACAUUGUCUUGUCCCAACUCAGAGAUUCGUAACUCCUGUAUAAAUAUAAAAAUAUCAUAAUUUCAUUAAAUUUUGAAUAAAUUACAAUGGACAAAUAAUAUAUGAGUUUAAAAGUACAAAAUCUAAUAUAUAUAAGUACGUUUAUGUGAGUAACCUCUCUUUAUGACAUGUAGGGAUAAUGUUUAUAUUAUUAUAUUAUAUAUCAAAUAACUCCAUUUAAUAAAUUAUUUAAAUUUAAUAUUUUUGAAUAUUAUUUAAAUUCAAAUCAAAAUCUAUAAAAAAAUUUUUUGCAUAAAUUUUAAAUUCAAAUAUAUUAAAUUAUAAUUUAUUUUUUCUUUUUAAAUUAAUCAUAGUUCCAAAAAUAUAUAUGUAUUUAUAUGGUUAAUAUAUUUUUAUCUACCAUCAAAUAAUUCUAUUUAAUAGAUUAUCUAAAUUUAAUAUUUUGGGUAACUAUUUAAAUUCAAAUCAAACUCUAACAAAGGUUGAAAAUUUUGCAUAAGUUUUGCAUUUAAAUGUAUUAAAUCAUAAUUUAUUUUUUUUAAAAUUUAAUCAUAAUAUAUAUAUAUACACACUUAAUACAUUUUUAUUUGAUGAAAUCAGAAUCUAAAAUUGAAAUAAAGAGUUUAUAAAAUGAGAGGUCACCUUCUAACCAAGCUUAUUUUAUUUAUUGUUAUUAGAAUUGGAAAUUGAAGAAUACAAGCCUUUUUUUUUUUACUUGACAGUUAUGAUUUAUUGGUUUUGCAUGGGAAUGGACAAAGUUAGAAAGAAGAGUAAACCACAUCAUACCGUGAACAAGUUCAUUUUUGCCUUUAUUAUUCUCUUUUUUCUUUUAUUUUCUUUUUUAUUUGCAAAAAUCAAUAUGUGAUGGUGUUGGAUUGUUUUUACUUUUGUAUAUUUUUUGCUUAAUGACAUUGAUUUUUUUAUCAAAUUUCAAUAAUGGAAAGAAAACUACAUACAUUUGGGAUUGAUUUCAACUCCGGUAAUAGGUAUGGUUCAUUACUUUUUUUCCGUAUUUUAUUUUUUUUAAUUUCCUCCAUUUGUUUUGUACCCUUCAAACUAUUUAUUUGGUCUUAUUUCUAUUAUAUGCAUAUAUACAUUUGAUUUUGAUUUAUUCUAAUAAAAAUUUUGAUUUACUAUAUUUUAUAUAGUUAGUUAAGUGGGAUAUUUGUUCACGCAUAAGGGUCCAAAAGGAGAAUUUCAUAAGCAAAUUAUGUGGUUGAAAGUAUGUAAAAAAUAAAAACUAAUAAAAGCAAUGGCUAUGAACAAAUAAUAAUAUAAUAUGCUUUAUUGUUUCAAUAAAAUUUAUAUAUAAAAGAAAUUUUAUUAUUUGAUGUUUUAUUUUUGGUUCGGGGUUUAUAGAUUUAAUAGUUUAUGAAUAUUCUAUUAAUAUAAAUGUCUUUUACAAUUUAAUAAAUGAUUUUUUUUAUAUCCAUAUUAAUAUUAUUCAUAAAAAUUAUUAAUUUUGACUAUUAAAAGACUGACCCUUGCUUUUUUUUUUUUUUAUCAAAAAAUAAAUAAUUAGUAACAAAAUUUUUGGUGUUUAGCAAAUAAAUAAAAAAAUUAAUUUUUUGAUAGAAAAAGAAGGACUUUUGAAAUUUUGUAAAAAAUUAAACUUAAAACAACAAUAUGUGAAUGCUAUCAUUUAAACGUAUCUUAAAAUUUAUGAAUGUAUGAUUAUAUAUAGUUGAUUAAUAAAAGUUUAAAUAUUCUUUUAUUAAGGAAAUAUAAAAAAUUAAAGUUAAUUAAAAAAUAAAUUUAAAUUAUGAAAAUAAUAACACGGUUAAAAAGCUAGUAUAUAUGUAAACAAAUACCAUUCUCAAGAUUUUAUUAUAAUGUACAAAUUAUAUGUAUGUAUGCAUAUAUGUAUGCAUGCCAGCAGUUUGAAUUCCCAUCCAAAUUGGAUUUCAUUAAAUUAAAAUAGUAGGAUGGCUAAAUUACACACAAUAAUAAUGUAAGGGCUUAAGUGAAAUUUUGAUUACAAUAUGGUUAGAGAGCUUAUUUUAUUAUUUUGCCAUUACUUAACAAGGUUUUUUUUUUUUUUAAAUAACAAACAAGUUUAACUAAGCCUUGAAUGAGUUGAACAUAAACAUUGUUAAAGAUGAGAGUUCAACAUAAGUCUUGAAUGAUUUAUUCUAAUUUUUCUAAUAUAAAACUUACAUAAGAACCCCUUUUUGAAAGAAAUUCAAACAUUGAUUAUUUUAUGAGUAUAGAAAAGAUUUGGGCCAAGGUAAAAUCUCAAACCAUAAUGUAAGGAAAGGAGUAUAAAAUUACCUUUAGUUGAAGCCGUUUGUGGACUAGUUGAAUAAUGAACUUUGCAAAUCGAGGACAAACCACUAUGGUUAACUUCUCCAAUGAUGGUGGCAGAAUGGCAUUAUCAACUCCAUUAUUUUCUUUUGCCAUAUUGAAGACAUAUUGUAGUCUUGGACAACANNNNNNNNNNNNNNNNNNNNNNNNNNNNNNNNNNNNNNNNNNNNNNNNNNNNNNNNNNNNNNNNNNNNNNNNNNNNNNNNNNNNNNNNNNNNNNNNNNNNNNNNNNNNNNNNNNNNNNNNNNNNNNNNNNNNNNNNNNNNNNNNNNNNNNNNNNNNNNNNNNNNNNNNNNNNNNNNNNNNNNNNNNNNNNNNNNNNNNNNNNNNNNNNNNNNNNNNNNNNNNNNNNNNNNNNNNNNNNNNNNNNNNNNNNNNNNNNNNNNNNNNNNNNNNNNNNNNNNNNNNNNNNNNNNNNNNNNNNNNNNNNNNNNNNNNNNNNNNNNNNNNNNNNNNNNNNNNNNNNNNNNNNNNNNNNNNNNNNNNNNNNNNNNNNNNNNNNNNNNNNNNNNNNNNNNNNNNNNNNNNNNNNNNNNNNNNNNNNNNNNNNNNNNNNNNNNNNNNNNNNNNNNNNNNNNNNNNNNNNNNNNNNNNNNNNNNNNNNNNNNNNNNNNNNNNNNNNNNNNNNNNNNNNNNNNNNNNNNNNNNNNNNNNNNNNNNNNNNNNNNNNNNNNNNNNNNNNNNNNNNNNNNNNNNNNNNNNNNNNNNNNNNNNNNNNNNNNNNNNNNNNNNNNNNNNNNNNNNNNNNNNNNNNNNNNNNNNNNNNNNNNNNNNNNNNNNNNNNNNNNNNNNNNNNNNNNNNNNNNNNNNNNNNNNNNNNNNNNNNNNNNNNNNNNNNNNNNNNNNNNNNNNNNNNNNNNNNNNNNNNNNNNNNNNNNNNNNNNNNNNNNNNNNNNNNNNNNNNNNNNNNNNNNNNNNNNNNNNNNNNNNNNNNNNNNNNNNNNNNNNNNNNNNNNNNNNNNNNNNNNNNNNNNNNNNNNNNNNNNNNNNNNNNNNNNNNNNNNNNNNNNNNNNNNNNNNNNNNNNNNNNNNNNNNNNNNNNNNNNNNNNNNNNNNNNNNNNNNNNNNNNNNNNNNNNNNNNNNNNNNNNNNNNNNNNNNNNNNNNNNNNNNNNNNNNNNNNNNNNCGGGUGCAAGUCUAGUACCACCAAAGUUUACACCAAAUCAUUAUACAACUAAAUUGCAGCCAAAGUUUUGAAACUAUUGCAUUCACACUUUUCCAGAGAAAGAUUUUAAAAGAAAAUUUGAACUAAAACUAUUUUCUUCUUUUGACAUAUUGCCUACGUAGUACCUCUUGGGCGGCCCAACUGCUAACUGAAAAUUGGGUUUGACAAUUGUUAGAUGUUAGUGCUGUACCCCAGAUAAGUGGUGAUUCAAAUGAACAAUUAUAAUGCACAGGAUCUAAAUUCUAGCAAAAACCAAAAACACACAUCCCUAUGUUAAUACCAUUCAAAAAAGACCAAAAAGAGAAAAAAUGCUAAUAAACCUUAGGCCAAACAAAUAUCAUUAAGGAAAUUAUUCAAUAACAUACCAUCUCCAAAAGAGAAAGCCCUGCCCGAUUUUUGCAUGAUAGCCUCUGACUGAAUGCUAGAAAUGACAUCCCUGCCCACAAGCAAAGUUUUCAGGGGAAAGAAGUAAAGAAGUGCUAAGGAGAAGCAAACUGAUUUAAAGAAUUAUAUAUAUAUAUAUAUAUAUAUAUAUAUCAUGGAAAGAGAAUUUCCUUUACUAGUUACCCUAAGUAAUCUAGUUCCUGAUAAACAAAUAAGAGAUGGACUAUGCAUUGAAAUGGGCCUGCUAUUAAAGUUAGAUAUACAAUUGUCAGAAUAAUCCAGUAGUCAACUCAUACCGUGACAGUUUAAUUCCUAACAUUGAUGUGCAUUACAAAGUUCAGAACCAACUAACCUUGUCUCUGUUAAACCAGCUGAACAGCCUAUAAUAAUAAUUUAAUAUUUCAUUAAUAAUAAAGAAAAUCAACAAAAUUAUGCCAACAAAAAAAGAAAAACCACCCAAAAGAUAUACCUGGCAGAACAAGAUGAGAGAAGUUUCGGACAUGGGCAAUUCCUCUUGGUUGAAGUAAUAGUAUCUGUUCAAGCACUUGAAAUUUCAAUCUCAUGAGAAUAUUUACCAAUGGAUGACAAAAAUUCAAACUCCAAAUGAUUAAAAUGAAAAAAAAGUAACAUUAUUUCUAAAUUAACUAAAGAUUAAAAUUUCAAAUUUUAUGGACAAUAAAACGUGCGAUUUUUUACUUUAAAUCAAAGGACUAAGUUUGAAUUAUUUUUGAAAAAAAAAAAAAAAGAGAAUAUUUUACCAUAUGAUCUUGCACUUCUUUUACUUUAUAUCAACAUUUUAAUAUUGCAAGGCCUAAAUAAAUCAACCAUCUUCGACAUCAGUUAUAGAUUUAAUAGCAUCAAGAUCAAUUGAAAUUCAAAGAAACUGAACUAAGUUCAUGAUUACCAAAUCUAAUUCAUUUUCAACUGAAUUAUUUACCUCUUUUCCAGCAUUACAAGAAACUCUAGAUACUGAAACACCCGAUCGAAUCGCCAGCAAUGACUUCCCUAAUACCUGAAAAAUCACAAAAAAAAUGAAAAAAACAUUAACAAAAUCGUAUGCUUUAGCUAAAUAUAUUACAAUUUAAACAAUAAAAGUUCUAACCAAAGAUGAUGAGCCUCCGCCCGCGACUUUUCUCCUUAAAGCGCCCAACAUCACCGAUAUUCAAUCCCUACUCUUUUUUCAAAAUCAGAAGCAAAAAAUAAAAAACCAAUAGUUUUAAACGCAAAAAAUCAAAUAAAAAUCAACAAAUUAUAACGUAACUUACCAGAUUUCAGUGUAUAAGCAGUAUAUGAAUGAGACGUGAAGCAAAGUAAUAUCGAAGAGAGAGCAGUUUGACUUGAUUGCUGCAGACAAAAUUGAGAGUCGUCGAAUAGAGUAUAAUUUAAAAAAGACGGUUUUUAAGAGAGAUUUGGCUUUUCUUUCUUUUGUUUGGUUUGACAGAAAAUAAGAGAGAGAAACCGCGAAGACGCGGGUUUUGUGGGUCUGUUGUAUCCGCAAUGGCAAGCUGAUUUGAGCUCUCUUACCUGGCGUCGUUUUAUUGAUAGAUACAAGUGAGGAUUCUUUUCUUCCUUUUAACCGGGAAAGGAAGGAAAAGUCGUUACGGCGCCGUUUCGAAAAAUGACACUUUGAGCUUUGUUUGGGUUCGAAAAUCUAGAUUUAGGCUUCGUUUGGGCUCAAAAAUCUAAUGUUGAGGCUUCGUUUGGCUUUUACUUGGAUUUGGAAAUUUAAAACUUUUAAGACCGGCAUCUCAUAAUUUAUUAUGAUAAACUUUUAUUUCUUCCAUCUUAAUUUCUAUGUUCAUAUUUAUUUAUAUCUUAAAAUUAUAUUUUUUUAUAUUUUUAAAACUCUUACAUUUUAUAUUUUGAAAUUAUUUUUUAUAUAUAUUUUUACAUUUUAACAUUAAAAAUCAUAAAAUUUUAAUUUUAUAAAAAAUUUAAAAUUUAAUAUUAAAUACAUAAAAUCAAAGUUUUUUUUUCUUUUUUUUAAACUCCAUGAAAGUUAAUAACACCCAAACAAUUUGAAGUAGAGGGAAUAUAAGUUAAGUUUUUAAUAUAUCUUAAGAAUGGUGAAAAUAUUAAAAAAUUUACUAUAAAAAUUUCCUUAUUACUAUUAUAUGUAUACAUGGUACUAAUAAAAAGUGAUUUUAUGAGAAAUCAAGGAUUAACAUAGUCUUCGUGUGUUGACUUGAUAAUUAAUAUGUUAAUUAAUUUGCCAAAGAAAAAUAUUAUUUCAAUAGUACUAAAAUUGCUUUUAAAUUGAAGGUUUUGAGUUUGAUCUUUAGUGUAAAAAAAAAAAAAAAAGAAAAAUGUUCUUUUGUUUUCAUUAAUUGUUGGAUUAAAUUCUCUCAACUGGUAAUUAAGGUUAAAGACACAAGAUUUGUAUUUAUCGUGAAAGUGAACCUUGGGGUAUCUUCAAUUUUAGUGAUAAAAAUGCAAAAUAAGUUUUGUUUAACUUUAUUAAAAAUCUAGGAGUAGGAUUCAAAGCUUUACUUAGUUCAUGUAGUCACUUGUAAUAGGUAGCAUCUAGUAAAUUUAGGGUUGGAAUCUCAACCUUUACACUUCCUUCCCUUAUCUCCAAGUUACGAUCUCAUAAAAAAAAUUACUGAGAAUGGGUUAAAACUGAAGUUUUAAAUAUAGAGCACAUUACUAGAAAAAUGGGUUUUAUUGGUGAAAAUUUUCAUUGGUAAAAGCCAAAUUUCUGUCAAUGAUAACAUUAUUGACUGAUUUAUAGACAAAAAAAUUCCAUCGGUAUUAACUAAGUCUGUAAUGUUAUUCCGUCCAUAAUAAACAAAUCCAUUAUAGGGCCUGCUAAUGUAGGCCAGUUUGUAGGUUGGCUGGCUUAGGUUUCAUUCUAGCUAUGGCAGUUGGUUUUACUUUCUCGACAACUUUCUUUCUUGGUGGCAUGGUGUUUUAGCUCAGCCAGAAAAAGAAAUUCCCUUACCUGGUGCAUCAAAUGCUUGUGUCAAGCUAAGUUGAAGAGGUAAGACUCUAAAAUCACAAAGGAAAGAAAGAAAGCGAUUAUGAUUAAAUACUAAGAGUGUCCUUAAAAUUUGUGCUUUGAUGCUCAAGUCAAAGAUUAGCCAAAGAGAAAAAUGGAAAAGAGAAUAAAGAAGAAAGAAGGACAUGUCAUGUCUAGAUAGUACUUGCAUGACUUUAGUUAUAGUUUGAAAGUAAAGGGUUUAGGGCAACUUAGGCUGCCAAAGGUUAGUCACAUGGUUAAAGAUUACCUAAAGUAUCAAGUUAACUUAGAUAUUGAUUGUCCACCAAGAGGACGACAAGUCAACAUUGAGGGGAGCUCGCUGGGCAGAUUAGUAAGGUGGUUGAGCUGACGUGGUACUAUGACCUUAAGUCAAUCAAACAUGUAAGGUCAGUCUAAAAGUCUAAAUAUCCCUGGCUAUCUGUUGGUAGUCUCUAAUGAGAAAAGAUGACCAAAAUAACCUUUAGACCUAAAAAUACCCCUAAUAGUUAGAUUUUUAAUUUAAUUAAUCAGAUUUAAUAUUUGACAGCUUCAAUUAAAAAAAAGUAUAUUAGUUAAUUAAUUGAUUCUAUAUAACUAGGUGAUGGACUAAACAUUUCAUGUGUGUAUAUAUUCAAGUAUUCCAUUAAGAACAAAAAAAUAGAUAUGACUUUUGUUUUCAUUAAGAACAAGAACACUUCAUUUUGAUAAUUAAAACCAUCAAGAACAAGAAAUUAAGCAUAAGUAAAGAAAAGUUGGUUAGGUACCAUUGUUAUGGCAUGAAAAUGUGUUUUGAGUCUUUACUAAAGCUUGUACUCAAAUUGGGGCAUCCUUUUUACUCCAAAAUAACAUAAAGAAGGGAAUUCAAAAUGAUAACCCAUUUGAAUGAAGGUAUUUAAGCUUAGAAGCUCUGAAAGUUUCAAUCCUUUUAAUUUAAGGAAUACUAUUCCUUUUCCAUUAUCUCAAGUUUAAUUCACUUUGAUACCCAAAAACUUGCUUUGAUUUGGAAGCCAAAUUAAUUUUGAUAUUUUUUAGUUUUAAAAGAGAAUAGGCAACAAUAAUUGGAAACAAGCCUUGAAAUUGUUACACCCAUAAAUCCAUAUAUGUUUAAGACAAGGGAAGGAUAUAGGUUAAAUAUGACUUUAUAAUAAUGAUGCUAUUGAAGUUUGGUUUAUUUCAAUGAUUUCAUUUGACUCUUCACAACACUCUAUAUCCAAAUAGUUCAUGUGUGGCAAAUUUAUAGCCAGCAUAAAAGAGAAGAUAGAUUUCAACCUAUUACAAUUUGACACAUUUAACUCUCUAAGACAUUGAAGGCUUGCAACUUGGAAAGGACCUUAUAACUAAUGUAUACGCUUUAAAUUUAUAACCUUUAUUCUUGAGAGAAAAUAUCUAGCUUAUUUGAAGUAUCCUUUCCCAAUUAAUUAUGUUGCACACGUUGUUAGGUCUUAACUCAGAAAGUUAUAGUUCAUAUAAAUAUAAAAAAAAAUCAUAAUUUCAUUAAAAAUUGAAUAAAUUACAAAGGUUGAAGAAUGUAUAACUUUAAACAUAUGUUUAAUUAGUUUUCAACUGUCAAUUAAUUUUUUCCACAUAGUGCAAUGUCAUUAAAGUUUGCCUAUAUAUAUAUAUGUCAUCAAUUCGAAUUAAUAGGAUCAUCACUAGAAUUUCCCAUCCAAAUUAGGUUUCAUUAAACUCAAAUAGUUUGACUUAAUCACACGAUAACAAAGUAAGGGCUUAAGUGAAAAUUUGAUUAAAUAUACUUAGAUGGUUUAUUUUAUUGUUAUGCCAUUACUAAACAAAACAAAAAAAAAAAAUUUGGCUUUCAUUGGAUCUGAUCUUUUCAUCUUUUAAUUAAGCUUUUAACCUCUGAUUUUUCUUAUGCAAGCUUUAAAGGUAACCACGAUUUACAUCUUUAUCCUUAGUAACUUUCUCCAAUUGUCUUUCCUAUACAAUGGCUUAAUAAUUCAAUUGUCUCAAUUUUUCUUAAAGUCUGAGAUUCUCUUUUUGUGUCCUUGCUUUUUCUGCCUCAAAUUCCAAUCUUGUGAUUUUGAUUUCCAACAUCAGUGCCUUUGCCCAUAAAUCAACUAGUUGAGCAAACCAUCAUAUGGAGGGUACCAUAUUAUUAACCCAUUUUGCUCUCCAUACUAAAUAUCCUGGAGUGACAUCAUAAGUACAUCUUCUCAACUGUGAUCAAUAGGUUAUUUUUAUACUUUAGUGAUAUUGUGUAGUCCAACCACAUAGUUAGAUUUUCCAUAAUCAAACUCUAACUGGUUUAACCCAUGAGUCAUCUGAACAAACUGUUUAGACUUAUACUAUCUCCUGACCAUAAAAGGGUACAUAACUCAUAACUCUCGAAAUUCAUAAAAGUGAACCCAUGUUUUAUCACUUCAACUAUACAAUAUAGAUGUAUGAAGCAUCCAAAGUGCUCUCCAAAUCAAAUAUUCCAUAUUAAGAUUUUAAAAGAAUGCAACCCAUUGCUCUUUAAUGAGGUCCUUCUACGGAUGUCAGUAGGUAAGGUAUAAGGCGAAUAGAGCAUUCCCUAUCCCAUUCCCAAAUUUUUAUGUUAUACCUAUCCUGGUAUUCAUAUCAAAUAGGUAUUUCAAAUUUAUCCUCACCCUUAUCCUCCUAAGUAUUUAAUAAGUAUAGGUAAUCCUUAUAUCCAUAGCUUUUUUUUUAAAAAAAAUAAAAACUAUAAUUUAUUUUUUUUAGCUUAUUUUUAUUUUUAUAUUAUAUAUUUAGGUAAUUUUUUCAUAAAUGUCGUAACGUCUAGAUCCGGGGAUCUAUCGCCAGACAUUGACUUUAGGGAGUCGCCACCAAUCUUUUAUCCAGGUGUGAUUGGCCACCUAAGGAAUCUGCCCUUUUAGGGAACACCUAAGCUUAAGGGUCCCUAAAAGAAUAGGUUCGGGUCUGCUUAACCAGAACAGAGUUCGGGAGUUCGGUUACGUGUGAGGAAGGUUAUAGCACCCUCACAACGCCCAUCAAAAGAUGGUACCAGCUCGAAUUUGUGUUAUCCAAAAGCCUUAAAAUUUUACCAAGUAGUUAGUUGUUGAAAAUUAUUCUCAAUUGACUCUAAUACUUUUAGCAGAAAAUUGAGAAAAUUCCCUCACCUCAAGAGUAUGCAAGAAAAACUACUGUUUCACUUGCAGAGGCUCCGUCGUCGGAUUAUUUAAAGAAAAAUCAAGAUCAACCAAUUAAUUAAUUAUCGAAAAUUAUUCUCAAUUGACUCUAAUACUUUUAGCAGAAAAUUGAGAAAAUUCCCUCACCUCAGGAGUAUGCAAGAAAAACUACUGUUUCACUUGCAGAGGCUCCGUCGUCGGAUUAAUUAAAGAAAAAUCAAGAUCAACCAAUUAAUUAAUUAUUGAAAAUUAUUCUCAAUUGACUCUAAUACUUUUAGCAGAAAAUUGAGAAAAUUCCCUCACCUCAGGAGUAUGCAAGAAAAACUACUGUUUUACUUGCAGAGGCUCCGUCGUCGGAUUAAUUAAAGAAAAAAAAUCAAAAUCAGCCAAGUAAUUAAUUAUCGGAAAUUAUUCUCAAUUGACUCUAAUACUUUUAGCAGAAAAUUGAGAAAAUUCCCUCACCUCAGGAGUAUGCAAGAAAAACUACUGUUUUUACUUGUAGAGGCUCCGUCGUCGGAUUAAUUAAAGAAAAAAGAAAAAAAUCAAGAUCAAAAUCAAAGUCAAAUAAAAAAAAUUCAAAAAAAAAAAAAAAAAAAAAAACCUGGAGCGGCUCGGAUCGCGGCUCGGCUUGGUGCGGCUCGGCUCGGCUCGGCUCGGCUCGGCUCGGCUCGGCUCGGAAGGGCUGAAACGCGCGGGUCAGAAAGCGGGUCGACGCUUCGGGUCGGGUCGGGUUCGGCAAAACGCGCGGAUCCUCUUAUUAACUUAAAGCCAAAACGACGUCGUUUUGGGAGGGUAUAAAAGGCACCUUCCUCCGUUUUUCAGCAGACCGUUUCUCCCCUCUCUCUCUCUUCUUCCCUUCUUCUCUGCCUUCUCUCUAGAAUUUGAAGAACGCCGGUGCCGGAUUCUGGAAAAUUCGCCGGAAUCUGGGAAUUUCGCCGGAAAUUGGCCGGAUGGUCGUCGGUUUCUGGGAUUCUCCGCCGGAAACUGGGUCUGUCGCCGGAAACUUCAAAGUUUCGCCGGAAUUGUCGCCGGAAAAUUCAAAAGUCGCCGGAAUUUUCGCCGGAAUCUGGAAAUUUCCCAGAAAUUUCCAGAAAAUUUUUUCGCCAAAUUUUUCUAAAAAAUUUUUCUCACUGCCAGAACACUCCUAAACUUUUCCUUAGCUCUCUAAACACCCCUAUUCUCUCAAUCAGUAGCUUUUGCUUCUGUUUUCUCUGUGUUCUUGACUGUUCCAGGGGGGUCCCUUUUAUAGGGAUUGAUCAGGAGUUUCUGAUCAAUCCCAAUUCCUCUUUGGACGGGAAUUCAGUCUUUGAAUCCAAUUGGACUCUUCUGAUUGAAUUCCCCUUCAGAGUGGGAGUCUUCAACUUUGAAUCCUAGCCCUCCAAAAUAAAAAUUAAAAUAAAAUUAAAAAAAAAAUCUAGAUAAUUGGAAAGAUAAAUCAAAAGAUAAAAAAUUUUCAAAUAAUAUCUGAAAAUCAGAAAAAAUCAGAACAGAUAAUUAAAAAAAAAGAUAAGAAUAAUAAUAUAAUAAUAAUAAAUAUAUAACUAUAUACAUAUAAAUCUAUUCUAAUGAAAAAAAAUAUAUAUAUAUAUAUACAUAUAUUAAUACAUAAUAAUAAAUAAUAAAAUACACAAGAGAGAAAAAAAAUAAAAUAAAAUAAAAAUAAAAAAUAAAAAUACGGGUAAAAAUUCAAUUGGGCCUUGCCCAUUUGGGGCAGGCCCAAAUGAUCUGGGUCAGGCCCAUUGAUCCGGGUCAGGCCCAAUUGAUCCGGGCCCGGACCUGAUUGGGUGUCUACAGCUGCCCCUCUUUGCGUAUUUUCUGUGAGACAGAAAUUGCGCAAAGACGUAGACACCCAGUCAAGACCCGACUCGACAUUUUCAUUUUUGAUUUUUUUUUAUUUUUGUUUUUAUUUUUUUUGAUUUUUUUGAUUUUUUGAUUUUUUUGUUUUUUUUUUUUUUUUUUUGUUUUUUUUUUUGGCCAAAGCUCCUCUAAACAGAGACUCAACGACUUUUGAAAGUAAAUUGCUCCUCUAAACAGAGGCAACGGACUUUGGAAAGUAAAUUGCUCCUCUCAACAGAGGCAACGGACUUUGGAAAGUAAAUUGCUCCUCUCAACAGAGGCACCACGACUUUGGAAAAAUAAAUUGCUCCUCUCAACAGAGGCACCACGACUUUGGAAAAUAAAUUGCUCCUCUCAACAGAGGCACCACGACUUUGAAAAGUAAAUUGCUCCUCUAAACAGAGGCAACGAACUUUGAAAAGUAAAUUGCUCCUCUAAACAGAGGCACCACGACUUUAAAAAAAUAAAUUGCUCCUCUAAACAGAGGCAACGAACUUGGAAAAGUAAAUUGCUCCUCUAAACAGAGGCACCACGACUUUGGAAAAAUAAAUUGCUCCUCUAAACAGAGGCACCACGACUUUGAAAAGUAAAUUGCUCCUCUAAACAAAGGCACCACGACUUUUGAAAAGUAAAUUGCUCCUCUAAACAAGGCACCACGGAACUUUGAAAAAUAAAUUGCUCCUCUAAACAGAGGCAACGACUUUGAAAGCAAUGCUCCUCUAAAGGCAACGGAACUUGAAAGCAAAUUGCUCCUCUAAACAGAGGCACCACGACUUUUGAAAAGUAAAUUGCUCCUCUAAACAGAGGCAACGAACUUGGAAAAGUAAAUACUCCUAGACAAUCAUGUCCGAAGGAGUUGAAAGUUGUGUUUGAAGGGAUUUCAGGAGAUUAUGCCCAAAGGUCUUAUAAAUCAACCCUGAUACCAAGAGACAUCCUAUUUCGAGGAUUAGGAACUUACCUGACAAGUUUCUUCUCAAACUUGCAAAGUCUUUUCAUAUCUGUCUUUUCAUGUGGGAUGUUGGAACACCCUUGCUUCUUGAAUUUGUACACUAUACUUUCCUGAAAGUAGUGUAUGCUAUGCAAUGUGCAUGAUUUUCAAUGCAUGCUAUGCAAAUGUUGGCCAAUUAAUUCCUGUUCAAUGUAUGGUACUCAAGUUUCUCAAGCUCUUUUUUUUCUUGGGUGUCAAGCCCUUUGAUUCCUCAAGGAUCCAAUUGCACUGCUCUUCUAAGAUCGAACCAGUGUAGCUCUUAAUUGUCUCUUCCACUCAGAUUCUUCCUUGUUCUGUUUUUCAAUACUUUGGAAUAAGUUUCAUCAAUCGAUCAUCACUUGACCAUCAUUCAAUGAAUUUCUCAGCAAUAACAAAUUUUCAAAACAAGUUUCAUCCACCAUCAUUGGGUCAUUACUCUGUCUCAGCAUUAACCAUUCAAAAACAAACUCUGUCCACUGAUUGUCUUCAUCAUUCAAUCAUAACUUGCAAGUCAUAUCGAUCAAUUCAUCACUUUUCCAGAUUUGCCCCAUCAUCUCUUUUAGGUUUCUACCAUUUCUUCAUCAUCUUAGAUUUCUUUUCAAAUGAAUGUAAGAUUCUUUUAAGUACAUGUUCAUUCAUUCAUUAUCAUUUCAAAUUUUGACAAAUACAAUGCAAUCAAGCAUUUUCUCAAUUCAUUCUAAGGGUGUAACAAUAAGAGGACAGAAAGUGAAUUAUGGUAAAGAUAAUCAAUGGAGAUCUAUUUUGGUAGAAAAUAAAUGGGAAAGGAAAUAAAUUGGAUGUCAUUGAGGUAAAUGGUAUGUCCAAAUGAUGAAUAUUUAGACAAUUUUCAACAUUAAUCUAGGAUUCUUUUUCAAAAGCUCAUUCAUUUACUGUUGAAGUCAUCUUGGGCUUGGCGAACUCUGCCCCAGUCUUUAAGGGAUCUUCAGAUGUCUUUGAUCUUUCAUUCAUGUGAGCCAUUUGACCUGAAUCUUUUUUUUUUUUUUUUUGGGUACCAAAAUCACCCUUUCAGGUUUUCAAUUCGGAUCUCUUUUUUUCAUUUUUUCUUCUUUCUUUCUUUUUUUUUUUUCAUCAUCUUUUUUUUCAUUCUUCACCUAUUAUUGACAUCCUUCAUACAUCAAACUUUUAAGGUAAUGUAGCAUGAUUCCAUUGCUUCAUCAUGAGCAUGCCUUCGCUCAACAUAUGAUCAUUCAAGUUGGGUAUUCACACUUGAUCCAAAUGGACUUUCCAAGGUUGUAAUGUAGGCUAAGGUGAAGGGUCAUAAAAAAAAUGGAUAUAAUAGGCUCAAAACAUGUAUUAAAAAGGUUCAAGACCGAAGGAUCAUUUGAUGCAGCUUGGCAUUUUGCCCCACAUCGUUUCACUAUUUUUUCUUUCCUCACACAAAGGAUUCUCAUUACUUUGCCCCAAGUCAUGUGUGGCAUUUAUUUUUUUCUUUUGCUUUUCUUUCUCUUUUCAUCUUUGAGACCUUUUGUGGUUUUUUUUUUUUUUUUUUUUUUUUUUUCAAAAAUUACCCUCCAGUGUAGAGGGUGAUCCUUGGUUGGGGUUCUUCAAAAAAAAAUGAUAAGCUCAAGGGGGUAACAAUAAAUGGUUUUUCAAAUGGUAAAAGAAAGAUGGCCAUUUUUCAUCUCAAUUGUGAAUACCUUUCUUGAACAUCAUCUAUUGAACAGAGCUCAUGAACUUGUAUAAAAUAUUGCACACCUUCAAGAUAUAUCUCUUUCAUCUCUGGUGAUGGCUUACCCUCUUUAUUUUCGCUCAAAUCAUCUCCUCUGUGAAUGAGUUCUCAAAAUUAAAUUCCAGAAUUAUUGUUAUCAUUGUCUAAAUAUUCAUCAUCUGAAAUUUAAGAAUGGGAGUGUGAAGUUAUGGAAGGUAACAAGGCAUGGAAUAAUGGUAAAGUGAAAGAGAAAAAUGUAAUGAAAUGCAUUGACUUGCCUUUAUUAAAAUGAUAACAAGUGAAGUCAUAUUAAAAAAAAAUCUAACAUUUUUGAAAAGAAAUCCCAAAAUGACAAAAGAAACCUUCAACCAGCCUUAUCUCCAUUGACAUCUUGCCCCUCAAUUCAUUGUGAAUCUCCGGAUCCUUUCUGUUCUUGACUUUCGCUCAGUACACUAACAUUAGGUGCUGUUGCUUUUCCUUGAUCAAAACUUACCAUUCCAUCAUUGAUCAACCGUUGCACCUUAUACUUUAAAGCAGUGCAAUUUUCAGUAGAAUGGCCAGUAAUUCCAUAAUGAUAGUCACAACGGGCUGUAGGAUCAUACCACUUUGGAUAGGGUGGUUUAAGUGGUUCCACAUGGCUGGGGGCAAUCAAAUGGCUAUUAUAAAGCUCUCGAUAUAACUCUGUAUAAGUCAUAGGGAUUGGAUCAAAUACAGGUUUUUCUCGAGUAGUCCGUUGUUCUCGUGAGCCACUUGUUGGAUGAGUAGGACGAAUUUGGGUUCUUACAGGAGCUUGAAUGUUAAGGCGGUAAGUGGAUGAAUAAGAUGGUUGUGGAGCUAGCUGGUAUGGGUAGGAUGAGGCAUUAUUCACAGCAGGAUAGCAUGGAGAGUAACCUUGGGAUGGAUAGGGUUGAUAACCCCCGAAUUGUUGUCUAUCAAAGCUCACAGCUUGAGCUUCAGCUUCUUUCUUUUCUGAUGUCUUCUUGGUUUCUCCUCCUCUCAACUUGCCAUUUUUUAUGGCACUUUCAAUAAUUUCUCCAGAGAUUACCAUGUCAGCAAAAUUCUUUGUUGCAUUCCCUAUCAUCUUUUCAUAAUAGGGAGGCUUUAAAGUGCUAACAAACAGCACUGUGGUCUCUUUCUCUGUCAGUGGAGGUUGUACCUGUGAAGCAAUAUCCCUCCAUCUCUGGGCGUAUUCUUUAAAAGACUCAUUUGACUUUUUCUCCAGGUUUUGCAAAGAUAAACGAUCAGGGGCCAAAUCGAUGAUGUGUCGAUAUUGGCUGAUGAAGUCAUGAGCCAUAUCGCUCCAGGAGCGAAUGUGGGUUCUAUCCAACUGAACAUACCACCUGGCAGCAGAACCAGUAAGACUAUCCUGAAAGACAUGCAUCAAGAGUUUUUCAUCAUGUGCAUGAGCUGCCAUCUUCCUGCAAUACAUGGUGAUGUGAGUUUUAGGGCACUUUGUACCGUCAUAUUUUUCAAAUUUCGGUACUUUGAAUUUAUAGGGAUAACCACAUCAGGAACUAGGCAGAGCCCAGCAGCAUCAACUGACCCAUAAAAGCUAAAUCCUUCUACAGCCCGUAGCCUCUGCUCUAACAUGCUAAUCUUGGAACUUUCCUCAGCCUCUACUCUCAUCUUUUCCUUCUCCUUCUCUUUUAAAUCAUCUAGAUCAGGAAUUGGUUCUGCUGCCUUUUCAGUGAAGACAGGAUUUAUAUAGCUGUUAUACUGCCCUGGGUUGAAAGCUGAUGGCAUUCCAGGAUAGGCGAAAUGUUGUGGCGGGACCUCUUGGGCAGACUGGGCUUGAGAUGGGCCAAAACCUGGAGGGUACAAAGGGUCAGCUACUUCUUGUAAAUGGGGAACUUGUUGGCUUGUAUUUCCUUCAACCCCUUUCCCCUUAUUCAUGUUAUUGAGGGCCUCCAGAAUUUUGCUAAGUUCAUUUUCAAUCUUCUCCUGAGCUUUUUCUAGCUUUUCAAAUCUAUGAGAACUUUCUUCUUCCAUUUGCCUUGCUCUGAAUCUUGUGUUGUAUGGAUGAGCAGGGUUUUCGCUAGAUGGAGCUAUCCUCGGACCUUGAGUACCAUACUUAUGAUUAGAAAUGUUAUGCUGUGCCUUAUGUAUGAUGCUUUGACACACAAAUGAAAUGUACAUUUUUUGAAUGAAAUCUAGUAUGAAAUGAAUGCAAAUGAUUGUGUUGAAACAUGAUCAUGAAAAGAAUACAGAUGCAUACAAUCAGACAAACAACAUAGUUAGUUCCGUGGAUGAAACGUAAGUGAUGUUGAUGCAUAAUGUUACAUAUGAUAGAAAUAAUACACAAAGUUAAGCAAUCAAAAUGAUUAGAUAAACACCCUUUUUUGUGUCCUAAUUUUAGGGUAUAUCUAUCAUUGGGUAGAAAGAGCUCUAUCCUAGGUGUAGGCACUCUUAAAGUUCACUACAUGCGGUUUUAAGGUCAGAGUCUAAAGGUUCUCAAAUUGCUCCUUACAUCCCUGUCCAUCACAGACUAGUAAGGCACCCUAAUCCUCACCCAUUACAGGCUACAAGCGAAAAAGGUUCAAUUUGAGUGGGAGUAUUUCGCUAGCCACUGCGGAGGCAUUAGACCUCACGAAAGCAAUAGGUACUUUACUCCCUCCUAGAGGGACGGAGCUCGGGUGUAGAGCUCAUGUUAUGCAUAUGCACAUGAAUGACAUAAUUAACCAAGCAAAUACACAUAAAUGAAUAAUAACACAUAUAUACAAGAAGGGUUCAAUUUUAGCUUUUGGAUAACACAAAUUAUUUGCUGGCCUGACUCUCAAAGUCCCCAGUGGAGUCGCCAAGCUGUCAUAACGUCUAGAUCCGGGGAUCUAUCGCCAGACAUUGACUUUAGGGAGUCGCCACCAAUCUUUUUUUUUAUCCAGGUGUGAUUGGCCACCUAAGGAAUCUGCCCUUUUAGGGAACACCUAAGCUUAAGGGUCCCUAAAAGAAUAGGUUCGGGUCUGCUUAACCAGAACAGAGUUCGGGAGUUCGGUUACGUGUGAGGAAGGUUAUAGCACCCUCACAACGCCCAUCAAAAGAUGGUACCAGCUUGAAUUUGUGUUAUCCAAAAGCCUUAAAAUUUUACCAAGUAGUUAGUUGUUGAAAAUUAUUCUCAAUUGACUCUAAUACUUUUAGCAGAAAAUUGAGAAAAUUCCCUCACCUCAAGAGUAUGCAAGAAAAACUACUGUUUCACUUGCAGAGGCUCCGUCGUCGGAUUAUUUAAAGAAAAAUCAAGAUCAACCAAUUAAUUAAUUAUCGAAAAUUAUUCUCAAUUGACUCUAAUACUUUUAGCAGAAAAUUGAGAAAAUUCCCUCACCUCAGGAGUAUGCAAGAAAAACUACUGUUUCACUUGCAGAGGCUCCGUCGUCGGAUUAAUUAAAGAAAAAUCAAGAUCAACCAAUUAAUUAAUUAUCGAAAAUUAUUCUCAAUUGACUCUAAUACUUUUAGCAGAAAAUUGAGAAAAUUCCCUCACCUCAGGAGUAUGCAAGAAAAACUACUGUUUCACUUGCAGAGGCUCCGUCGUCGGAUUAAUUAAAGAAAAAAAAAUCAAAAUCAGCCAAGUAAUUAAUUAUCGGAAAUUAUUCUCAAUUGACUCUAAUACUUUUAGCAGAAAAUUGAGAAAAUUCCCUCACCUCAGGAGUAUGCAAGAAAAACUACUGUUUUUACUUGUAGAGGCUCCGUCGUCGGAUUAAUUAAAGAAAAAAGAAAAAAAUCAAGAUCAAAAUCAAAGUCAAAUAAAAAAAAAUUCAAAAAAAAAAAAAAAAAAAAAAAAAACCUGGAGCGGCUCGGAUCGCGGCUCGGCUUGGUGCGGCUCGGCUCGGCUCGGCUCGGCUCGGAAGGGCUGAAACGCGCGGGUCAGAAAGCGGGUCGACGCUUCGGGUCGGGUCGAGUUCGGCAAAACGCGCGGAUCCUCUUAUUAACUUAAAGCCAAAACGACGUCGUUUUGGGAGGGUAUAAAAGGCACCUUCCUCCGUUUUUCAGCAGACCGUUCCUCCCCUCUCUCUCUCUUCUUCCCUUCUUCUCUGCCUUCUCUCUAGAAUUUGAAGAACGCCGGUGCCGGAUUCUGGAAAAUUCGCCGGAAUCUGGGAAUUUCGCCGGAAAUUGGCCGGAAGUUGGCCGGAUGGUCGCCGGUUUCUGGGAUUCUCCGCCGAAACUGGGUCUGUCGCCGGAAACUUCAAAGUUCGCCGGAAUUGUCGCCGGAAAAUUCAAAAGUCGCCGGAAUUUUCGCCGGAAUCUGGAAAUUUCCCAGAAAUUUCCAGAAAAUUUUUUCGCCAAAUUUUUCUAAAAAAUUUUUCUCACUGCCAGAACACUCCUAAACUUUUCCUUAGCUCUCUAAACACCCCUAUUCUCUCAAUCAGUAGCUUUUGCUUCUGUUUUCUCUGUGUUCUUGACUGUUCCAGGGGGGUCCCUUUUAUAGGGAUUGAUCAGGAGUUUCUGAUCAAUCCCAAUUCCUCUUUGGACGGGAAUUCAGUCUUUGAAUCCAAUUGGACUCUUCUGAUUGAAUUCCCCUUCAGAGUGGGAGUCUUCAACUUUGAAUCCUAGCCCUCCAAAAUAAAAAUUAAAAUAAAAUUAAAAAAAAAAUCUAGAUAAUUGGAAAGAUAAAUCAAAAGAUAAAAAAUUUUCAAAUAAUAUCUGAAAAUCAGAAAAAAUCAGAACAGAUAAUUAAAAAAAAAGAUAAGAAUAAUAAUAUAAUAAUAAUAAAUAUAUAACUAUAUACAUAUAAAUCUAUUCUAAUGAAAAAAAAAUAUAUAUAUAUAUAUACAUAUAUUAAUACAUAAUAAUAAAUAAUAAAAUACACAAGAGAGAAAAAAAAAUAAAAUAAAAAUAAAAAAUAAAAAAUACGGGUAAAAAUUCAAUUGGGCCUUGCCCAUUUGGGGCAGGCCCAAAUGAUCUGGGUCAGGCCCAUUGAUCCGGGUCAGGCCCAAUUGAUCCGGGCCCGGACCUGAUUGGGUGUCUACAAUAAAUAUAUAUUAAUAUAUAUUUUUCAAUAAAAAUAUAUUAAUUCUAAUUAAUCUAAAAUAAUAAUUUAUAUCAUUUAACAAAAAAUCUAUUUACUAAGUAUAUAUAAAUAUAUAUGUAAAGUACAAAUAUGGGUUGGGUGUUAUAUUACCCAUCCUCAUCCCUAUACCUAAUAAAAAUUAAAAAUCAUAUAUAUCUUUAUCCCUAUACCCACAAUGUAAUACCCUUUUUCAUCUUCAUUUAGGUAAAAAAUUAGAUUCUCCAUUAGGUAUAGGUAUUUUUAGGUCUUUUAGCCAUUCUUUUUUAUAGAACUUUGUGACAGGGACUAGGAUUUCUUGUAUGGUUUAGCGGAACUUUAUCUUUGCCCUAAAAAUGGCUUUGAAGCUAGAUGUAUAAAAGCUGCACACAUCCCAAAAAAUGCCAUUCUCCUUUUCUCCGACAACAAUUCAAUGAUUUAAUUAUCUUUGCUAAGAUAACCAUUGAGGGAUUGAAAUAUUUAUGCAAGUAUGCUGAAGAAUCUACCAUUUAUACCUUGACAUGCCCUAAUACCCUCAAAAAGAUUAGCAACCAUAAAUCGCCAAGGAAACUAUUUCAAUAACUUGCUUUUCAUUAUGGUUCUUAAAUUUAAGAUUAUGAAAGAAAGCCUAUGGGAUACCAUCAAUAACUCUUUUCUUCUUAUUGAUCACUUUGACAUCCACACCAGUUAUCUUAUAAAGCUUCUUUUGAUAACUUGAUUUCUUUUAUUCUUUCUAGUAUAUCCUAUUUGGACUUGGAAACUUUAUUGAAGCAAAGUGGAAUAUUCUUCAAUAGUUAAUGUCAUAUCUUUUUUGUUGAAAGUUAAACAACGGUAUGAUGAGGUUCCAAAAUCAUAUUAUCACCUUAAUUUACUUUUCAUUUGUCUUUACCGAAAUAAAUAGCACAAUAUUUAUGUACUUCUUAAUAAAAGCAUUUUUUCUUUCUGCCUCCAUUAAUUCCAAAUGUUUUCCAACUUAGUCAAGUCAUUCUAACAUAGGUCUAAGUGGACUAUUACAAGACAUGUCCUUUAAUUAAACAAUCCUCAUCCUUUUGUUGCCCAUUCUCAGAUUGAUCAUUAAUUUCCCAAUAUGUCUUACUAAUAGUAAAUACUGAAAGUGAAUCCUGAGAUUUCAUGGUCACAAUAGUAGUUCUUUUGGCUGGACAUUAUCUAAAAUAAAAAUACACCUCAAUGCAACUAUUUUAUAUUUUUGAUGAUGCAUGCAAAAAGGAAAAAACACAAAAAUAAAAAAGUUAGUAAAAAUAGAUUUAUAAUGAAUAAAUUUUCAAAAUAGGAAAAGAAAUUGGUUUCAUUGUUUUGAAAACAUUUGCCUUUUUACUUAUCAAAGAAAAUUCUUUUUUUUUUGAAGAAAAUAUAUACAUUUAGGCUUUCAUCAGGUAUUGCAGAAGCCUCGAAAUGGUGGUGUCAUCCUAUUACAGAUAUCAAGAUGCUAUUAAACUUCUCCUAUUCUACGAUUCAUGUAUUUGUCCAAAAUCAAGUAAAAGGUAAAAAGUGUUUUUUCAUGUGUUCUAAUUUUGGUGCAUUUUAUGAAGAAGGUUCUGCAUGGCUCUACCUACAUGGUAGUUCUUUAUGGUUUUCUAUAUGCUUGACUAGGAUUUUCUACGUAUCUAAAGAUUCUCAAAUUGCUUUUCACUAUUGCCCAUGCUAGUCUAGCAAGGUGCCUUGAUCUUCAACUAUUAUAGAAUACAAAUGAAAAAGGUUUAAUUUGAAUAAGAGUAUUUCACCAGCCAUUGUAGAUGUACAUCUCACAAGAGUGUAAAUACUUUACUCCCUCCUAAAAAGUAUUUUAUGCACCAUAGUACCGAUUAAAAAAAAAGUCUCAAUUAAUAACAUAUUUCCUUUAAUAUUGAUAAAAGAAUGGCCUAAAUUUUAAAUUUUAAAAUUAAUGUCUUAAAUCCCAUUUAUUAUCAUAAAACCCUUUUUUUUUGCCAUCCUUUUUAGAAUCAUUUUAUUUAGAAAUAAAAUAAAAAUUUUGUGUUUCAAAUUUCUCAAUAUCUAGAUAAAAUUUAGAAAAAUGUUUUUGACUUAGUUAUUUUCAUGAUAAUCCGUAAAACCAAAGAUAAUAUUAUUUUCAUAAGAAAUAAUUAUUAAGAGUUCCUCCAAUAUUUAGGUAGAGUCUCAAGAAAUAUUUUACUUAGCAUAUUAUCUUAUUUUGUUUUUAAAAAAAUAAUUUCUUUUAUAGUCAUAUUUUACUACAUUAUAUAUUUUUAAAGAAUAGUAAAAUGUAUGUGAUCCAACAUGAAGCAAAUUAAUGAUACAAAUAUAAACUAAAAGAUAAAAAUUACCAAUUUAAUUCAUAUUAUAAAUCUUUAACUUUAUCACUUUAUAUUUUUUCCUUGUUGUUUUUUUUUUUUAAAUAUUUAGUGAUAAAAUGAAAAUAUUUUGGUGUUUUUAAAAGUAACCUUUGUGCAUUAUCAACAUUAUAAUAUUUAUAAAUCCGAUAAUAUUAAAUUUUUAAGUUCAAUUCUCAUCAUAUGUGAAUUUAAUUUAAUUUUAUAUUAAAUUUAUUUAAUUAUGUGUUGAUUUAUUUAUUGAUUUAAUUCAAUGUUUUUGUUAUAUAAUACUUUCUUAUACUAUUAAGUUCAUAAAAAAAUUAAUAACUAAAGAAUUUCCUAAAAUUUUCAUUGACAUAGCAAUUUUUUUUUUGGAACUCUUGAAGGCUUGGCAACAAGACUAGCUUUUUUGCUUUAUAAUAACCGGAAAAAAUCAUAUAUAAUCCUAACUAGAAAUAAGGAGAAUGACUUUCUUGUUUUAAUUUGAAAUUCAAAAUUAGCAAUUAAAAAUCCCCCCUCCCCAUGACCCGAAUACCAUAAUCACUUAUUAUGAUUAGACUUGACAAUUUAAAAUAUGACAUGAUUAUAUAAUAUGAAUAUAAUAUAAAAACAGAAUAUGAAAGUGAUAGAAUUUAAAAUUAUAAUAAUAAUUAUAUAUAAAUUUAACAAAAUAAAAAAUAUAUAUUUUAUAUUUUUAUAUCGAUACGAAAUAUGACAUAAUUUUUAUGUAAAACACGAAACGAAUAUAUGAAUUUUAUUAUAUCACACUAUAUGAAUACGUGAAUCGUUAGGUGCACUUAUGAUAAACAUGGUUAAUCAAAUUCUUUUUAAUUAUAUUAAGAAAAAAUGAAAAAAAAAAAAGUAUGUAAACAUUAAGCAGCUAGCUAUAAAUUAUCAGCCAGAAACAUGAAUGGUUUAUAUUUUGAAUUUUUUGUCUAUGGAAAUGCAUUUUUUUUAAUAAUAAAUAAUAAAUCAAUCAAUCAAUCUAGUAAUGAAAUAAUUCAAAAUUUAAAACUAGAGAAAAUAUUCACAUGUAUGCAAAUGAAUCUUCAUUAAUUAAUUUCAUUUCACACUGUUCAAAAAGAAUGAUAUUCGAUAUAUAGCUAGAUCAAGACACGAAAAUAUGGAUGAAAUAUGGACAAUCUUCAAUUAAUUAACAAAUCAGUGAAAAUAUGUUUAUAUUGCCGAAAUCAAUAAAAACUAAAAGAAAAUAUAAUAAAAAAGAAUGAUGCUCCUUCCAACAAUAUUUUAUCCCUUGGCCUUUGAGGAAAGUGAUGGCCUUGGGGUAGCAUGCUGUCUUCUUCCAAAUUAACCACCCAAAAAUUCCCAUAAUUAGAUGAAUAAUAAAAAAUUAUAAAGAUCUCAGUGGAAUUUAAAAAAUUAUAUGAUGUAAAAGUUGAAUUACAUAAUAGUAUUUUUGCCAUUUAGAUGUUUUGAUUUGGUUUAUAUUUUUAAUUUUCCUUUUUAAAUGUCAUGAAUUCAUCAUCAUUAUUGCAUGGUAUCUUUUGGUAUUAUUGUUGGGGCUGCUUCUACAAAUUUUGCUACAACAAAUAAUCUCCACAAAGUAUAUUGUAUGUAAAUUUGUGGGAUAAUUAACUUCCAAUUCAAUUUGGCUCCGUUGGGCCUUGAUAUUUUUUGAACACUUUACUGUUCAUAUGUAUAGGAUACUUGUCAAAACAAAAUUUAUUCAUGUUUGAUGUCUUAUCACACGAGUUAAUAUAACAUAGUGUAUAAACGACAUAUCAUUGAAUUAAUUAUUAAAUCACCACAAUAAAAACAAGCAUGGAGAACUAUCUAUGCAAGUAGACAUAACUACAUACUGCUCAUACAUACAAGCUGCUAUAAGGAACUAAUAAAGAACCAGCAAACCAAACUGAACACAAAAAACCAUGUUUCUUUAGAGUACAUGAAUUUUGCGAACAAUGUCUUGGCCAAGCAAUAAGAAGAGGAUUUAGGAGACAUGUAAGCUUGAGUUCAAGUCCAAAUAAAAAAUAGAUGAAAUUUGUCUUACAUGAAUGGCUAAACAUGACUUUAUUCACAAUAUCAAACACGCAAAUGCUAUGAAAUGUAGAGUAAACUAGUUCUUCACUGCAAAGUAAAACUGAAAAAAUAGAGAUCCAACCAGUUGACGGCGCCAUAAAACAGAAAGCUCCAACGAUGAUAAGCAUAAUCAAGUAUCAACCACCUAUCAUUGAGGCAAAGAAUGAGUAAGAAUUUAAACAAGAAACUUGAUUAAGGAAAUCAUAAAUACAUGGACAGAGGCAGAUUCAAGAUUUUUGUUGGGAAGUAAUAUUAUCCAUGAAAAUAGUGUUUAAAAGAAAAUUUUGAAUGUUUAUGGAAAAUUUUCUUUUAAAAUUUCUUAUUUUCUAAUUUUUAACAGUGUCCCAAAAAAGAUAUUGAGGGUAUCCAACACAAAAUUUUUCUUUAAAUUUUUUUAUUUUCAAUGUACAACCCACAAUGCCAUGUAAAUCCAACACUAGACAUGGAAAAAAGCCAUAUUUACCUGUUUAGCUAACAAGUUUCUCCUUAAAUUUUCACUUCCUAGCGUAACAUUAUCCUUGUUUCUCCCAAAGUCAUAUAUAAAGGUAUUUGAUCUUUCAAACCAUCCCAAAAUAUAUCAUUGCAGGUGGAUUGAUUAUCAACUAUUUCUUCCAUUGUGGUGAAACCUUCUGUUGUAUUAUUCUGAACUUGUUGGGGUUCCUUCACAACAAAAGACAAUUCUCAUUAAGUUAUGCUAGAAGUAAGUAAUUAAUUAAUUAAUUAUGCAUAUGACUUGUGUAUGUAUAUAAAAGAGUCAUCCAAUUCAUAAUAAUAUGUAGUUAUAUACUAACAUAACUUUUGUUUCCAUCAUCGUUUCAUCAUUAGUAUCAAUAUGGUCAAGAACAACAAAUUAAUUAAUUCAGCAUAAUAGUUAGAAAAAAAAGGUCGGUUAGGUACCUCUGUUACCUCUGUUAUGGCAGGCACAGGAUGUUUUGAAUCCAUGAUGACACUUGUGGUCAACUUGGGAGAUUUGGUUAUUUUAAACGACCACAUAGAAGGGAAUCGGAAAUGACAACCAGUUGGAGCAAAACUCUUUAGGUCUGAUAGCUCAGAAAGAUCCACUAUUUCUAAUUGAGAGAGCACUAUUCCCUUUUGAUCAUCUUCAAUGUCUAGUUCACCUUGAUACCCAAAGACUUGCUCUAGUUUAGAAGGCCCUUUAAUUUUAAUUCUCUCGAGGUUGGCAAAAGAACGGGCGACACUAAUAGGAAACAAGCUUUUCAAAUUGCUGCACCCAGAAAUCCGUAUGUCUUGAAGACUAGGGAAGGAUAUAGUUUGG